GCUGAAUAAUUGGAUAUCGUAUCCACUUAAAGCUGCCUUGUGUAGUACGUCUUUGUUUGUGUCUCUCUUUAUAUUCCACUAAGGUCGGUGAUCUUGAUGCCACACACACUCAGAUGUGUGUUCAUCUCCAGAUACUACUCCAUGCUACCUGCCCUUUUUGUUUUGUUCAAUAACUGGGUAUCAUAUCCCGGCCAGUGUGCCAUCUAUUUUGUGUUUGUUUCCUUCUAGUUCCAAAGGGGUCAUCAUGAUGUUACCUUCUUUCGAUAUGGUGCUUUGCAUGACAACUGUUGUAUGGUACCAUCUUGUUGGCCAAUAAAUACAUCUUAUCCUAUGACCCUUUGCUAUGACCCUUUGCAAAUAAGUACAAGAUUGUUAUAAGCGUCAAUACUCAGUAUAAUUGAUCGCUGCUGUGAGUUCCCUUUCAGCUUAUCGUAGGCACACAUUAUUGCUAGCACGGUAAAGACAACCAACACGAAUGAUGAAGUAAACGUAGCGGUACUUUUGUAUACCAACACCCUUACUUAAAUGUACUGGUGUCAUUCCCUACUGGCACAUAUAUUCUUAUAUGCUAGCCAGAUUGGAAAAUUAACCAAUUAAAAUAAUUAUUUCAAGAUAGAAAUAACUUAUCGGCUUCUCGAAGCAUGUGUAAUUUUAAUUCAAGGACUCAAUGGAAGUUGAAUCACUUCAUCUAGAUUGCCUUCUGGAUUUUGGUUAACUAAAUUUAACAUUUGUGUCGGGGGGAAAUAUUAACGAUUUUCUUACGCUCUCUAAUUAACGGAUACAAGGGCUAGGGCCCACCCCUAAUACCCAUAAUCUCCGCUAACAACACAUCCCAGAGGCACUCCGCUCCGCCUCGCCCGACUUCAGGGUCGCAGGGUCGGACGUGCCCGACCCCCCAAGGCCUCGCCUCGUCUCAGCCGAUGGAGUUCCGCCUCGCCCGACCCUGAGCCCAACGGAUCGGACGCGCCCGACCCCUCGAAGCAGGACUCCGCCUCGCCCGACCCUGAGCGCAAGCGGUCGGACGUGUCCGGUCCCACCUGACAGAGCUCCGCCUACCCGAAGGUACGAGCAGGUCAUCAGACGGAAGCGCGGGCUCUGUGAGUCCCCCUGGGCUCACCCAACCGAUGGGACCGCGCAAGCUUCCAGAUACAGUUCUGACACAUGGAGAGGCGCCCGCGUUCCUCGACAUGACCUGUCAAAAUGUUGGUCUGCGCACUGCUGCCACGACUGCACAGGGCUACACCUGCACCGUCCUACCCCACUGUGACAUCUGUCAUAGGGCACUCAUCGCUCAUACCAUCUAAUGGAGGAGGGAAAACCGCCUAGUUUUCCACGUGGGCUAGCAAGAAGAGCACGUCAGCCACGCCGCCCCGUCAGGGUGCAUGGCUACAGUGGUUGACCAUCACCCGCGACGUGCACAGUCACAGUGGCCAGUCGUCACCACCAACUUGCACAGCUACAGUGGUCGGCCGCCAUGCACGACUCGCGUGUCCGGCUACAGUGACCGACCGCCGAGUCACCGAUGGGACCCAACGGCAACCCCUAUCCCUUAGUAGCAGUACCGACAAGACGCAGAGACAAGAAGGGAAGACGACGUCUCUAGUAGCCCCACUUGCUUCCCUUUUUACCUUUCUACCUGUUUACCUUCCUUACUCCCGGCUCAUUUGUAACCUCUGUAUCCUCCUUGCACUAUAAAAGGAGACCAGGGGGUCUGAGGGCAAGGGACCCUCGGAGACCGAACCCCGAAUUCACCCAAGUACAAACCAACCGAACCACCAGACGAGAAAGACUCACAGAGAUCUGGGAACCAGCUUCCCUCUCUCACCUAUUUGUAGCCUCUACUCCAGACUUGGUACGAGUAACACGAGCAGCCACCCGCACUGGACUCCUCCGCCAGAAACUGGUCCAACCAGUCGGGUCCCUCCCCCUGCUCUUCGUCCUCAUCAUCCUCAUCAUCGUCGUCCUCAUCCGUUGCCGUGUCUGGCCCCUCCGCAGCCUUCAGAACUCCGCUGCAGCUUUCUUUUUCUUCCUCACCGUCUCCUUGUCCUUCCUCUUCUUCUGUGCUUCGUCGAGGAGGCGGUUCCGCUGCCUCUGCACCACGUCCUCUGGCACCGGUGGACGGGAGGCUGUGACAUGGUUUAAGUUACCCUGCAGAUUCGAAGACUCCGCGUCAGAAUAGCAAACCAGGAAAUGCAGGAAAGAAGAACGAGAGUGCAAAUUUCUAACCAGCAGGACAUAGGCCUCGUCCGGGCGCAUCGGAGGGUGCCCCGGCACCGGGAACACGACAUCCCUGUCACCCAAUGCAUCCCGGACACGCUGCUCGAUCUCGGCGUCGGCAAUUGCACCCGUCGCAAGGACGGUGCUGUGGUACGCCCCAACAACUCCGGCCCCGGUCAGGCCCUCCUCCUUCAGAAGGUUGAUGGCUUCGAGGAGACCCCGGAUAUUCUUCUUCUCCUUCUCAACAGGGCCAUAUGUCCACGUUCCCGGUGCCUCCACGAUGACGCGGCCAGUGAACUCCGUCAAGAGGACAUCGGGGCGGUUCUUCACAUAGAGCCACUGCUGAUGCCACCCUUUGUGGGAUGACGGGGUCUUCAUCGAUGUAUACUCCUUGGGCCGAUGGCCACAGAGGUGGAUGCCGGCACACCCCAUCAGCAUCGGAAUCGUCCGCGUCUGGUUUCCUCUCUUCUCGGUCCUCUGAUGAAGAGUGACAGCGAAGAAGUACUUCCACAGGGCGAAGUUGGGCUCGAUCCCCAGGUAUCCCUCCCAAAGCACGACGAACGCCGCGAUGUGCUGGAUUCCGUUGGGGUUGAGGUGCUCCAGCUCAAUGCUAUAGUAGUGCAGCAGCCCCCGGAAGAAGCGACUUGGGGGAACCGCGAACCCCCUCUCGUGGAAGUGCGCGAAGGAGACGAUGUACCCGUCCUCCGGCUGUAGCACGGCCUUGUUCCCGGGAUACCGCCACUCGUUCUCGGCGAUCCUAUCGCGAAGAAGGCCCUUCUUCACGAGACCGAUCACGCGCGCGGUGUUGAAGAUUGACCAAGACCUUGAAUCCAUCGCCGAGGAAGGGGAAGGCUCGACGGCGGUGGUGGAAAGGUGAAUGCUCUGGCUCGAAAGAGGAUGAAAAGUGAACAAGGAGGCGAGAAAGGCUGAAGACGAGUGCGGAGCGGAGCAAGCAAGGUAAGCUCUCUCGUUUUACAGGGGGCGUGCGAGAAACGAAAGGCGAACCGAACGCAUUUAUUGCGACGUCAGGUAUGCCCCAUCGCCUCCGCCUUUCUUCGGAAACCGUACGCAUGAUUUCUUUUUAACCGCAGGGAACGCUACGCCCCCUCGCCCCACGAGCCCGGUGUUUUUUGCCGCUUCGUCUCCUGGAGGUCAUGCGCACAACUUCCUCCACAAGCGGCCCAGGGCCCGCUUCAGGUAAAAAAGGGAUACAGAGCUGAAAACACUCUAACGGCCCAUUACGGUCCAGGGGUUCGAAGGCUGGCCCUCUAGAGGGUUCGACAUCCACCCCAGGACAUUUCUUGAGCAAGGGGUGAGAAGGGACGGGUCCGCUAGCGACCACUACCCUGGUGAACAAAAGCCAAGGGCGUCCCGACCUCACAUUUGAGUCUCGAUUGGCGUUUAAGUUCAUGGUUUUUCCCCGAAGAAAGGCAAAGUGCCCCCGGAUCCGGUUGAACAGACCUGGGAACUAUAUGAACUGGCCGUCCGAAAUCUGGAGUACGCCACCAGCUUGGCCCAAGCCGGACCCGCCCGAACAGGGACCGGGACUCCACUCGAACUGACCCGUUAGCAGCUCACCGAGCACCAUGGUUCGUCCGAUGAGGAUAACAUGGCACGGCUCACCCCCUCCGUCCCAACGAACGGACGCUGAGGGGUAACGACUAAAAGACGAUCCGACCUCUCGAUCGGUCCCCUGCAAUGCGCGGGGGCUCGAGGGCUGGAAUCACAACGAAACGACCAUGCGCAUGGUUACGACUCGGAAUUUUGAGGCAGGAAUGGUCAUUGAAACAAUAGGGAAUCUUCCCAAACCGUACCAUCCUCAGAACACUCUGGCUACCCAAAACUCCCCGGCCAGGCCAAACAAGCAAAACUUUUCUCCUGAUCAAAUCAAGGUACAUGUUAAACAAGACCCCUGACAAACACUCUGCCGAGAGCCAAUCACAGCCUCUGGAGGAGCACCUUGCUCCACCAAAGGCUCGGGGCCUACUGUCAGGGGGAAAUAUUAACAAUUUUCUUACGCUCCCUAAUUAAUGGACACAAGGGCCAAGGCCCACCCCUGACACCCGUAAUCUCCACCAACAACACAUCCCAGAGGCACUCCGCUCCGCCUCGCCCGACUACAGGGUCACAGGGUCGGACACGCCCGACCCCCCGAGGUCUCGCCUCAUCUCAGCUGAUGGAGUUCCGCCUCACCCGACCCCAGGCGUAAGGGGUUGGACGCGCCCAACCCCUCAAAGCAGGACUCCGCCUCGCCCGACCCCGAGCGCAAGGGGUUGGACACAUCGGAUCCCACUAGACAGAGCUCCGCCUCGCCCGAAGGUAUGAGUAGGUCAUCAGACGGAAGCGCGGGCUUUAUGAGUCCCCCCAGGCUCACCUAACCGAUGGGACGCGCACAAUUCUAGAUACAGUUCUGACACGUGGAGAGGUGCCCGCGUUCCUCGACAUGACCUGUCGGAAUGUUGGUCUGCACACUACUGCCACGACUGCACAGGGCUACAACUGCACCGUCCUACCCCACUGUGACAUCUAUCAUAGGGCACUUAUCGCCCAUGCCGUCUAACGGAGGAGGGCAAACCGCUUGGUUUUCCGCGCAGCCUAGCAACUACAGCACGUCAGCCACGCUGCCCCGUCAGGAUGCAUGGCUACAGUGGUUGACCGUCGUCCGCGACGUGCACAGCUACAAUGGCCAGUCGUCACCACCAACUUGCACAGCUACAGUGGUCGGCCGCCAUGCACGACCCGCGUGUCCGGCUACAGUGGCCGACUGCCGAGUCACCAAUGGGAUCCAACGGCAACCCCCAUCCCUCAGUAGCAGUACCGACAAGACGCAAAGACAAUAAGGGAAGACGGUGUCUCCAGUAGCCCUACUUGCUUCGCUUUUUACCUUUCUACCUUUUUACCUUCCUUACUCCUGGCUCAUUUGUAACCCCUGUGUCCUCCUUGCACUAUAAAAGGAGACCAGGGGGCCCGAGGGCAGGGGACCCCCGGAGACCGAACCCCGAAUUCACCCAAGUACGAACCAACCGGACCACCAGACGAGAAACACUCACAAAGAUCUGGGAACCAGCUUCCCUCUCUUGCCUGUUUGUAGCCCCUACUAUAGACUUGGUACGAGUAACACGAGCAGCCACCCGCACUGGACGUAGGGCUAUUCCUGCCCGAACCAGUAUAAACCUCGCGCCCUCUCGUACAACCAUCCAAGCCUUACGCGUAGAGAAACAAAUUUACUAAGCCGGUAGUCUUGACCCGUGAUUCGUGAGACCGACAAUUUGCACAUACAAAUGUUAAAGUACAAAUGUUAAAUCUAGUUACCAAGCAGAAUACGAAAUAGCGGGCUAUAGUGAGGCUAUAGCGGCGCUAACUGCUGCAACAACAGUGUUGUACUAAUUAGCAGGCUAUAGCGGAGCUAUAGCGGUUGAGCACAGCUCUACGCUAAAUAUCAUAGCCCUCAAUUUUGUACAUUGUAUAUACUAUAUAAAUCUAGUUAACAUUUAGUCUAAAUGUUAAAUCGAGUUACCUAAAAUCCUGAAAGCAAAAUGUAUAAAUAUAUAUCUUUUAGGGUAGUAUAAGCUUCGAUUCCUUUUGCUGCUCUGUUAAAUCUCAUCUUUCGUUGUAGCCCAACACUCUAGUAUUGAUUUUGCACCAAGCUUCUUUGAGCCGCUCUGCCCUCUGAUUUUGCUGCGUAGGGGAAUCUUUAUCAGGUUGGGCUACUUCCAGUCGUGCGAUGUAUACCUUUGUAUCUUCUAGAAGGUAGACAGAAAACCCGCGUUCUCUUAAGGCAACAACCAGAAGAUUCUGCAGCGCACGGGGCAUAUCAUUGUUGUAGAAACGACCUUUAGUAUCGAUCUCCAACCCCUUAUAGUACUGGUUUUGCAACCAGUACCGUUAUGUCGGACCUUUAGUACCAGAUCAAAUAACCGGUUCUAAAGGGACUCCUUUAGUACCGGUUGGUAACCAGUAUCAACUUGUUUUGCGGCCAAAAAAAUAAAGAAAAAAAUAGCCAGAAGGCUAGCACACACACACAUCCCACGAAAUAUGCGCGUGCGCGGUCCAUGGGAUUCGAACCCAUGAAAUCAAGCUGCGCGCAACCCUUCGUUACCAUCUCACCUUCAGUACCGGGUCAUAACACCACCCGGUACUAGUAUCGGAUGCUGUAAUGACUCGAUACUAAAAGGCCUCUAGGGACCCUCAAAUUUGGACCCGAUACUAAUGCUAACAUUAGUACCGGGUCAAAGUGCAGCCAGUACUAAAGCAUGGGACGAAAGGUCAUAUUUCUAGUAGUGUAUAGUUGUUGUGUAGGACUGACUUGGCUGUCCUCUCUCUUCUCCAUCCCAUUGGUCUUACGCCGCCGCUCGCACGCGAGCCGGCACCCAACCAGAGGAGUGAGAGCUAGGGGCGGGUUGGGAGGUGGGGGUAGCGACUGGUGGCUAGGGUGAUGGUUGAUGUUGGCGGGGUUAGGGUUUCAUGGUUUUCAAGCUACCUACGGCCGGCGAACCUAGAGGAGGAGGUCGACAUCAGCUGCAACCCGCGGUGGUGGUGGUUUGGCCGGCGCCCCAGGCGAGGCAGCGUGGGAGUGCUGCUGGCGGGUUGGUGUUGGCGCUCAUUAUUGACACAUUUUUAGUACUAUUUUGUUCAUGGAAUAACACUCAAACGUGCUGGUGCUGCUGCCGCCAUCGCCGCCCUAGCCAUAAUAUAAAGGCAAAAUUUGCUAGAGGACAUGCAAAAUGAUGCUAGUUUGCUGGAGGGCACCGUUGACCAUGUAAUAUGCUACAAGACACUCUAGUUGUUCUAGAGUGUAUCAAUUUGCUGAAAGACAUUGCUACGACUAAAAUAAUGUUUCUGGACUGAGUUGGAGAGAGAGAUGGAGUGAAAUGUCUGUUUUGCCCAUGACCCCACUGAUCAGAUCCUUCUUCUUCCACCCUCCUUUCUUCUUUCUUCAACCAUUACCCAGCUCUAGUGUGUUGCAGAUCUACGAGGGUGGCGGCCCGGGGCGAGGGGCAUCGCUUGCCCUCAGACGAGCGCCGCGAGCGACGGCGCGGGGGCAGCAACGGCGCGUCGGAACCUGACCGUUCGUUAGCUCCUCUCGCUGCUGGGGAAGGAGGGGGAGGGGCCAUGGACGGGGUUCCCUCGAAAACCUUAGCCUCGAGCUCAGGCGGCUACGCGCAGGCAGCACUAGGCUCUUCGCGGGGAGGGGGCGCGGCCAAUCAUUGGCACCCCACUGGUCCAAUGCUGAUGAAGAUGGUGCCAGCGUCGUGAAGAUGGUGCCAGCGUCGUGUGAGGACCUCUCAUCUCCUCGAGUUCCAUGGCCAGCACAGGUGAGCGUCCGCUACCACAAAACAGAGGUGUCGUGAGAGUCAAAAAAACUCAUGAAAAUAGCUAAAACCAUCAUGAAAAUAAUCCAUGACACGACACUCUAACGAAAAUCCUCUCACAAAUAUGGUGCCAUCAAAAUACCAUUUUCAUGAGAGUGAACUGUCAUGAUUUUAUUUCGUGAGAGUAUUUCCUAUCAAUGACCUCCACGAAAUACUUUGUGCCACCAGGUCUUCAAGAUCAUUUUCAUGAGAGCCGAACGUCACGAAAGGUCCGCCACAAAUGUUUUUCCUGGGAGCCUCUAACUCUCAUCAAAAGCAUGUGGGCCGCCGCGAAAAACAGCCUGACCAAAUGACAAUUUUCAUUUUCAUGUGCUCUUACCGCCAUGAAAAUGGUCAUUUUCAUGAGAGUUGAUGAAACAAAAAAAUAGUGCCAUUUUCAUGAGAGUUCAAGCAACCAGGAAAAGGCACUAAUAAACAUCCAGAUCCCAUCCAGCACACAUCCAUGCACAUAUAUAACCCACAUAUUGCUCCAGCAACAUCCAUGCAUAUACAAGAUCCAAAUGUCUUGGUAUGAACCUACAUGCAUGUGAUGAACCAGUAACCUGCAAAAAGAGCUCAUAGGAUCUUGUCCUCAUAUUGUAGCUGUGAAAUUCUUGCAAGUAGUGUUGCAAUCAGUUCACUUUGAACCAAAAGAGCUCAAAGGAUCAUGUCCUCAAAGUUCCUCUUAAAGCUUAUGGGUUUGCUGGUGGAACUGGAAGGGCUUGAUGCAGCAUGCCAUUCUGCAAUAGAGAAAAAUUUAGAAAGCUGUACUAGUUAAAAUUGGAUGCAGCAGAGACACAUGAAACUAGUAUUUAUACAAUUCUAUAUAUAUAAUAAUUUGUCCCCUAAAUUUUUAGGAUCCUCUCGACGGUGGUGAGUCUUCCAGUAAGGCAAUUGAAUGUCCAUCGUGAUAAAAUUCUCCUUUGGAUUUAUCAUCUUCUCAACCAGAAAUCCUAGGAGUUCAUCCUUAAGCCUUACCAGUUGUAAUUUGGAAAUAUGUGAAAGUUAAACGAACAAUUAAAAUCUAAGGAUCCUUAUCAUCAUUUCCAUACGUUUGCGAAUUAAAAUAAUGAAGGAUACAAUGUUAGGUGAAAAUUCAAGAAACAAAAUUUUGUAUAGAGAUAAUGGUCCGACAUUAUUACAAGUUAAAGUUGUUUUAAAUAUCCUUGUAAUCUUCCUUUGGUUUCCUCGACGAUUCCAAGACAGUAACCUUGCUUCUAUCAAUGAUAAUUAUAAGGAGAACCCAAUGAAAACUGUGUAUUCAUAUUAGAACUAACUAAGGUUAAUUCGGAUAGGAAAGGAAAUCAAAAAUAGAUGGUACCCACACUUACUUAAAGUUGUAGGGUAGUAGUAUGUAAUGCUUGUAAUUCUGUUGCUCCAAGAAUUUGUAUAUGUGGUUCAAUGUAGACUUUGGUUGAUCCUGUAUCUGCUGUUGGUUGAAUAAGUGUUUCUAACCAUUUCUAGCCGUUAGAACUGGGACUAAAGGGAGCUCUUAGUGCUGGUUGAUAUUACUAGUCGGGACUAAAGAGCCCCCGUUAGAGUUGGUUUUCGGACGUGGAACUAACCACUCCUUUAGUCUCAAGUCCAAAAAUGAUUGAGACAUUUGUUGCUGGAUGGAACACUAGUAGAGAAUUGGCUUUCGAUGCGCCCCCUUUUGUCCCGGUUUAAAGUUGGACUGGGACAAAAGAGGGUGCGCCACGGUAGGUAAAAAUGGAGGGGGGAGUUAGUCCCGGUUGGUAAUUGCAACCGGGACUAGAGGCCCCCCUUUAGUCCCGGUUGCAAUGGCUAGCUGGGGGGCGUCGGUGGCGGCACCUUUUUGUCCCGGUUGGAGUCUCCAACCGGGAUAAAAGGUCCACCCUUUUAUCCCGGUUGGAGGCUCCAACCGGGACAAAAAGUUUAGUCCCGGUUGGAGCUUCCAACCGGGAUAAAAGGGUGUCCCUUUUGUCCUAGUUGGAGCCUCCAACCGGGACUAAACUUUCAACCGGGACAAAAGGUGUGGUUGGAGUUUUUAACUGGGAUAAAAACUCAUCCCCCAUUAUAUACCAAGACAGAGGACUUUCUUCCUCCUCCAGCCCGAGCCAGUCCAGCACAUUCACAGAGAGUUGACCUUCACCUACUCUCCGGUGGUGCCGAAGCAAGGAGGUGCUGCCCGAAGUUUUUUCCCUCAUUUUCGUGGGAAUUUCACUCAGCUAACACAAGUGUUGUGAAGGUUUGCUACUUCAUCCUCGUUUAUGCUUUGAUUUAUGCUUUGGAGAUGGAAAGAUUAUUUGUUAGAAUGUGAUGAAGUAGAAAAUGGAGAGAAUAUUUUGAGCUAGAAUGUGAGGGAGAUUGAUGUGUCAUAUAUAGUAUGCAUUCUUGCAGUGGUUUAAGAAUGAUGCUACCUUGUCCAGACAAUUUAUCUUAUCAAAUUCAAUAUAGUUUUUCAAAUCCAUACUUGUUGAACUUGCAUACCGUGUUCAUCUCUACGAGGAUAUUCUCUGCCGAGCAGCAACGUAUGUCAAGAAGGAGGUUCGAUUCUACGAGGAAGAGUGGAUACGGACAUCGUGACCGUGUCCCCUUUUCCGUAGCAUCUAACCUCUUUCAUGAUGAAGUGCGGUGCCGCCCAGUUGAGAACAUGCUCGCGAGAUGAACACAGUAUGCAAGUUCAACAACUUCUGCAGUAGUAAGGAAAGAAUUUUUGUACAUAGAUGACUUCUGCUACUUGUUGAACUUAUCAAAUUCAAGAAGGUUUUUCAAAUCCAUACUUGUUGAACUUGCAUACCGUGGUCAUCUCGCAGAGGAUGUUCUCCGCCGAGCAGCAACGUAUGUCAAGAAGGAGGUUCGAUUCUACGAGGAAGAGUGGAUACAGACAUCGUGACCGUGUCCCCUUUUCCGUAGAAUCGAACCUCUUUCAUGACGAAGUGCGGUGCCGCCCAGUUGAGGACAUGCUCGCGAGAUGAUCACGGUCUUUAAGUUUAACAACUUAUGCAGUGUUAAGGUAAUAAUUUUUGUACAUAGAUGGCUUCUGCUACUGGAGAAAGUGGCGAUGGUGGGGGUGAUCGUGGUUCCUCUUUCGGCAAGGGGAAAAUCAUAGUUGGCCCUCAGCAUAAGCCAAAGAAAAAGAGCGCACUGGAAAAAGCAAUGCUUCGUUAUUUGCAGCAACGUCAUGAAGAAGUUGUUGCCGCGGGUCAGGAACCUCCUUUUGGUCGUCGUUAUGCUCCACCCUUAGUCCCGGGUGUUUCACAUCCACUUAGUACUACCGUUUCAGGCGGCACAAAUAAACCUAAGGAUGAGGCUAGGUCAGCGGAACUUUCGUCUUCACUGUCCAAGGAUGCUUAAAGUCCUCCUAGAUAAUAACCAGUGGAUGGCUUGUUGUAUUGUAUCAUGUUGUUUGGAUCUUUAAUUUAAAUAUGUGUAUUUGGAUCUUCAUGUUGUUGUAUUGUACCAUGUUGUUUGGAUCUUUAAUCAAUUUUCACACGUAAUCCAUUGUCAAGUGUAAUCCAUUUUCAUGCAUAAUAAGAUGCAGAUGGACCGGCAAUGGAUGUAUAAUGCAGACAGGCAGAGCAAGGUGUUUAUUGAUGGCUUGCAUUAUUGUCUCGAAGUGGCCAAAGCGAACAAGCCAGAGAAUGGGUUCGUAUGUUGUCCAUGCUUCCAAUGCAAUAACAAGAAGGAGUAUUCAUAGGAUUCCUGGGGGACUAUUCACAGCCACUUGUUUAAAUACGGUUUCAUACUUAACUAUUUGGUUUGGACCAAGCACGGUGAACGAGGGGUCGUAAUGGAAGAUGGCGAGAAGGAGGAGGAAGAUGACACCAUUCCAGACUGGGUUGUAGGCCAAGCUUUUGCAGGUACUACAAUGGGCGAGGCUCAUGAAGAUGAGUUUGCAGAAAAUGGCCCUAUUGAUGACUUUGGUCAGGUGAUACGAGAUGCAUACAGAGAUUGCGAAAUUGAGAAGGAAGCAGCAAAGUUGCAGCGCAUGAUAGAUGAUCACCAAAAAUUAUUGUACCCAGGUUGCCAGCUGGGCCAUAAAAAACUAGGUACGACACUAGAAUUUGUGCAAUGGAAGGCAAAAAAUGGUGUGUCCGAUAAGGCAUUUCAGGGGAUGUUGACCAUUGUCAAGAAGAUUCUUCCCGAGAAUAAUGAAUUACCGUCCACAACAUAUGAAGCUAAACAGAUUAUUUGCCCUCUCGGAUUGGAUGUUCAGAAGAUACACGCAUGCCCUAAUGACUGUAUCCUCUAUCGUGGUGAUGACUACGAGAAAUUGGAUGCUUGUCCCGUGUGCGAAGCCCUGCGGUAUAAGAUUAGGUGAGAUGAUCCUUGUGAUGUCGAGGGGCAGUCUCCCAAUAAGAGAGUUCCCGUGAAGGUGAUGUGGUAUUUCCCUAUAAUACCACGCUUGAAGCGCUUGUUCAGGAAAAAGGCGAAUGCUAAGUUGAUGUGAUGGCACAAAGAAGACCGUAAGGAAGAUGAGAUGCUGAGACACCCCGCAGAUGGGGCACAGUGGAGAUCAAUUGAUAGAGCAUUCUCGGACUUUGAAAGUGAAGCAAGGACAUAAGGUUUGGUUUAAGUACUGAUGGAUUCAAUCCAUUCGGUGAGUUGAGUAGUGGCCAUAGUACUUGGCCUAUGACCCUAUUUAUGUUGAACCUUCCUCCUUGGCUAUGCAUGAAGUGGAAGUUCAUUAUGAUGCCGGCGCUUAUCCAAAGUUCAAAACAACCCGACAACGACAUUGACGUGUACCUAAGACUGUUGGUUGAUGACCUUUUACAGCUCUGGAAGGAAGAAGGUGUACGUGUGUGGGAUGAGGAUAGACAAGAGAUCUUUAAUCUACGAGUAUUGUUGUUUGUAACCAUCAAUGAUUGGCCUGCACUGAGUAACCUUUCGGGACAGACAAAUAAGGGAUAUCGGGCAUGCACCCACUGUUUAGACGACACAGACAGCAUGUAUUUGAAGCAUUGUAAGAAGGUCGUCUACAUGGGUCAUCGUCGAUUUCUCCCUGCUCACCACCAGCUGAGAAAGAGCAGGAUGCAUUUCAAAGGGGCGCCAGACCAUCGUAAAAAACCUGCACACCAUAAUGGAAAGUGUGUCUUCAAGAUGAUGAAGGAUGUAAAUGUAGUCUUUGGAAAGGGUCUUGGUAGCCAACCUAUUCCAAACGACAAUAACGGACAUGCACCCAUGUGGAAGAAAAAGUCAAUAUUUUGGGAGCUACCUUAUUGGGAAAUCCUAGAGGUUCGCAAUGCAAUAGACGUGAUGCACCUGACGAAGAAUAUUUGCAUGAACGUGCUAGGCUUCAUGGGUUUUUAUGGGACCUCAAAAGACACAUUGGAAGCACGACAGGACCUGAAAGCCAUGGGGCAACGAGAUGACCUACAUCCGAAAAAGAGAGAUAAUGGAUAGCACUACUUACGUCCUGCCAGUUACACUCUGAGCAAGGAAGAGAAGGAUAGCAUGUUUGAAUGCUUGAAUAGUAUGAAGGUCCCGUCUAGGUACUCCUCGAAUAUAAAGGGAAUAAUAAAUAUGAAAAAAAAGAAGUUUAUAAAUCUCAAGGCCCAUGACUGUCACAUGUUGAUGACCCAGUUGCUUCCGGUUGCACUGAGGGGUGUUCUACUAGAAAAUAUCCAGUUGCCGCUCGUAAAGCUAUGUGCGUUUCUAAAUGCGAUUUCACAGAAGGCAAUCGAUCCAUCCAAGCUAUCAAAGCUACAGAACGAUGUGGUGCAAUGUCUUGUCAGUUUUGAGUUGUUAUUUCCACCAUCCUUCUUCAAUAUUAUGACGCACUUACUGGUUGACCUAGUAAAAGAGAUUGGUAUUCUCGGACUUGUAUACCUGCACAAUAUGUGGCCUUUCAAGUGUUCAUGGCAGUCCUAAAAAACUAUGCUCUUAAUCGUGCCCAUCCAGAAGGAAGCAUCGCCAAGGGAUAUGGAACAGAGGAGGUGAUCGAGUUUUGUGUUGAUUUUAUUGAUUCAAUUGACUCGAUUGGGGUUCCAACUUCACGCCAUGAGGGGAGGCUCCGAGGAAUGGGCACCCUUGGAAGGAAAUCAAGUUUGAGCAAUGAUACUGAUUUGUUCGACAAGGCACACUACACGGUUCUACAACAGUCAUCCUUUGUGUCUCCAUAUAUUGAGCAGCACAGGCAGAUGGUAGUUUCCAAAAACCCGACCAAAUCCGAUGCUUGGCUUACCCGUCUUCACAUGGAAACUUUUCCCUCCUGGUUGCGCCAACAACUUAUGGGUAACUCUGAGAUUCACCCACAGCUUGCCUGGUUAGCCAGGGGACCUGCUAGCACAAUUGUGAAAUUUCAAGGCUAUGAGAUAAAUGGUUAUACAUUUUACACGAGAGCCCAGGACCAGAAAAGCACGAAACCAGAAUAGUGGUGUCCGCAUACAUGCCAUGGACAGAAAUAAUAGCAAGGAGUCGUAUUAUGGUUUCAUAUAGGAGAUAUGGGAACUUGAAUACGGACCGUUGUACAUCCCUCUAUUUCUUUGUAAUUGGGUGAAGCAAACUGCCGUAACCAAAGAUCAGUACGGAAUGACAAUAGUAGAUCUGAGCAAGACUGGAUACAGUGAUGACCCAUUCGUACUUGCCAACAAUGUGCAACAGGUGUUCUAUGUGAAGGACAUGUGUAGCAAACCCAAGAGAAAUCCAGAAGAGACAUGGGAGCCAAAGUGCCACAUAGUUUUUCCAGGUAGAAGAAAAAUCGUGGGAGUCGAGGAUAAAACAAACCAAUCAGAUGAUUAUGAUUAGUUUGAUGGCAUGCCUCCAUUCGCCGUUGAAGUUGAUCCAAGCAUCCUGCUAUCCAAAGAAGAGGCUCCGUACUUACGCCGCGAUCAUGAUCAAGGAACUUUCGUGAAGAAGAAAUUCUACAACGUUGUAUUGUAAUGCGCUAAAUUUACAUGACCUUUGUGUAGUAAUUGAUACAAUUUUUAAUUUACCCUAUGUAUGAUUUGAUGUGUUCUUAAAUUUGUUAGGUGAAGAUUUAUUAGAUAAACAUGAACAAUGUUAACCACAUACAUACAUGGAUUUUUCUGCGCAUUGAAAUUAUUUAAUGGAAUAAUUUCUUGAUCACAGCGAUGUAGUAAAAUAAAUAUUUUAGAGCCUAAAUGAACUGGUAUAGAAUUAAUGACUAACUCACACUUAUUGUCAAUUUACUCGCUAAUUAAAUAUAUUUUUGCAUGUACAAAAUAUGUGAAGGUUUUUGUUUUUCAUCCUGAAUUGCAGUGAAAAGAUAAAUAAAAUCCAUUUCCAAAAAACAGGCGGGAGAAGAAAACUGGGAAAAGGACCUUUUGUCCCGGGUGCCAACAGAAACCGGGACAAAAAGCCCCCCCCCUUUUAUCCCGGUUGGUGGUGGCACCCGAGAUAAAAGGGUAGGCUCCAAGCCCCACUUGGCGGACGCACCCUUUUGUCCCGGGUCCCGUCACCAACCGGGAUAAAAGGGGGGGCCUUUUAUCCCGGUUGGUGAGGGGACCCAGGACAAAAGGCCCUUUAGUCCCGGGUGUCAUUACGAACCGGGAUAAAAGGGGGGUUAAAAGGCACUAUAGCCCCUUCUACCCCCCACGCCAGUUACAGUUAGCAAAAUUUUCACCAAGAUCCCGCGCGCACUCUGCUCCGUCGCUGCCCGUCCGCCUUCCUCGCCAGCCGUCAUCGUCGUCGUCCCCCAUUGCCCCGGCCGUCGUCGUCCCGCCGGCUGACCGUGCCCAGAUAGCCUCCUCCUCCAUCGCCCCGGCCCGCCUCGAUCCUCCUGCGUCGUGCCCGGCCCCUACCUCAUCGACGCCGGCCACCUCCAUCGCGGGGCCUCAUCGCCGCCUCCAUCCUCGUCGCCACCUCGACGCCCUGGGUCGCCGCCUCGUCGCCCCUCGUCGCUGCCUCGUCGCCGUCCUGCCUCCGCCGUCUCGCCGUCCCGCGCGCCUUCGCUCCGUCGUCGCCUCCGCCGUCCCACCGCCCCAGCCACCGCCAUCCCGCCACCCCGGCCACCUCGUCGCCCCGACCACCGUCGACCGCGCGUGAGGUCCGCCGCACCGGCACUGGCGCCGGGAGUACCGCCUUGCUGACGCAAGCCCACCGGCUUGCGUCAACAAGGGCCUUUUUUAAGUUAGAAAAUAAAUAGAAAGGAGUAGUAAUUAGGUAGAAAUUCAAUAGAUUUUUGUAUAUGUGUUACAAAAUCAAAUUAGUGUAAAUUAGUUGUAAUUAGGUUCGUCGCUCUGCCUAGGUUAGAAAUGAAUCGUGUUUCGUCGUGGUUCCGUCCCCGCCUCCGCCGUCCCGCCACCCUGACCGUCGCCGUCCCAACCUAGGCACCGUCUGUGGUUCCGUCCCCGCCUCCGCCGUUCCGCCUCCAUCGCAAAUUCAUGUUAUUGCUAGAAAUUCCAAUAAAUAUGAACAAAUUAGUAGAAAUUUGGUAGAAAUUAAUCAUUGCUGCGGCCACCUCGCUCCACAAAUUCAUGUUAUUGCUAGAAAUUCAUAAAAAUUCAUGUUAUCACUAGAAAUUCGUACAAAAUUCAUGUUAUUGCUAGAAAUUCGUAAAAAUUCAUGUUAUUGCUAGAAAUUCGUACAAAAUUCAUGUUAUUGCUAGAAAUUCGUACAAAUUCAUGUUAUUGCUAGAAAUUCGUCACAAAGUACUACUAAUUUGCAAAAAUUUGUAUAAAUAUUCCGGACUUUGUGGGAUUCAUGUUAUUUUCUGAUUUCAUGUAUAUACCCUUAUGUACAUAUAACUAAGGAGAUUUCUAUGACUUUCAUGUAUGUUUCAAUCAAUAGUUGAAAUGGCAGACGAUGAGACCGCAAGGUAUCUCAUGGAGCAGAUAAUCGCUGGUGAUGGUAGUGGCGACAACCUUCCACUAUCGUACACCGAUGAAGAGGGCACCCAGGCGGACAUGUUCCUCAACAUGUCCGCCGAUGGGAAUGAAGAGCAAAAGCCCCAGCAACACCUUGCCGGGGCGGAAGGUUCCGGCGAGGUAUAUAUAACGAUUCUUGUAUUGUUUCACACCACCGUUACUACUACGUACUAAUUAACGAAUCAUGAACCGUUAGCCCUCUGGAUCGACGCAAGGGCAGAAGACACGAGGUCGUACAAAGGUGAUGGAAGGGAGGCUUGUCAUCACGGAAGUGAUAGAAGAGGGCAGGCCGGUUGCUCCCGAGAAAGUAGCAAAGAAGUACGUGAGUCAGAUCGGGGCAAUCGUCCGGGACAACGUGCCUAUCAGCAUCAGAGAAUGGAAGGGCAGAAGCACUAAUCCGUACGCCCUCCUGGAGACAGAAAGAAUAUGCUGUGGGAAGAUGUCAAGAGACAUUUCACAUUCACCGAAGGAUAUAUUGAGAAGGAUGUGAAAGCGUGGACGCUUAAGAAGAUGGCUACACAAUUUCCAGACAUUUAAGAAGAUGCUAGAUACCCACUACAUUAAGAAGGGCCGAACUCCAGACUUCAACGCGUGGUCAAAGUUGAGGGACCACUAGGAUGCAUUUGUUGAAUAUAAGAGGAGUGAAUACGAUGUGAAAAAGAUCACGACCAACACAACAAAUGCUAGUCAGAAGGGCUACCAUCAUCAUCUGGGGCGAGAUGGUUAUGGCUCAGCAAUUCCCAAGUCGAGGAAGAUGGAACAAGAUCUGAUUGAACGGGGAAUCGUACCGGCAACUAUUGAAUGGCCCGAACGAUCAAAAAAUUGGUACUACGCUCAUGGAGGCUCCCUGUGCCAAGAGGAUGGGACGUUGAUUUUCAAUAACACAAUACGUUAGAAGGCCAAACAUCUUGUGAAGAACAUUGAAGAUUCUAAGGCUGGGAGGUUGAAGGUGGACCGAGAAAAUGAUGAGCUCACAUUGGCCCUUGGUAAUCCAGAGCACCCAGGAUGUUGCCGAGGGUUCGGGGUCGUUCCGUGGAAGUUUGUUUUCCGAGGCGACAGCGCCUCGUACAGAAGCCGGAAGCGAAGAAAGGAACAGAUCGAGGAGAGCUGGUGGCAGAUGCUAGAAUCCAAAGUGCAGGCACAAGAACAAAGAAUGAUGGAGGAAAUCAAUCGUCGAGUGGCCCACGCAGUUGUGGAGUUGGCCCAAUCUGGAGCAUUGCCGAAUCCUAACAACGCCAGCCCUUCUCAAUGCCUCUUGAGCAGUUAUGCUUCUACAGGGGUCCCCGAUGCGCACACGCCCAGGUUACCCGUGGAGGAGCAACGGUUCCCCGUGGAUGCCAUCACGCAACACACCACAUGUGAGCUGCAUGCACCGGUCGGCAACCUCACUAUUAAGGUAUACUUAUACAUAAUAUUUAUGCAAUCUUGUCAAUUGAUCCACGCCUCGAUAUCGGAGUUUAACUUGUUUACUUCUACUAUAUGUACAGGUAGCGUACGGGAGUGCGUUAGCAACCCUGGCGGGGCAGAGCAGUCAUGGCAUGAAGAUUCCACCUGGCUACGCUAGCGUCCGCGUAGAGCAAAUAGUUGAUAGCCAAUAUGAAGGUCUAGAGCUCGACCUCCCGGGAGGUGACAGGGAAAGAACACUGGCAGAUGCGCUUCAUGGGAUCAUUCUAUGGCGAAAACGCUACAUCAUUAUUCCCGGCACGGAGCCAUCUCCUCAGAGCUCAAGACCACUCCCCGUAGAUCCCCAGCAGCGACCUUCUCCUCAUAGCUCGAGACCGUCAUCUCCUGCACAACCUGCUCCAGGACCGUCCCUUCCAUCUAUAUCAAGGUCUCCAUCUCCACCACAUCCUGGUGGUGGGAGCGACGACGACAAUAACAACACCCCUUCCUGAUCACCAUCGCCGGCACCAAGAGCGGCCCCCAUGAAGGAACCUGCACCACCACUAAAAAAGUCACGAGCACCGCCUCCCAAGCAAAGACAGAGAAAGAAGAAAACAAAGGAGCCUGAAGUGACUCGUAAGGAACGCUGGGAGACAAUGUCUCAUGCGGAACAGUGGGCAGAAAUCCAACAAGAGGCCAGUGAGUGGUUCAAGAAACAAGCCGAAGAAAAAAAAGCAACGGAGAUGCAGCCACCGCCAGUAAAUCGAAGAGAUUUAAACUUUUUUAUCAGGAUGGAAGAAGGAGCCAAGAAAAGGAUACCACUCUUAUCAAACUAUGAACGGGCUUUAGUAAAGGCUGAUGAAAAGGAUAAAAGGAAAGGAAAGUCAUCUUCCAGCGGUGCUGUCCCCGACCUCAGCCAUUUAUCAAAAAAAGAUGCUCAACGGGUAAAAGCAAUGCCCUUGGAUCAACAAGCAGAAGUAUUGAAGUUCAUGCAAGAAACAGGUCUGGGACUUGAUGAAUGCCUAGGGCAAGUUGAGACGCCAACUGCACCGCCCCCUGAGCCGAGAUGGCCUUAUGAGCUAGGCAAACCUCUAGUAAAGCCUUCAUUGGUACGAAAGCUAUCAACAAAGAUGUACGCAUUCCAUCAAUGGUACAUGAUGGCAUCCGCUGACUCAAGGGAGAUGCUCGGCCUGAAGGUAAAACCGAUGGAUUUUCACGACAGAGGCGAGAAAGUGCUGUGGCUAGACUUCAAGGAUAUAUACGAAGUGUACCAUCAUGAUGCCAUAGACGUCUCUCUGAUCCGCGCUUGGGUUCUGUAAGUGUCCGUUUAUCUCUACAUGUAAAUUUUGGCGUGCGUCACCGUACUAACUUCGUCUUCCAUUUCAUGUAGGAUGCUAAUUCAGACAUGCCGCCGAGAGGCGUACCUACAUAUAGGCUUCAUGGAUCCAUCUGUAGUUAACCAACAGCAGAUACAAUUAGCAUCGGAGAAAACCUUGGUGGAAGUAUACAAUUUCCUAGACAAACAAACAUUCAAGGAUUUCAUACUAUUUCCAUACAACUUCAAGUAAGUGUGUGUAUACCGUCUACUUUCGAUGUCUUUUUCCUUAUCUCUACAUGUUAGUUAGCUCUAAUAUGCAUGAACAUUUUACGCACGCAGCUUCCACUGGAUCCUUAUUAUAAUUGAGCCUCAAAGAAGCCACGUCACUGUCUUCAAUUCGUUGAGGAAAGAUCCAGUGGAGCACCAAGAAAUGCAACACAUGCUAGGCUUGUAAUAAUUCUGGACCUUUAUCUCUAUGCAAAAGUUUGUUUCCUAAAUUCUAUCCCUGUUACACUAUAUCAUUCAUUAUUCUAAUCCACAGCGUAUGGAAACAAUUCAUAAGGACACAAAAAGGUCCAUUCAAAGAAAAACUUACAUGGAACACAGACUUCCCGGUACAUAUGAAGUCUGCACAUUUAUUACAUUGUAUAACACGAAUAUUUCAUAACUUAUUUUUUUCCGUAUUGAAGUGCUUAAGACAGGAACUCGGAAAUAAUCUAUGUGGCUACUACAUCUGUGAGCACAUGCACAGUUUUAUGGGACCCAAGGGACUAAAGAUGACGCCGCACAACUUUAAAGUACGUAAAAUAAAACUAUUACUAGUUAAUUAUUUUCUAGCUCCUUAUAUGUAUUUGUUCACGUAACAUUCACAAAUUUCCAAAUUAUAGAUGUUAAAUAUUCAACAAGGACUCUUGAAGGAAGAAAGAGUAGCGGCAAUAUGUGAAGGUCUCAUUGGAUUCCUAAUGGACAAGGUGGUAGAUCCAAAAGGAGAAUUUUAUUUUGAUGGACGACAAUUAGACACUCUGAUCAGCAACACCUCGAUGGGAAGAUUGUAGAUAGAUACUUUGAUUUAUUUGUAUAUAUAAUACGCGCUAAUUAUGAUCGAUUUGUACUAGUUGAAUUCUGUAUAUGAAUUGUGUAUAAGAAUUGUGUAUAUAUAUAGUAACUGUAUAAUUACAAAUCCCAUUCGUUUAAAUACUAGUUAAUUUCAUUCUAAAAAAAUCUCAACUACUUAAGGUUAACAAAAGGGCUGCGGUACUACGUACGUGAUGCAUGCAUGAAAAAUUCAGGCGCCAGGCAGGUGCCAUGCAGGGCAUCAUUUAGUCCCGUUUGGAAUCCAGCCGGGACUAAAGGGUAACCCUUUACUCCCGGUUGGGAAACCCAACCGGGACUAAAGGGGGACCGUUACUCCCGGUUAAAAGACCCGGGACUAAAACCCCCCCUUUUGUCCCGGUUGGCUUAUCCCGGAUAAAUUUUCGGGAGAUAUGCACCCUACCAACCGGGACUAAAGGCCAAUUCUCCACUAGUGGAAGGUCCUUUCUCUACCAUGAAUAUUGCCAGAAAGAAUUGAAAGAGACCGCUUGCUAAAAACAUGUCAUAGAUGCGGACCAAGCUACCAAGGAGGUAGACCAAACAUGAUACACACCAUGCGUACCUUGCUGUGCAGACUAUGCAUGGACAAGAUACCCGACCACAUGUUGGCUUUGGUCACAUCAAAAGAAUCAUGUAGGCCAUUAAUAAACUACUUGAAGCGUCAUUCCGUAUCUUAUAUCCAUCAUCUGCAUUACAUUACAUUAAAUAUUAUUAACUAUUUGAAUAAAAUGAACCAAUUUAAAAAUAAUGAAUUGUACAUUACUACAAAAAGCCCUAGCACUGCCAGUUCCAAAAACAUCAUUGUUGACGGCCGUUAAGUACCAAAUAUGACGGUCAAUAUCCUAAAGAAUAAAGGACAAUUGGCAUUUCUUACACACAUAUUUGGUUUCGAAUAAUGUAGUUCUACAUGUCCUUGGAGAUUAUUUGGGUGUGGGUGAAAUAAUACAAAAAGAAGGAGAAAACACACUCCCAUGGCAAAGAAACAUAACUCCGACCAAUGAGAGAUAGCCACAGGGGCAGCACAUGGAUCCAUGGGCCCACAAACUGCAUCAAACCAUCUUACAAGGCGGGUAGCACCCACAACUGUCAUUAGGACCCACCUGGAAGUCUAGCAAAGAAGAAGGUUGUGAGUGGGGCCACGAGGGGUUCGGUUGAAUCAUCUCUAGCUCCCUUCAUCCCCAGCUGGCGCGUGGCGGUGGUUCAUGGUGUCCCGACAUCGGUUAGAGGACAUUCCCCCAAAUAUUCCUCCUGUAAACCAGCUCUAUGAACCUAUAAAUAGAGGGGUGUGCUCUCCAUUCCAACACACACCACAAGUUGAAGCACUCUCUCCCUCUUUAGUUUCCAAGUUUACGGAGAUAGGCUGGAGUAGCUCUGCUAAAGGUUCCAAGUCCACUUGGAGUUAAGCGUAUGUCUCUUGUAUCAUUAUUUCCUAGAGAGACUUUAUGCUAUUCAAGUUAUUUAUCUUCUUCAUAUAGUGUUAUGCUUAGUUCUUAUAUGCAUGAGUUAGUCUAAUACCCUUGCUCUAUUGAUAUGCUCAGCUUAUGUGCUCGUAUGCUAGUCAUGUACCCUUGCUGUCAUAGUAUAGGGUUAUAUGCUGUCAUGUGUGCCUAUAGACCUUGCUACAGUAUAUACUUGUUGUGUAUACAUACCAUUUGUAUAUACAUUAUUACAAGUUAAGGUAGUUUUAAAUAUCCUUGUGUUGACAACCAAAGCUUGAUCUUUUGUUUCCAUUGCCAGCGGAUUCAUCGGCUCAGAGUAGGAUCAAGACAUCAAGUUGAUGGAGUUCUUUAUAUUUCAAGAGGAGUCAUGGAGUUCUUUAUAUUUCAAGAGGAGUUGAUGGUGCUUUCAAUAUUGCAACCAGACAUCAUUGGCUCUGAAGACACCGAAUCAUCGGAGUUCUAUGAUCAGUUUCGGAACAUGAAGCCUUCAUACUCCGAAACUGGGGGGCCUGUGUUGACACCGAAUUAUCGGACUUCUAUAAUUAGUUUCGGAACAUGAAGCCUUCAUACUUCGAAACUGGGGGGUAUGUGUUUACACCAAAAUUUAGAAAUGUGCUCUGAAAGGAAGGACCUGGGAGAUCUAUUGGCUGAAAUACAAAUCCAUCGAAACUAGCCUUAUGCUAAGAGAUCAGAAUAUUGUACAAAGUCUAGAAAGUUCUAUUUACAUCUAAGUAACUCGAUAACUAGCCUUACGCUAAGAGAUCAGAAUAUUGGACAAAGCCUACAAAGUUCUAAUAUAGGUAACGUAAUGACCAGGUGAGGAUAGUUACAAGCUCGCUUGAGAUCGAAGCCGAUGUAGCCCUGCGCGCAAGAAGAAACUCACCUAUUUCUACUCUACUCUUACUCCUAGGGUUUGAUGGCGUGGCGUCAAAAGAUUGUAUUGAUUGAUUGAUUAUUUGAUACAAAGCUCAUGGGCCUAUAUUUAUACCCUUGAGAAAGCUAAAAUCCUAAUCAGUUAUGACAUGAAUCGUGACAGAAAAUCUAACUAAAGAUAGAUCUCCAUGCUUUCCCUUAUUUGGUGGAGUCGAUUUCACUUCAUAUCGGAUCCCUCCCGAUCUUCUAUCGGCUUCUAGCAUCCGGUCAUCUGCGACUGGCCUUGGUCAACAUCAGGUGUCAACAGACUUAUUUCUUCUACAAGUUCAUCGGCUGUCAGAGCCUUGUCUUAGUCAGUUGACUCUAGUAAAAAAUCGAUGUCAAUACAUGCCCCCCAAUUUUUGAAUAAAAUAUUAUAUUUCAAAAUUCUCUUCUCUUGUCAACAGCUUUUGAAAGAAAAAGAGUCACUGCUGCAAUCAUAAUCUUUUUCCCCGGGUUUUGUGAUAGCACCCUCCUCAUUUUAAGGGAUUCACCAUGUGGAAAUUAUAAUAUAACUGCUUCACCCAUUUCGUUUUCUUCACCAAACCAACUAUUGUCAGCCGCUACAACCAAAAAUCAAUUAUUCCCUUCACAUGCCUAGCGACUGCAUCCAUCACUCAUCGUCACCAUUAGUCUCCAUGUGUCAAGGCUUCUUCAACCAGCAAUGGCGACAUUAUCUUCCAUUCCACAGGUACCAUGUAUCCUAGCCAUUCCUUUCCCCUUUCAACCUGAAAUCCAAUCUAGUCACUAUAUAUCAAACCUGUGUUCUUAAUCAAUACUUGCCCCCUUGUACUUAGAAACACCCUUUUGAUCCCCAUAUCCGAUACGCAAGCAGAAUACUUUCUAGGCCCCAUGGGUAGUGAAGACCCAAUAGAAUCUAUUAAUGCUGAAAUACUUGGACAAAGUCUAGAAAGUUCUAUUUACAUCUAAGUAACUCGAUAACUAGCCUUACGCUAAGAGAUUUAAAUAUUGGAUAAAGCCUAGAAAGUUCUUAUAUAGGUAACUGAAAAGUGUGUUGACGCAAAAAUUGGAUGGUUGACUCCUGCGUACUAACACACGGAACCAGGGAGAAUCUGCUUAGCUACUGUUCGGGUUAUAGCCCUCUCGAUCCGUAGCGUGCCAGUUAAUCUGACCUGCUGAUUGACAAGUAAAAAUGUCAAAUUAAGAGCAAAUCAGCUGGUGUUCCGAAUCGCUCCACGGGACGUAUCAGUAGACAGCCGAUACGGGCAAACGACAAUCAGCUAGAUCAGCCGAUUUGCUCUUGUAUUUGACGUUUUACUUGUCCUUCUCAAUCAGCAGGUCAGAUUGACUCGCACGACGCAGAUCGAGAGGGCUAUAACCUAAACAAGAGCUAAGCAGAUUCUCCCGGGUUUCAUGUCUUAGUACACAGAAGUCAACCGUCUGAUUUUAUCAUCAACACGCUUUUUGGCACGCUCAGUGGGACCCGAUUCAUAUCUUAAUGGUAAUUGGUGAUCAAGUUUCAAACAACGUAUCCACUGGUAGAAAACUGAGCAUUAGUCCCGGUUGGUAAGGGUCAUAUCUCUCGGAUAUCCAUCCGGGAUAAACCAACCGGGACAAAAGGGGGGGGUCUUUAGUCCCGGGUAUUUUAACCGGGAGUAAAGGACCCCCUUUAGUCCCGGUUGGUGUCACCAACCGGGACUAAAGGGCCUGCCACGCCAGGCGCGGGACAGGCCCUUUAGUCCCGGUUGGUGACACCAACCGGGACUAAAGGGGGUCCCUUUAGUCCCGGUUGGAUUUCCCAACCGGGACUAAAGGGGUCCCCUUUAGUCCCGGCUCAAUUCCAACCGGGACUAAAUUGCGCUUGCAUGGCACUGGUGACGCCUGAAUUUUUCAUGCAUGCAUCACGUAUACGUAUAGUAGUACCGCGGCCCUUUUAAUUUGUUAACCUUGUAGUUGAGAUUUUUUUAGAAUGAAUUAAAUCAACUAGUAUUUAAACGAAUGGGAUUUGUAAUUACACAACUACUAUAUAUAUACACAAUCCUUAUACACAAUUCAUAUACACAAUUCAACUAGCUUAAUUAGUACAAAUCGAUCAUAUAUACAAAUAAAUCAAAGUAUCUUCCUACGAUCUUCCCGUCGUGGUGUUGCUGAGAGGAGUGUCUAAUUGUCGUCCAUCGUAAUAAAAUUCUCCUCUUGGAUUUACCACCUCGUCCAUUAUGAAUCCAAUGAGACCUUCACAUAUUGCCGCUACUCUUUCUUCCUUCAAGAGUCCUUGUUGAAUAUUUAACAUCUAUAAUUUGGAAAUUUGUGAAUGUUACAUGAACAAAUACAUAUAAGGAGCUAGAAAAUAAUUAACUAGUAAUAUAUUUAUUUUACGUACUUUAAAGUUGUGCGGCGUCAUCUUCGGUCCCUUGGGUCCCAAAAAACUGUGCAUGUGCUCACAGAUGUAGUAGCCACAUAGGUUAUUCCCGGGUUCCUGUCUUAAGCACUUCAGUGCGGAAAAAAAAUAAGUUAUGAAAUAUUCGUGUUAUACAAUGUAAUAAAUGUGCAGACUUCAUACGUACCGGGAAGUCUGUGUUCCAUGUAAGAUCUUCUUUGAAUGGACCUUUGUGUGUCCUUAUGAAUUGUUUCCAUACGCUGCGGAUUAGAAUAAUGAAUGACAUAGUGUAACAGGGAUAAAAUUUAGGAAAUAAAUUUUUGCAUAGAGAUAAAGGUCCAGAAUUAUUACAAGCCUAGCAUGUCUUGCAAUUCUUGGUAGUCCACCGGAUCUUUCCGUAACGAAUCAAAGACAGUGACGUGGCUUCUUUCAGGCUCAAUUAUAAUAAGGAUCCAGUGGAAGCUGCGUGCGUAAAAUGUUCAUGCAUAUUAGAGCUAACUAACAUGUAGAGAUAAGGAAAAAGACAUCGAAAGUAGACGGUAUACACACACUUACUUGAAGUUGUAUGGAAGUAGUAUGAAAUCCUUGAAUGUUUGUUUGUGUAGGAAAUUGUAUAUUUCGGCAAAGGUUUUUUCCGGCGCUAAUUGUAUCUGUUGUUGGUUAACUACAGAUGGAUCCAUGAAGCCUACAUGUAGGUACGCCUCUCGGCGGCAUGUCUGAAUUAGCAUCCUACAUGAAAUGGAAGAUGAAGUUAGUACGGUGACGCACGCCAAAAUUUACAUGUAGAGAUAAUAAACGGACACUUACAGAAUCCAAGCGCUGAUCAGAGAGACGUCCAGGGCAUCAUGAUGGUACACUUCGUAUAUAUCCUUGAAGUCUAGCCACAGCACUUUCUCCCCUUCACCGUGAAAAUCUAUCGGUUUUACCUUCAUGCCGAUCAUCUCCCUCGAUUUGGCGGAUGCCGUCAUGUACCAUUGAUGGAAUUCGUACAUCUUUGUUGACAGCUUCCGUACCAUUGCCGGCUUCACUAGAGGCUUGCCUAGCUCAUAAGGCCAUCUCGGCUCAGGGGGCGGUGCAGUUGGCGUCUCGACUUGCCCUAUGCAUUCUUCAAGUCCCAGACCUGUUUCUUCCAUGAACUUCAAUAUAUUUUCUUGUUGAUCCAAGGGCAUUGCUUUUACCCGUUGAGCAUCUUUCUUUGAUAAAUGGCUGAGGUCGGGGACUGAACCGCUGGAGGAUGAUUUUCCUUUUCUUUUAUCCUUUUCAUCAGCCUUUACUAGAGCCCGUUCAUAGUUUGACAAGAGUGGUAUCCUUUUCUUGGCUCCUUCCUCCAUCCUGAUAAAAAAGUUUAAAUCCCGCCGACUUACUGGCGGUGGCUCCAUCUCCCUUGCCCUUUUUAAUUCGGCUUGUUUCUUGAACCACUCACUGGCCUCUCGUUGGAUUUCUGCCCACUGUUCCGCAUGAGACAUUGCCUCAAAGCGUUCCUUGCGAGCCACUUCAGGGUCGACCUUUGUUUUCUUCUUUCGAGGCUGUCUUUGCUUGGGAGGCGGUGCUCGUGACUUCUUGAGUGGUGCUGCAGGUUCCUUCGAGGGGGCCGCUCUUGGUGCCAGCGACGGUGAUCGGGGAGGGGUGUUGUUAUUGUCGUCGUCGCUCCCAGCACCAGGAUGUGGUGGAGAUGGAGACCUUGAUAUAGAUGGAAGCGACGGUCCUGGAGCAGGAGAUGCCGGUCUCGAGGUAUGAGGAGAAGGUCGCUGCUCGGGAUCUACGGGGAGCGGUCUUGAGGUCUGAGGAGAUGGCUCCGUGCGGGAAAUAAUGAUGUAGCGUUUCUUCCAUAGAAUGAUCCCAUGAAGCGCAUCUGCCAAUGUCUUUUCCCCGUCGCCUCCCGGGAAGUCGAGCUCUAGACCUUCAUACUGGGCAUCUACUAUUUGCUCGACGCAGACGCUGGCGUAGCCUGUUGGAAUGUCCAUGCCAUGACUGCUCUGCCCUGCCAGCGUUGGUAACGCACUCCCAUACGCUACCUGUACAUAUAGCAGAAGUAAACAAGUUGAACUCCGAUCUCGAGGCCUGGAUCAAUUGACAAGAUUGCAUAAAUAUUAUGUAUAAGUAUACCUUAAUAGUGAGGUUGCCGACCGGUGCAUGCAGCUCACAUGAGGUCCGUUGCGUGAUGGCAUCCACGGGGAACCGUUGCUCCUCCACGGGUAACCUGGGCGUCUGCGCAUCGGGGACCCCUGUAGAAGCACAACUGCUCCCGAGGCGUUGAGAAGGGCUGGCGGUGUGAGGAUUCGGCAGUGCUCCAGAUUGCGCCAACUCCGCAACUGCGUCGGCCACCCGCCGAUUGAUUUCAUCCAUCAUUCGUUGUUCUAGCAUCUGCCGCCAGCUCUCCUCCAUCUGUUCCUUUCUUCGCUUCCGGCUUCUGUAAGAGGCGCUGUCGCCUCGGAAAGCGAACUUCCACGGAACCACCCCGAACCCCCGGCAACGUCCUGGGUGCUCUGGAUUACCGAGGGCCAAUGUGAGCUCAUCAUUUUCUCGGUCCACCCUCAACCUCCCAGCCUUGGAAUCUUCAAUGUUCUUCAUGAGAUGUUCGGCCUUCUCACGUAUUCUGUCAUUGAAAAUCAGCGUCCCAUCCUCUUGGCUUAGGGAGCCUCCAUGAGCGUAGUACCAGUUCUUUGAUCGUUCGGGCCAUUCAAUAGUUGCAGGUAUGAUUCCCCGUUCGAUCAGAUCUUGUUCCAUCUUUCUCCACUUGGGAAUUGCUGAGCCAUACCCACCUCGCCCCAAAUGAUGGUGGUAGCCCUUCUGACUAGCAUUUGCAACGUUGGUCGUGAUCUUUUUCACACCUUCUUCACUCCUCUUGUAUUCAACAAAUGCAUCCCAGUGGUCCCUCAACUUGGGCCACGCGUUGAAGUCUGGAGUUUUGCCCUUCUUGAUGUAGUGGGUGUCCAGCAUCUUCUUGAAUGUCUGGAAUUGAGUAGCCAUCUUCUUAAGUGUCCACGCUUUGACAUCCUUCUCGCUAUAAUCUUCGGGGAAUGUGAAAUGCCUCUUCACGUCUUCCCACAGCAUAUUCUUUUCUGUCUCUGGAAGGGCGUACGGAUUAUCGCUUCUGCCCUUCCAUUCUCUGAUGCUGAUAGGCACGUUGUCCCGGACAAUUGCCCCGAUUUGACUAACGUACUUCUUUGCGACUUUCUCGGGAGCAACCGGCCUGCCCUCAUCUGUAACUUCGGUGAUGACAAGCCUCCCUUCCAUCACCUUUGUACGACCUCGGGUCUUCUGCCCUUGUGUCGAUCCGGAGGGCUAACAGUUUAAGAUUCGUUAAUUAGUACGUACUAGUAGCGGUGGCGUGAAACAAUACAAGAAUGGUUGUAUAUACCUCGCCGGAACCUUCCGCCACGGCAAGUUGUUGCUGCGGCUGUUGCUCUUCAUUCACAUCGGCAGACAUGUUGAGGAACAUGUCCGCCUGGGUGCCCUCUUCAUCCGUGUAUGAUAGUGGAACGUUGUCGCCACUAUCAUCACCAGCGAUUAUCUGCUCCAUGAUAUACCUUGCGGUCUCAUCGUCUGCCAUUUCAACUAUUGCUGCAAACAUACAUGGAAUCAUACAUGACAGUCAUAGAAAUCGUCUUAAUACAAAUUUGUAUAUAAUCACAGUUCGGAAUCAUACAUGUAUAUAAUGAAAUCAUAAAAUAACAUGAAUCGUACAAAGUCCGGAAUCUUUAUACAAAUUUCUAUGAAUUUAUACAAAUUUCUAUGAAUUUAUACAAAUUUCUAUGAAUUUCUAUGAAUUUCUAUGAAUUUCUAUGAAUUUCUAUGAAUUUCUAUGAAUUUAUACAAAUUUCUACGAAUUUCUAUGAAUUUCUAUGAAUUUCUAUGAAUUUAUACAAAUUUCUACGAAUUUCUAUGAAUUUCUACAAAUUUCUACGAUUUUCUAUGAAUUUCUACAAAUUUCUACGAAUUCCUACGAAUUUUGACGAAUUUCUACGAAUUUUGACGAAUUUCUACGAAUUUCUACGACGGCGAUAAGGGCGGCGAAGGCGGGACGGCGGCGGUCAGGGCGGCGGAGGCGGGACGGCGGCGGUCAGGGCGGCGGAGGCGGUUCACCGGAACCACGGGCGGUGCCUAAGCUACUACGUUGUGAUGGGCGGCAGGACGGCGGCGAUCACGGCGGCUACUCGGCGGCGAUCACGACGGCUACAAGGCGACUGUCACGGUAGCUACUCGGCGGGACGGCGGCGAUCACGACGGCGGGACGGUAGUUAACAACCUAACUACAAAUCUAACUUAACAAACUAACUAGAAAUCUAAAAAUCUAACUUAACAAAAUUAGAAAUCUAAAAAUCUAACUUAACAAAAUUACAAUUCCAUCUAAAAAAACAAAAUUAAAAAUUAAAAGAAAACGGCCAGCUCUCCCGGCGCACCGGCCGGCGCGGCAGACCUCUCGCGCGCGGGGCGGCGGCCGGGGCGGCGGGACGGCGGCGGCCGGGGCGGCCUGACGGCGGCGGCUGGGGCGGCGACGAGGACGAAGACGACGACGGCGGGAUGACGGCGGCCGAGGCGAAGACGACGACGGCGGCCGGCGAGGGGCGACGAGGAUGGAGCUGGCGACGAGGGGCGAUGCAGCCGGCGAGGGAGGCGGACGGGCGGCGACGGGCGGAGAGGGAGGCGGACGGGCGGCGACGGGCGAGGGAGGCGGACGGGCGACGACGACGGCGCAAUGCGGGACUUCGACGGCGCAAUGGGGGACGACGACGGCGGCGGCCGGCGAGGGAGGCGGACGGGCGGCGACGGGCGGAGAGCGCGGGACUUGCGAAAAUUUCGCUAAGUGUGGAACUGGCGGGGGGUAGAAGGGAGUACAGUGCUUUUAACCCCCCCCCCCUUUUAUCCCGGUUCGUAAUGGCACCCGGGACAAAAAGGGCCUUUUGUCCCGGGUCCUGUCACCAACCGGGACAAAAGGCCCCCCCUUUUAUCCCGGUUGGUGACGGGACCCGGGAUAAAAGGGUGCGCUCCCAGCCCCACCUGGCGGGGGCACCCUUUUAUCUCGGGUCCCGUUACCAACCGGGACAAAAGGCCCCCCCUUUUAUCCCGGUUGGUAACGGGACCCGGGACAAAAGGGUGCCCCCGCCAGGUGGGGCUGGGAGCGCACCCUUUUAUCCCGGGUCCCGUCACCAACCGGGAUAAAAGGGGGGGGCCUUUUAUCCCUGUUGCAAAUGGCAACCGGGAUAAAAGGGUACGUUCGGGCGGGAGACGAAACGUACCCUUUUAUCCCGGUUGCCGUUUGCAACCAGGAUAAAAGGGGGGCCUUUUAUCCCGGUUGCUGUUAGCACCCGGGACAAAAGGUCCUUUUUCCUAUUUUUCUUCUCCCGCCUGUUUUUUGGAAAUGGAUUUUAUUUAACCUUUUCACUGCAUUCCAGGAUGAAAAACAAAACCUUCUCAGAUUUUGUACAUGCAAAAAUAUAUUUAAUUAACGAGUAAAUUGACAAUAAGUAUGAAGUAAUCAUUAUUUCUAUACCAACUCAUAUAGCCUGUAAAAUAUUUAUUUUACUGCAUUGCUGUGAUCAAUAAAUUAUUCAAUUAAAUUUUUUGAAUGCGCAGAAAAAUCCAUGUUAGUAUGUGGUUAACAAUGUUCAUGUAUAUCUAAAAAAUCUUCACCUAACAAAUUUAAUUACAAAUUUUAUCAAUUAAUACACAAAGGUCAUGCACAUUUAACGCAUUACAAUACAACGUUGUAAAAUUUCUUCUUCACGAAAGUUCCUUGAUCAUGAUCGCGGCGUAAGUACGGAGCCUCUUCUUUGGACAGCAGGAUGCUUGGAUCAACUUCAACGUCGAAUGGAGGCAUGCCAUCAAACUGAUCAUAAUCAUCUGAUUGGUCUGUUUUAUCCUCGACUCCCACGAUUUUUCUUUUACCUAGAAGAACUAUGUGGCACUUUGGCUCCCAUGUCUCUUCUGGAUUCCUCUUGGGUUUGCUGCACAUGUCCUUCACAUAGAACACCUGAUGCACAUCAUUGGCAAGUACGAAUGGGUCAUCACUGUAUCCAGUCUUGCUCAGAUCUACUAUUGUCAUUCCGUACUGAUCUUUGGUGACGGCAGUUAGCUUCACCCAAUUGCAAAGAAAUAGAGGGAUGUACAGCGGUCCGUAUUCGAGUUCCCAUAUCUCCUGUAUGAAACCAUAAUACGACUCCUUGCUAUUAUUUCUGUCCAUGGCAUCUAUGCGGACACCACUAUUCUGGUUCGUGCUUUUCUGGUCCUGGGCUCUCGUGUAAAAUGUGUAACCAUUUAUCUCAUAGCCUUGGAAUUUGACGAUUGUGGUAGCAGGUCCCCUGGCUAACCAAGCAAGCUGUGGGUGAAUCUCAGAGUUACCCAUAAGUUGUUGGCGCAACCAGGAGGGAAAAGUUUCCAUGUGAUGACGGGUAAGCCAAGCAUCGGAUUUGGUCGGGUUUUUGGAAGCUACCAUCUGCCUGUGCUGCUCGAUAUACGGAGACACAAAGGAUGACUGUUGUAGAACAGUGUAGUGUGCCUUGUCGAACAAAUUAGUAUCAUUGCUCAAACUUGAUUUCCUUCCAAGGGUGCCCAUUCCUCGGAGCCUCCCCUCGUGGCGUGAAGUUGGAACCCCAAUCGAGUCAAUUGAAUCAAUAAAAUCAACACAAAACUCGAUCACCUCCUCUGUUCCAUAUCCCCUGGCGAUGCUUCCUUCUGGACGAGCACGAUUACGAACAUAGUUUUUUAGGACUGCCAUGAACCUCUCGAAAGGCCACAUAUUGUGCAGGUAUACAGGUCCGAGAAUACCAAUCUCUUUUACUAGGUGAACCAGUAAGUGCGUCAUAUUAUUGAAGAAGGAUGGUGGAAAUAACAACUCAAAACUGACAAGACAUUGCACCACAUCGUUCUGUAGCUUUGAUAGCUUGGAUGGAUCGAUUGCCUUCUGCGAAAUCGCAUUGAGAAACGCGCAUAGCUUUACGAGCGGCAACCGGACAUUUUCGGGUAGAACACCCCUCAGUGCAACCGGAAGCAACUGGGUCAUCAACAUGUGGCAGUCAUGAGCCUUGAGAUUUGUAAACUUCUUUUGUUUCAUAUUUAUUAUUCCCUUUAUAUUCGAGGAGUACCCAGACGGGACCUUCAUACUAUUCAAGCAUUCAAACAUACUAUCCUUCUCCUCCUUGCUGAGAGUGUAACUGGCAGGACGUAAGUAGUGCUGUCCAUUAUCUCUCUUUUCCGGAUGUAGGUCAUCUCGUUGCCCCAUGGCUUUCAGGUCCUGUCUUGCUUCCAAUGUAUCUUUUGAGGUUCCAUAAACACCCAUGAAGCCUAGCACGUUCACGCAAAGAUUCUUCGUCAGGUGCAUCACGUCUAUUGCGUUGCGAACCUCUAGGAUUUCCCAAUAAGGUAGCUCCCAAAAUAUUGACUUUUUCUUCCACAUGGGUGCAUGUCCGUUAUCAUCGUUCGGAAUAGGUUGGCUACCAAGUCCCUUUCCAAAGACUACAUGUACAUCCUUCAUCAUCUCGAACACACGCUUUCCAUUACGGUGUGCAGGUUUUUUACGAUGGUCUGGCGUCCCUUUGAAAUGCAUCCCGCUCUUUCUCAGCUGGUGGUGAGCAGGGAGAAAUCGACGAUGACCCAUAUAGACGACCUUCUUACAGUGCUUCAAGUACAUGCUAUCUGUGUCAUCUAAACAGUGGGUGCAUGCCCGAUAUCCCUUAUUUGUCUAUCCUGAAAGGUUACUCAAUGCAGGCCAAUCGUUGAUGGUUACGAACAACAGUGCUCGUAGAUUAAAGAUCUCUUGUCUAUCCUCAUCCCACACACGUACACCUUCUUCCUUCCAGAGCUGUAAAAGGUCAUCAACCAACGGCCUUAGGUACACGUCAAUGUCGUUGCCGGGUUGUUUUAGGCCUUGGAUAAGCGCCGGCAUCAUAAUGAACUUCCGCUUCAUGCACAGCCAAGGAGGAAGGUUGAACAUACAAAGGGUCACAGGCCAAGUACUAUGACCACUACUCAACUCACCGAAUGGAUUGAAUCCAUCAGUGCUUAAACCAAACCUUAUGUUCCUUGCUUCACUUUCAAAGUCUGGGAAUGUUCUAUCAAUUGAUCUCCACUGUGCCCCAUCUGCGGGGUGUCUCAGCAUCUCAUCUUCCUUACGGUCUUCUUUGUGCCAUCGCAUCAACUUAGCAUUCGCCUUGUUCCUGAACAAGCGCUUCAAGCGUGGUAUUAUAGGGAAAUACCACAUCACCUUCACGGGAACUCUCUUCUUGGGAGACUGCCCCUCGACAUCACCAGGAUCAUCUCGCCUGAUCUUAUACCGCAGGGCUUCGCAGACGGGACAAGCAUCCAAUUCCUCGUAUUCAUCACCACGAUAGAGGAUACAGUCAUUAGGGCAUGCGUGUAUCUUCUGAACAUCCAAUCCGAGAGGGCAAAUAAUCUGUUUAGCUUCAUAUGUUGUGGACGGUAAUUCAUUAUUCUCGGGGAGAAUCUUCUUGACAAUUCUCAACAUCCCCUGAAAUGCCUUAUCGGACACACCAUUUUUUGCCUUCCAUUGCACAAAUUCUAGUGUCGUACCUAGUUUUUUAUGGCCCUGCUGGCAACCUGGGUACAACAAUUUUUGGUGAUCAUCUAUCAUGCGCUGCAACUUUGCUGCUUCCUUCUCAGUUUCGCAAUCUCUGUAUGCAUCUCGUAUCACCUGACCAAGGUCAUCAGUAGGGUCAUUUUCUGCAAACUCAUCUUCAUCAGCCUCGCCCAUUGUAGUACCUGCAAAAGCUUGGCCUGCAACCCAGUCCGGAAUGGUGUCAUCUUCCUCCUCCUCCUCGCCAUCUUCCAUUACAACCCCUAGUUCACCGUGCUUGGUCCAAACCAAAUAGUUAGGCAUGAAACCGUAUUUAAACAAGUGGCUGUGAAUAGUCCCCCAGGAAUUCUUUGAAUACUCCUUCCUGUUAUUGCAUUGGAAGCAUGGACAACAUACGAACCCAUUCUCUGGCUUGUUCGCUUUUGCCACUUCGAGAAAAUAAUGCAAGCCAUCAAUAAACACCUUGCUCCGCCUGUCUGCAUUAUACAUCCAAUGCCGGUCCAUCUGCAUCGUAUUACGCACGAAAAUGGAUUACACUUGACAAUGGAUUACGCGUGAAAAUCGAUUAAAGAUCCAAACAACAUGGUACAAUACAACAACAUGAAGAUCCAAAUACACAUAUUUAAAUUAAAGUCCCAAACACUGCAUAAGUUGUUCAACUUGAAGACCGUGAUCAUCUCGUGAGGAUGUCCUCAACUGGGCGGCACCGCACUUCGUCAUUAAAGAGGUUAGAUGCUACGGAAAAGGGGACACGGUCACAAUGUCCGUAUCCACUCUUUCUCGUAGAAUCGAACCUCCUUCUUGACAUACGUUGCUGCUCGGCGGAGAACAUCCUCGGCGAGAUGAACACGGUAUGCAAGUUCAACAAGUAGCAGAAGUCAUCUAUGUACAAAAAUUCUUUCCUUACCACUACAGAAGUUGUUGAACUUGAAGACCGUGUUCAUUUCGCGAGGAUGUCCUCAGCUAGGCGGCACCGCACUUCGUCAUGAAAGAGGUUAGAUGCUACGGAAAAGGGGACACGGUCACGAUGUCCGUAUCCACUCUUUCUCGUAGAAUCGAACCUCCUUCUUGACAUACGUUGCUGCUCGGCGGAGAACAUUCUCGCCGAAAUGAACACGGUAUGCAAGUUCAACAAGUAUAUGGAUUUAAAAAACCAUAUUGAAUUUGAUAAGAUAAACCGUCUAGACAAGGUAGCAUCAUUUUUAAACCACUGAAAUAAUGCAUACUAUAUAUGACACAUCAAUCUCCCUCACAUUCUAGCUCAAAAUACCUCUCCAUUUUUCUACUUCAUCAUCACAUUGUAGCAAAUAAUCUUUCCAUCUCCAAAGCAUAAAUCAAAGCAUAACACGAGGAUGAAGUAGCAAACCUUCGCAGCACUUGUUGGCUGAGUCAAAUUCCCACGAAAAUGAGGGAAAAAAGUUCGGGCAGCACCUCCCUUGCUUGGGCACCACCGGAGAGUAGGUGAAGCUCAGCUCUCUAUCAAUGUGCUGGACUGCUCGGGCUGGAGGAAGAAGAAAGUCUCUGUCUCGGGGUAUAGUGGGGGAUGAGUUUUAAUCCCGGUUAAAAACUCCAACCGAGACAAAAGGAAACACCUUUUGUCCCGGUUGGAAAGUUAGUCCCGGUUGGAGGAUCCAACCGGGAUAAAAGGGACACCCUUUUAUCCCGGUUGGAGGCACCAACCGGGACUAACCCUUUUAUCCCGGUUGGUGCCUCCAACCGGGAUAAAAGGGUGUCCCUUUUAUCCCGGUUGGAUCCUCCAACCGGGAUAAAAGGGUCCCGCCACCGACGGCCCCCGCUAGCCGUUGCAACCGGGACUAAAGGGGGGCCUUUAGUCCCGGUUGCAAUUACCAACCGGGACUAAUGCUCCCCUCCAAAUUCCCGCACCCCGGCGCACCCCCUUUUGUCCCGGGCCACUUUUAAACCGGGAUAAAAGGGGGUUGAUCGAAAGUCAGUUCUCUACUAGUGAUCGGUGACUCCGCUCGAGGAGAAUUGUUUAUAUCAAGCAUAGAAAUGACAACGUUGGAAGUGGAGGAUAUAUUUUGCUCUGUUGAUUUAAUUGCCGCGAGAGUGGCGGACAAGUUCUAAUGAUUGAAGAUCAGAAGCGUCUCGUGGAGAAUUUUUCAGAAGCUAUAUUUGGAAUUAUUAUAUUAUCUCAGGAGCAGAUUAAAUAUAACGCCACCACUGAAAGCCGAUGAGAUGUAUCUAUCGGCUACAUGCUAUUCAGAUGAAUUUGAUGACAGAUUAAUUACGGAGGAGACCGACCGAUACAACAUUAUGGUUUCUUACUGCUGAUCUGUUAUGAAAGAGGAUGUGAGAAGCUGAUAAUCAAGCAACAAUAAAAUGAUAUACACGCAGGGCAUUAAAUAUUGAGUUAAUGAUUGGGAGUACUACCAUUAUCUUAUGAAAAGUCCAUCGGCUAACCAAACAGCGUCAGCCGAUGGAAGCAAAUAGUGUCAGCCGAUAGAAUGAUGUUAUAUAAGUAUAUAUAUCGGCCUCCGAGCCAAUGGGAAGUAGGAACUAUCAGCCGAUGCACACAUCCAUGGACAUAGCCGAUAAGACAUUGUAUCGGCUGCUUGGCAAAUAAAAAUAGCAUCGGCUGACCGCUUGUUAAAAUAUUAUCGGCCGAUUGCUUGGCAAAAUAGUAUUGGCUGACUGCUUGGCAAAUAAAAAAAUAAUAGGUUGACCAAAAAAGGAUAGCAUUGCCUGAUUGCUUGGCAAAUAAAAAAAAUUACGUCGGCUGAUUGGUUCCAGCAAAAUAGUAUCGGCUGCUUGUUGAUCAGAAAAAGCCGAUACUGUUACAGCUCCCGCAACUGUGCUUUGCUGUCAUCGGCUGGGUUGUUCGUGCUCCAUCUGCAAAUAUUUGUCCCGGCUAGAAAGUAUCGUACGUGCAUUGGGAUUCGGCAGUACAAAUCACGUACACGCGUAUGGUCUGCUCAGAAGCUGUCUGUUCGACGAAGUUCCAGGCCAAUGGUGGAGACUUGAUGACCAUGGUGACCUGCAUUAAUCAACAUGAAGUAUGUAUCGGCUGUUCGGUGAUUGGUAGCAAAUCAGCUUUCUCAUAGCCGGUGACAUAUGGGGCAAGAAAUAUCAGGCUUAAAAAAGGACAGUACGAUCAAUGUCGAAAGUUGUAGCCGACGGUUCUAUUAUUGUGCAGUCGAUGGAACAUAGAAGAUGCAUCUGAAUGAGCAAAAGGAAGGGAGCCGAUAGAAGGGAAUUUAAGUUGCAUGAGAUCCAAUUAAAUUAAGAUGACGAGAGGUGUUGACAUCGAAUCAUCGGACUUCUACGAAGUCUUCAUACUCCGAAACUAGGGAGUCUGUGUUAACACCAAAAUUUAGAAAUAUGCUGAUGCAAAAAAAUAAUGAAAUCUCCUAAAUAAGGCUCAAGAAAGAAAAAGCAAGAAAAGAAAAUCAAUCGCACGCGGCAAGAAUUGAAUAAAAUAUUCUAGAGGUAGAGUUGGUUAGGAUAAGCUUAAUUAGGGAUAGAGUUGGAUUAGUUAGAGAUAGUAUUUUGAUUAGAAAAGAUUGUGUACAUGACUUGUACGUGGUGCGUCAGAGGCCAUCCGCCCUAUAAAUAUAAGGGGUCGUGGCCAUUGUAAUUAUCAUCACACGAUCAAUAUACAACAUAUUUAUCUUUUACCUUUUCGGCUUCACGCCAUUGUAUUAGGAGUAGGAGUAAUGUAGCUUCCUGACGAGUUCCUUCUAGCAAGCUGUGCUGCAUUGACCUUGAUCUCUGGCGAGCUGCAAAGUUCCGUCACCAGGUGUUCUAGGCUUUAACCACCGGGCGCAUCGCUUGUGGUUUCGUCUAGUUUCAUCUACAAGGUAUCGAAUAUCAUGGAUCUUUAACUUACGCAUCGCUUCUGUCUUGAUCUACGGUAUUCACCAGUUAUCCUGCCUUGGUUAAGUCUGCAUCGGCUGAUAUUUAUCUGUUCUAUCAUCUUGCCGUUCAGUUUGCUUUAAUUAGCUUUAGAUCGGUUCAUUAUAGAUGAUAGAUCGCUUAAUAGCCUGUUGCAUCUUAAUCUUGGUUACCCCUUCAAGUGCUGUUGGGAUUAAGUUUCGUUAUGAUUGGAUUCAUCGGCUGGUGGGGUUGGUGGGGUUCAGAUUAACAUCGUGCUAAAUAUUUCUAGACUGCAACUACUGGACGCAUCGCUGUGGUUUCAUCUAGAGAUAUUGGUAGAGAGUUUAGUUUAGAUCUCAUCGGUUCGUGGCUCUAGCUAUGGUGGAGCGGCAGCUGAAUAGCAUCCUGUUUUCUAUCGGUCGCCUGGCCGAUAGUUAUUGCAAAAUAUAUUAAAUCGCCUGGAUGGCCGAUGGAUCACUCACGCUCGUCAAGGAUCAUAUCGGCCUGAUCGGCCAGUUGCCUCGGACUUCAAAGGAUUAUUUUCACCUUGUCAGUUGAAUGGUCAAACUGGCUGGCACGCCCGCGCACACCAUGCGCGCCGAUUUGGAUUUUGCACUGGAGUUAAGUAGAUCUUCCAGGUCCUCAUGUGGUGACGAAGGAUCCACCACCAUCAGGAUUUUGCGUCAACACAUUUUGGCACGCCCAGUGGGACACGGUUAUAAGGUUCAUAUUUUUAUUCAUAUAAAAAAGCAUCUUCGGCAUCAUCGGCCAAAUGAGUGUUCAUCGGCUUGUUAGAAUUAAUUCAAUAUAAUAUUUCAGCAAAAGCAGCCGAUGUAGCGAUUGGAGAUAAGGCCAAGUCAAGUCUGCGUGUAUACGCAUGUUCCGGUGGGAUCAUCUUCAUAAAUGCCAAUGACGAUUAGAGAUGAAGCUUCCUGCAAAAUGAUUGGCUACUCUAUCCGGGAAGAAUUGCUUUUUUAUGAGGCAUAUAUAGAGACCCAUGUUGCAAUUAGGGGGCGUAUUCGUGCAUUGGCUGAAAUAAAAAAAUGCAUCGGCAUAUUGAAAAUUGCAUCGGCCGAUUGACAGUCGUAUCAGCUGAUUGGAAAAAUAAAAAGGGAUCAGGGAUCCGCCGAUUGAAAAUUGCAUCAGCUGAUGGAAAAUGAGAGCAACAGUUACAAUAUUUUUUUUAAAAGAAAGCAAGUAUCGGCAAGCAGUAGCCGAUGGAUUUGUAUUUCAGCCAAUGGGGUUUUUGUUUCAGCUGAUAGUACUACUGGCUGAUGGCAAGUCCAAUGGAGUUAAAAUUGCAUUGACUGAUUGAAAUAAAAAUUAAGUAUCGGCUAAUUUAUGGCCAAGUAGCAUCUGCUGAUUUGUUGCAAAGUAGUUUCGGCUGAUUUAUGGCAAAAUAGAAUCGGCCGAUUUAUGGCAAAGAAGCCAAUAGACAAAAGCAUCGGCUGGUAGAGAAGCCGAUUGAGCAAGCAUCUGUUGAUGAGCUAUGUAUGGGAAAAAGUAUUGGCUGCUUAAACAAUUGACAAAAGCCAAUUGGUCAGACUGAGAAGCCAACUGGGAAAGCAUCGAUCGAUGGAUUGCGUAUGGGAGAGAGUAUCGGUUGAAGUCUUUAGUAUUGACUGCUAGAUAUUUGAGCAAGCGUCGGCCGAUUGACUGCUUGGUAAAAAAAACAUCGGGCUGAUUGCUUGGUUAAUAAAAAAAUUGCAUCGUUCAAGCAAAGAUUGCAUGGGCUGAUUGGUUCAAGCAGAAUAGUAUCGGUUGCUUAUAGAAUAUAUCGGAUAUUAAUUUCGAAGCAUGAAAAUAUUCAUACUCCGAAACUGGGGGGCCUGUGUUGACAACAAAAGCUUGCUGGUUACUGCAUCAAGUUUUGGUGUCAACAUACUUGAUCUUUUGUUUCCAUUGCCAGCGGAUUCAUCGGCUCAGAGUGGGAUCAAGACAUCAAGCUGAUGGAGUUCUUUAUAUUUCAAGAGGAGUCAUGGAGUUCUUUAUAUUUCAAGAGUAGUCGAUGGUGCUUUGAAUAUUGCAACCAGACGUCAUUGGCUCUAAAGAUACCGAAUCAUCGGACUUCUAUGAUCAGUUUCGGAACAUGAAGCCUUCAUACUACGAAACUGGGGGCCUGUGUUGACACCGAAUCAUCGGACUUCUAUAAUUAGUUUUGGAACAUGAAGCCUUCAUACUUCGAAACUGGGGGGCCUAUGUUAACACCAAAAUUUAGAAAUGUGCUCUGAAAGGAAGGUAUCGGCCGAUGAUGCAAAAAAAUAAUGAAAUCUCCUAAAUAAGGCUGAAGAAAGAAAAGCAAGAAAAGGAAAUCAACGCACACGGCAAGAAUUGAAUAAAAUAUUCUGGAGAUAGAGUUGGUUAGGAUAAGCUUGAUUAGAGAUAGAGUUGGAUUAUUUAGAGAUAGUAUUUUGAUUAGAAAAAAUUGUGUACAUGACUUGCCUUGUACGUGGUGCGUCAGAGGCCAUCCGCCCUAUAAAUAUAAGGGGUCGUGGCCAUUGUAAUUAUCAUCACACGAUCAAUAUACAACAUAUUUAUCUUUUACCUUUUCGGCUUCACGCCAUUGCAUUAGGAGUAGGAGUAAUGUAGCUUCUCGACGAGUUCCUUCUAGCAAGCUGGGCUGCAUCGACUUCGAUCUUCGGUGAGCUGCAAGUUCCGUCACCAGGUGUUCUAGGCUUUAACCACUGGGCGCAUCGCUGUGGUUUCGUCUAGUUUCUUCUACCAGUUACCGAGUAUCUUGGAUCUUUGACUUAUGGCACAUCGCUUCUGUCUCGAUCUACGGUAUUCACCAGUUAUCCCGCCUUGAUUAAGCUUGCAUCGGCUGAUAUGUAUCUGUUCUUUCAUCUUGCCGUUCAAUUUGCUUUAGUUAGCUUUAGAUCGGUUCAUCAUAGACAAUAGAUCAUUUAAUAGCAUGUUGCAUCUUGAUCUUAGCUAUCCUUCGAGUGUUGUUGGGAGUAAGUUCCGUUGUGAUUGGAUCCAUCAGCUAGCAGGGUUUAGAUUAACAUCCUGCUAAAUAUUUCUAGACUGCAACUACCGGGCACAUUGUUGUGGUUUCACCUAGAGAUAUUGGUGGUGACGUUAGUUUAGAUCUCAUCGGCUUGUGGCUCUAGCUAUGGCGGGGCAACAACUCAACAACAUCCUGUUUUCAAUCGACCGUCUAACUGAUAGCUAUUGUAAAUUAUAUUAAAUCGGCUGGAUGACGAUGAAUCACUCACAUUCAUCAAGGUACUGGAAUCGGCUUCACAGCCGAUAUAUUUGUCAUGAUUUAUUUUGUUGCACCAUUAUCGCUACUGUGCUAGGAUUAUAUCGGCCUAAUCGGCCAGUUUCCUCGGACUUCACAACGACUAUCAUCUCCUUGUCAGUUGAAUGGUCAAACUGACUGGCAUGCCCGCGCACACCACACGUGCCGAUUUGGAUUCUGCACUGGAAUUAAGCAGAUCUCCCAGGUUCUCAUGUGCUGAUGCAGGGUCCACCACCGCCAGGAUUUUGUGUCAACACCUUGUAAUCUUCCUUUGAUUUCCUCAAUGAUUCGAAGACAAUAACCUUGCUUGUAUAAAUGAUAAUUAUAAGGAGAACCUAGUGGAAACUGUGUAUUCAUAUUAGAACUACCUAUGGUUAAUUAGGUUAGGAAAGGAAAUCGAAAAUAGACCGUACCCACACUUACUUAAAGUUGUUGGGCAGUAGUAUGUAAUGCUUGUAAUUCUGUUACUCCAAGAAUUUGUAUAUGUGGUCCAAUGUAGACUUUGGUUGAUCCCAUAUCUGUUGUUGGUUAAAUAAGUGUUUCUGGCCAUUUCUAGCCGUUAGAACCGGAACUAAAGGGGGCUCUUUAGUACGGGUUGAUAUUACUAACCGGGACUGAAGAGCCCCCAUUACAGUUGGUUUUUGGACGCGGAACUAACAACUCCUUUAGUCCCGAGUCCAAAAACGACUGAGAUAGAAGAUCCUUUCUCUACCGUGAAUAUUGCCAGAAAGAAUUGAAAGAGACCGCUUGCUAAAAAUAUGUCAUAGAUGUAGACCAAGCUACCAAGGAGGUAGACCAAACAUGAUACACACCAUGCGUACCUUGCUGUGCAGACUAUGCAUAGACAAGACACCCGACCACAUGUUGGCCUCGGUCACAUCAAAAGAAUCAUGUAGGCCACCAAUAAACUACUUGAAGCGUCAUUCCGUAUCGUAUAUGCAUUGCCGGUUCAUCUGCAUUACAUUACAUAAAGUAGUAUUAACUAUUUGAAUAAAAUGAACCAAUUUAAAAGUAAUGUGUUGUACUCUACUAUAGAAAGCCCUAUCACUGUCGGAUCCAGAAACAUCAUUGUUGAUGGUCGUUAAGUACCAAGACGGUCAAUAUUCUCAAGAAUAAUGGAGAAUUGGCAUUUCUUACACACAUAUUUGGUUUUGAACAAUGUAGUCCCACAUGUCCUUGGAGAUUAUUUGGGUGUGGGUGAAAUAAUACAAAAAGAAGGAGAAAACACACUCCCAUGGUGAAGAAACAAAACUCCGACCAAUGAGAGAUAGCCACAGGGGCAGCACACGGAUCCAUGGGCCCACAAACCGCAUCAAACUGUCUUACCAAGGCGGGUAGCACCCACAACCAUGAUUAGGACCCACCUGGAUGUCUACCAAGAAGAAGGUUGUGAGUGGGGCCAGGAGGGGUUCGGCUGAAUCAUCUCUAGCUCCCCUCAUCCCCAGCUGGUGCAUGGCGGUGGUUAAUGGUGUCCCUACAUCGGUUAGAGGAGAUUCCCCCAAAUAUUCCUCCUGUAAACCACCUGUAUGGACCUAUACAUAGAGGGGUGUGCUCUCCAAUCCAACACACACCACAAGUUUAAUCACUCUCUCCCUCUUUAAUUUCCAUGUUUAUGGAGUUAGCCUAGAGUAGCUCUGCUCAAGGUUCCAAGUCCACUUGGAGUUAAGCAUAUGUCUCUUGUAUCGUUAUUUCCCAGAUUGACUUUAUGCUUAGUUCUUAUAUGCAUGAGUUAGUCUAAUAGCCUUGCUCUAUUGAUAUGCUCGGCUUAUAUGCUCGUAUGCUAGUCAUAUACCCUUGCUGCCGUAGUAUAGGCUUAUAUGCUCUCAUGUGUGCCUUUAGACCUUGCUACAAUAUAUACUUGUUGUGUAUACAUACCAUGUAUAGGCUAGUCGAUCUAUACCAUGGCAUUGGUUCAAUAGCCAUGUUUUUGGUGGCUCCAACCCUAGUCAGAAUAGCUCGGGACAGCUAGAGUGUUGUUAAAAAUGCAAGAGUGAUGGUUGGGUUGUUUAGCAUCGUUGGAUAUGGGUUUUCCCCACGGGUUUCUAAGAGUAGGCGGCAGCUAGUGACAGCCCUGUCCGUCCUUCGUAAUCCCCCCACAUUCAAGUACGCCAUAGAAGUUCAUAAAUUAGCAGUAACUACACCGGCAGACCGGUAGGGUAUUGUCUCCCUAUAGUACCUUGGUGCAUAGAACUAGGUCAUAUACACUGUGUGUCUAUGUUUACGCUGAUAUGAUCUGUGCAGUAUAUAGCAUGUAUAUAUGAACCUAGAGCUAACUCCUAGUCCAUUCUCCGUAGCUUAGUUAUCUUGAGAUGAUUCUUCUGUGUGUGUAACACUACCCAUCUUAUCAUUAUCCUUAAUCCUGUCUUGUGUAAUAUAUCUACUCAUCCUAUGAUAUACUCAUAUGCAUAGUAAACUAUUUUGACCUACCCGCCUUCCUUUGGGAAAUACGAUACCCUGGAAUAAUCCUAGGUGAAAUGCUACAACGGUAUAUCCAUGUGCUUACGGAAUUAUUCCUGACCAUUAAAUAUACCAACAAUCAUCACUAUCUAUUUUGGGCAUCGUUAGUGAAGGGUCGGCAGUGAUGGGCAUCCCCUUCACCAAUGGAGCUGGAACUGGCGGUGAUGGCCAUUAAAAAAAAUGGGACCCCACCCAGCGUACCCCGCAACCCGGCCGGCUGCGCCUCCCAUCAUCCCCGCCGGUCGCCCUUCCUCUUUGCCGGCCGAGCAUGGUUCCGGCCCUCGUCCCUACCGCCUCGCCUCCAUCGCGACCCCCUGCCGAUGCCCUCAUGCCUGGCCCCCCUCGUCUGGCCGGCCACCCUCCCGAUGCAUCCACCGGGGCCCUCGCACCACCAACCACCCUAGCCUAGAGAGAGAGAGGAGGAGGGAGGUGAGGCCACGCACCUCGUCCUACAACGCCGCUGUUGCUCCUCGGCCCACCGCGCCUCACCCCACACCACAGCCGCACCUCGCCAUCUUACCGGCCGCGACGCCCCAUCUCACCGGCCACCGUUCCUCACCCCCACAUCGGUCAUCGCUGCUCCUUGCCCUACUGCUGCUCUUUGCAGCCGCGAAUGAGGGGCGAGUGGAGGGGGAGGGGCGGGGCAGGAGGAGGGCAAGAUCCGGGAGGAAGGGAGAGAUUUUGGGAGGUGGAGAUGGAAGGAUAUGGCGGAAGGUAGAGAUCUAGAGGGAGAGAGCGGGGGGGAGAGGGGGGCAUGUGGGGAGAGAGCGCAUGUGGGGUGGGGCCGGGCUGGUGGGAUGGAAGGUAGAGGGGCCGGAGGGCGCAGUGCAUUCAACUGGAUUAAGUAAAUAUUUCGGAUUCGAGACCCCAGCUUUAUUAUCACCGCUGGUCCGUAGUACCAUUCGGUGCCGGCUCAUAAUUUAAUUUGAACCGGUGGUGAUGUUUUAUUAUCACUGCUGGUUUCAAUUUUCACCAUCGGAUCAUAUAAAAAUCCGGCGGUUAAAAAUCCGCUGGUUUCGAUGAAAACCGACAGUGAUAGGACGACUGUGAUAGUCUCUUCUCUAGUAGUAGUAUAUUAGUACCGGCUGCCGGAUGGUGUUGCCGACGAGUACUUCUCCAGGGGCGAUUCAGUACUGAUGUUAGCAAAGCUUGUUCUCUAUGAAUUUGGGGAUGGAAAGCUAGUUCUCUAGUUGUGAUUUGUUACAUAUAUCUCUAUGAUAGUCUAGAAAUUGCAUGUCCUUCGUUGACAUAGUUGAAGCUGCUUCAAGAAUUUACUUCGUGCAGUCGUGCAGCAUAUUGGAUUAUCACCUAGACAGGAUACAUAGGUGAAGCAUUGCAUGUGAUUGUGGCUGAUAAUUAUGCAGGACGCUGUUGCAAUCAACCAUCAAGAAGACUGGAGCGAUGGGGUUGCCUCAUCAACAAUUUUUAUAUAUGGCUGCAGUAUUAUUAAGCCCACGUCAAUAAUUUUUUCUCCGCAGCAUAUAUAUGGUUACUCAGUUCGCUGGAGUAUCGCUGUGGAAAAACAUACGUACUGCGCCUCGGAACUAACUGGCAUUCAGGCCAUCAACGACCAGAUAUUUGGGACAACCAACAAAUAGUAGGUGGUUCCUAAGUUGUAGUCGUAUGUACUAAUGCGCCUCGAUGGGGUUUUCUUCAGAUAUUUUAUUGCCGUUCAAUGAACAAGCAGAUACAUAACCUGUGCAGAAAAUUCCAUCUCCACGCAUGCCACUGCACCAACAAGAUCCUCAGUCGACGAUGAUGGCUCAGCCUGUUCCUUCUGCCACCAAAUCCUCAAUCUUCCCUCCAGCAACGGAGAAUGCACCUUUAGUACCUUCAGUAUCAGAUGUUGCAAUCGGUACCGUGAAACCGAGACUAAAAUCCUUACUUUGCAGGGGGCAAAACAAUCUUGCAAAUAUAUAUUUUGAAUUCCAACAAAAUUUAAGAAAUGUUAAAGAUGACUAGCUGAGAGUCAACAGACAAGAUAUGAUAUUAGGAAUGUGGGAGGAUGAAUGCAUUUGUACAGGGGUCAUACUAUUUCCAGACUCUUCUAUAUUUCCAUAUGACUACCUACUUCAAUGUCACGCGAGCCAUUCAAAAAGAUACAUGGUACACUUGUAUGUCUAAUCCAUUAUUGAUUAUUUCCUCUUGUCAUCUCUUACAAGUAUUUCUCCAUACUAUAGAAACGUGCAACACAUUUUUAGGAUAUGGACACGCAUGAUUAAUAUGCUUGGACUAGUAUACAGGUCAUCUUUGGAUGAGUACAUAUGAAUGCCAGGGAGGGACUGAUGGAUAUAAGGAAAAGGGACCAUGCAUAAAUAAUGACAUAUGUAACAUGGCAAUCUUCAUUGCCAUGCAACUCCUAUCAACAAUCAUGGAAUACAUACUACUGCUCCAGAAGGGUGGUGUGCAAAUUUAUUUUACCUCGCGGUGAAAAUCUCCAGAGCAGGCCUGAAGUUAAAAUAAGAGGCAGUCACUAUCGAUCAUGACAGUCUCGAAACUGUACAGCACUAUGCUAGUCCUAGUCCUCAUGUCGUUCGUGCUGUCGUGUAGCAUGAUGGAUUAUUAACUGGGCAGGACACGGAGAUGGCUAGCGAUGACAGAGGAUGACGUACAUGAUAUUCACCUCUGAAAUGAAGCGUAGGCUAAUGAAGCACAAUUGCAUGUGAGUGUGGCAGAUAUUUAUACAGGACAGUGAUUGCAAUAAUCGACCAUCGAGAUCGAAGACAGGGGCGAUGGGGUUGCCUCAUCAAUAAUUCGCGCAACCAGACAAGCUGCAGACUCAAUAUGGUACGAAGCUAUUUGGUCAGCCCACAUGCUCUGAUAUAACAUUGGCAUCUGCUGAUCUACAGUAUAUAUGACCAGAAAUAUUGUGCCACCUCAAUAAUUUUCCGAAGUAUCGUUGGGGAAGCACCUACAUACUAUGCCUCGGAACUAACUGACAUGUUGGCCUAGGCGGUCCAGGCCGAUUGGACAGGCUCUUCCUUAUGGCUCCUCACGUCCCCUUCGUUUCCGAGUAAUCUCAGGUGUUCUGAAGUUUUCUUUUCACUUGCAUGUGGACCUUAUAUAUCAAUAGCUUCGGGAUAAGAAUGCCUCUUGAUAACCUUCCAAAUCGUCGCUUGAUUCACUUUGAUUCCAAAAUCAUCUUGCCAUAUCUUUUGAGACUUAGGCCCUAAGGCAUCAUGGAGGAUUGCUCGCCAAGAAUGAGCACCAUUGGGCUCCUGAGGACCCUAGGCCGAUCAGCCUGGGCUCUAUAGGUUGAUUGGCCCAGGCCCUCUCUGGGCCCAUUGGCCUUCAUCUUUCUCUGAGUCGACGCUUAUUGAGGGCUUUGUCCAAUUAUAGUCCAUUAUAGUCUAAUUUCCAAAAAAAUAGAAUAUCCUCCAAAAUACAAUACAUUUGUGAAAACAGCCCAAUUAUUAGGUAUGAUCAAUAGUCUAGGUAUUAAAUUAAUGUUAUUAUUUAAGAUAAAUAGGGAUAAAGGGUGUCAUUAAUAACGAGCACCAACCAGCGUACCAGCUGUUAACACUAACCGAUGCUAAUAUGUACCCUUUAGUACCGGCUAUUUCACCCGGUACUAAACGAGACAAGAGCACCCUAACAGAGGUUAAUACCAUCCAUUUCAUGAGUAAAAUACUAUGAUUCAAAAAUAAUUCAAAUCCCUUAAGACAAUACCUAUCAAAUGAGUAGAUUGUAAAUAGAGUAAAACAAUGUCCUAAUGAAACGGAACACUUCUGGUUCGUGUAGAGCACAAUAUAGAAAACAGUAGGGUAGCUGUACGAUUGACACGUGGUCCAUUAAUUAUUGAGCCAUCACUAUGGACAUGUCUUCAUGAGUAGUGUACUAGUCAUGACACAUGGUAUGUAGUAGGUGGAGGUAUUGAGUUAGCCAUGCCAUGAGCACUUAGUUACAACAAACACUUUGCCAUUAUCGAGCAUCCCAAAUCACUACAAAAUCCAUAGUUUACCAUAUACUACAAAAUCUGAGUUAAAAUAAGAGCAUACACGGAAGAGUCCGAAUGCACCGGUUUAGGACCAGGCACAUUGAAUUACUAGAAAAAGUUAUCGGACAAGGUUUUGGGUAACCGCAUGAAAAAUGUUGGAUUUUACUGAACACUUAGUUACAAUUACCAUGCCGUGAGCACUUAGUCACCACAAACAUUUAACCACUUUAGAUCAUCCUGAAUCCCUAUAAAUUCUGUACCUUACACCGUACCAUGAAAACGACAAGAACAGAGACAGAUGCAGUGAAAAUCUCCAGAGCAGGCCUGAAAUUAAAAUAAGAGGAGGCAGUCUCUAUCGAUCAGGACACGGAGAUUGCUAGCCAUGACAGAGGAAGACAUGAUAUGAUAUUCACCUCUGAAAUGCAGCGUAGACUAAUGAAGCACAAUUGCAUGUGAGUGUGGCAGAUAAUGGACCAUCGAGACCAUCGAAUGGUAUGAAGCAUGAUUAUCACCUAGACAUGAUAUCCUAGACAGGACGGUGAAUUGUAAAAAGAGUAAUCUUGAUCAAAGAAUGUCCUAAUGAAACGGAACAUUUUUGGUACGUGUAGAGCACAAUAUAGAAAACAGUAGAGUAGUUGUACGAUUGAAACUGCAUCCAUCCACGUGGUCCAUGAAUUGUUGAGCCAACACUGUGGACAUGUCUUCAUGAACACCAUCUAGUGAGGACAGGAUGCAGAAAAAUAUAAAAACAUGUCAUAGGGAGGCAGACCAAUCUUGCAAGGAGGUAAACGAAACGUGAUACACGAUCUGCCUACCUUGUCGUGGAUACCCCAAGAGAAGAUGUCAUAGAGGUGCAGACCAAGCUAGCAAGGAGGUAGAUGAAACGUGAUACACGGCCUGCCUACCUUGCCGUGGAUAUUAGCCCUGAUAUCAUUCUAUUGUUCAAGGAAUAACACUCAAUGCUGCUGCUGCUGCUGACCUGGCUCCAUAAAGUUGUAUUCCUCUAGCCGCUUGCACUAACUUUAUCUGAAGUAUUAUUCUCUCUGCCCUGAUAUCUGAAGUAUUAUUCUCUCUGCUGACUUUGCUGAAGAACCUACAUAAUAUGUCUUGGAACUAACUGACAUUGAUUCACAGACAAACUCUACAAGGUGCUGUUGUUGCCAUAUUUUAGAGCAUCCCAAAGGACUAUAAAUAAUAUAGUUUACCAUAUACCGUAUACCAUUAUAUGUUAGCUAAAAUAAGAGCAUAACAUGUCGCAGGAGUCCAAAAGCACCGGUUGAGGACCAGGUACAUUGAAUUACUAGAAAAAGACAGGGGGCAAUGUUUAGGUAGCCACAUGAAAAACAUUUGAAUUUACUGUUCCAUGAACACUUAGUUACCAUGCCGGGAGCACCUAGUUAACACUAAAAUUUAGCCACUUUAGAUCAUCCCGAAACACCCUCAAUAGCGACAAAUUUUGAUUUAAAUGCCGUCACCAAUGAUCCUCAAUAGCGACGUGUUUAGGUUUAAAUCCCGUCACUAAUAACCCUUGGUAGUGACGUGUUUUGGUUUAAAUCUCAUCCCACUGAUCCUCAAUAGUGACGUGUUUUUAGCAACACACGCUAUGAAUGACUUGUCAUUGGUGACAUGUUAAAUGCGUUAUCUCAAUGGCAAAUCAUUGGUGACGUGUUUUAAAAAAACAUGUCACUGUGAGAGUUAUUGGUGAAGGGUAAUUAAAAUGCAUCACUAAUUUUGUAGCAUUAGUUAUGAUAUAAUUUAGUAACGCAAAAAUCUACCAUCAGUAAUGAGGUUUAGAGCCGUCGCUAAUGUGGGUUUCUUACGAGUGAUGCAAGCUCUACAAGGUGCUGUUGUUGCCAUUUUAAAGCAUCCCAAGUGACUACAAGUUAAUAGCAUAGUUUACCAUAUACCAUAAAAAUAUUAGUUACAAUAAGCACAUCCGCAUGUGGAAGAGUCCGAAUGCACCAGUUGAGGACUAAACACAUUGAAUUACUAGAACCAAAUGUAAGACAAAGAAAGGGGUCAAGGUUUGGGUAACCGCAUUAAAAACAUUGGAUUUUACUGUACCAUGAACACUUAGUUACCAUUACCAUACCUUGAGCAUCUAGUUACCACAAACAAUAAUUUAGCCACUUUAGAGGUUCCAGAAUCACUAUAAAUAAUAUACCAACACCGUACCAUGAAAACAUCAAGAAGAGAGACGGGUACAUGGACCACCAUCAAGUGAGUAGUGACAGCACGCACAAGAAUACCCGGAACCUGUUAGCUUGUCUGUAGUGAUCUGUUUUCUUCCCCAUAAAAUCCAUGAGUAUUGCCACAAAUAAUGAAAGAGGCUGACCAAGCUAACAAGGAGGUAGAGAAAACGUGAUACACGUAGGUUUCAUUCAAGACAUCCAUGUAAGAUUCAUUCAAAACAUUCAUGGAAAUUUCUUGUAAGUUUUCAUGUAAAUUUCAUUCAAGACAUUUGUUAGAGGUGUUGUAUAUAUAUACCUUAACGUACAUAUAUCUAUGAUUUCAUGGUUGUUAGUGAUGGCAGAUGAGGAGCAUGCAAGGUAUUUAAUGGAGCAGAUUAUUGCUAGUGGUAGUGGCUCCAACCUGCCCGUAACGUACACCAACGAAGAGAGCAGCCAGGCGGACAUGUUCCUCAACAUAUCCGGUGAUGGCAAUGAAGAGCCCGAGCAAAACCUUGCCGUGACGGAAGGUUCCAGUGAGGUAUAUAUCAUUUCCAUUGUUUUACCCCAUCUAUAAUUUCAUAUUCAUUAUUACUAUGUACUAAUUAAUGGAUCUUGAACCAUUAGCCCUCUAGAUCAACGAACCGAAAUAAGCCCCGAGGUCUUACAAAGAUAAUGCAGGGAAGGCAUCACAUCACGGAAGUCACAGAAGAGGGCACAUCAGUUGCUCCCGAACAUGUGGCAAGAAAGUACGUGAGUCAAACCGGGCAAUGUGCCCAUCAGCAUUAGGGAAUGAAAGGGCAAUAGAAAUGAUCUAUACACGCCCCCGGAUACACAAAAGGAUAUGCUGUGGGCAAAUAUCAAGAAACACUUCACAUUUCCCAAAGGAUAUGUUGAAAAAGAUGUGAAAGCGUGGAUGCUGAAGAAGAUGGUCACCGAAUUCCAGACAUUCAAGAAGAUGUUGGAUGUCAACUUCAUCAAGAAGGGUCGAACUCCGGGUUUCGAUGAGUGGCCAAAGUUAAGGGACCACUGGGAGUCAUUUGUCAAAUACAAGACGAGUGAAGGUGGUGCGAGUAAGGUUCGCAUCAAUGUUGCCAAUGCUAGCAAGGAGUACCAUCAUCAUCUAGGGCGACGUGGUUACAGCACUGCAAUUCCCAGAUGGCGCAAGAUGGAACAAGACCUGAUCGAUCGGGGUAUCGUACCAGCAACUCCUGACUGGCCUGAUCGAUUGAAAAAUUGGUAUUAUGCUCAUGAAGGCAAUCUGAGCCAACAGGAUGCGACAUUGGUCUUCAAUAAAACAAUACGUCAGAAGGCCGGAAGGCUUAUUAGGAACAUUGAAAAUGCUAAAUCUGGGAGGUUCAAGGUGGAUAGAGAGAAUGAUGAGCUCACAUUGGCCCUUGGGACUAUCAUCUCUAGCAUUUCCAGCUCCAGGACUGUCGUCACCACCGGGACCGUCGCUUCUUGCUCGAUCACAGUCUCCAUCUCCAGCACAUCCUGGUGGUGCGAACGAUGACGACAACAACACCCCUCCCUGCCCACCAUCGCCGGGACUAAGACCCGCAUCGAGUAAGGAACCUGCAGCACCACUGAAGAAGUCGCGACCACCGCCUUCCAAGCCAAGUCAGCAAAAGAAGAAAGCAGAGAAGCCUAAGCCCACUGAGAAGCCAACAACCGAUAUGACCGAUGCGGAAAGAUGGAAGGCACUCAAAGAAGAAUGCAGGGAGUGGUUCUGUAAAAAGAACCAAAGAAAGAAAAGGAAAGCAGAUGGAGCCACCGCCAGUAGAUCCAAGAAAAUUAUAAUUUUUUAUUAAGAUGUCAAAAGGAGCCAAGAAGAUGAUUCCACAACUAUCAAACUACGACCGGGCGUUAGUCAAGGCUGAUGAGAGUUAAAAAAGGAAAGGAAAGUCAUCUUCAAGUGGUACUGUCCCCCACCUCGAGGAUCUACCAGAAAAAGACGCUAAAAAGAUAGUAGCAAUGCUCUUGGAUCAACAAACACAUAUAUCAUGAGAUUCAUGCAAGAAACAGGUAUGUGCCUUGCUGAAUGUCUAGGGCAAGUUGAUAUGCUAGCUCUAGAGCCAUUUGUACCGAAAUGGACCUUUGAGCUAGGCAAGCCUCUAGUAAGGCCUGAGCUGGUACAGAAGCUAUCCACAUAGCUAUAUGAAUACCAUGAAUGGUACAUGAAGCAGUCUGCCAAUGAGAGGAAAAUGUUCGGUCUCAGGGAAAAACUGAUAUUUUUUUUCGGCGAAGGCGAGAAAGUCUUGUGAUGGAAUUCAAGGAUAUAUAUGAAGUGUACCAUCAGGAUGCCCUUGAUGUCUCUCUCAUCAGCGCCUAGGUUAUGUAAGUGUAUGUUUAUCUAUACGUAAUUUUUGUCUCAUAUCAUUAUUUCUUUUGCGUGCGUCACCCUACUAACUUCGUCUUCCAUUUUAUGUAGGAUGCUAAUUCAGAUGUGCCGCAUAGAAGCGCACUUCCAUGUUGGCUUCAUGGAUCCAUCCCUAGUUAACCAAAAGCAGAUACGGAAGUAGCUAGAGAAAAUGUUGGAGGUGGUAUACAACUUCCUGGACAAACAAAACUAUAGAAUAGGGGCAAUAUGUGAAGGUCUUGUAGGAUUCCUAGUGGACAAGGUGAUAAAUCCAUAAGGAGAAUAUCAUUACAACGGACGAGCAUUAGACACACUGAGCAACACCUAGACGGGAGGAUCCUAGGAAUGACCUAGACAGAUUUUGGUAUAAAUAGUAAUUGUGUAAAUACUAGUUUGAUUUGUAUAGGAAUAUACUAAGAAUUGUAUAUAUAGUAAUUGUACAAAUACUAGUUUGAUUUGUAUAAAUACUAGAUUGAUUUUAUUAUAAAAAAGUUUUAAGUCGUACGUGCAUGCGCCUACAAAGGCGCGUAUGCCCUUUAAUCCCGGUUGGAAAAACAAACCGGUACUAAAGGGGCUCGUGCCGCACCUGGCAUGACCGCCCCUUUAGUCCCGGUUGAACGACCCAGGACCAAAGAUCUGCCCCGUCUCAUAAAUUUUAUCCUGGAUGCUUUUUAGAGAGAUUUGAGGCCUAUCAACCAAGACUAAUAUCGAGUUUUCUACCAGUGGAACUAACUAACGUUCACAUGCUUCUGACAUUCACCUGCCAUUUGGUGUAGACAAGGGCACCCUAACAUAUGGUUAAUAUUAUUCAUGAAAGAAAAUCCUUUGAUUCAAAAAUACUUCAAACCUAAUAAUACAAUACUUCUCACAUCUGAAAAAUAUGAGAUGGCCCGACAGUAUUCUAACCGACGCAAUAAUAUUUUGAGGGCAGCACUACUACAGCGACCCUCAUUCGUGCCGGUGCUGGAACCCCUAUCACGACCCUGAUACAAAUGAGGGUACAUUAUUGUUGCCAGUGCUAGAAUAGCCACGAAUAACUUGCUAAACAUGCUGUUACACUCACUACUAGAAAAAUAACCUCUCGUCCUGAGGCUUAGUACCGGUCACUUUUUUGCCCAGUACUAAUGUUAGUAUUAGUACCGGAUCCAAAUUUGGGAUCCCCCAGAGACCCUUUAGUACCAGGUGGAGUCUCCACCCGAUACUAAAGGCUUUGUUACCGGGUGAAGGAUCCUCCCGGUACUAAUGGGGGAUUUUUAGUACCGGGUGGGAACCCCACCCGAAACUAAAAUCUCCCAUGCGGACCCCUCCCCCCCCCACGCGUUGCCUCUGUCCUCCCUCCUCCUCCUCUGAGUAGUUAUCCCUUCCUCAUCCCUCCUCCUCCUCCCACACGUGGGGUGAGGUGAGGUGGCAGUAGCAACGACAGGUGGUGUGGCGGGUCACGGCGGGCCGGAUGCGGAGCCGCAACGGUGGUCGGCGGGAUGGGGUGGGGCAGAGCGGCAUGGCAGGGCGGAGCGGUGGGACGGGGCCGAGGUGGAGGUGCCGGGCGGAGGUGGAGUGGCAGGACAGAGGCGGAGGCGGAGCGGCGGGUCGGCGAGCGGGUGGAGGGUGGCGACGAUGGGGCGGGCAGAGGCAGAGGGGUGGGUGGAGGGGCGGCGUGGUCCACCGGCGGGGGGGGGGGGGGGAGAGGGAGGCGUGGGGGGUGCGGUUGGUGAUUUCAAUUUUCUUUUAAUUUUUUAACACCCUUCAGUACCAGUUAUUUUAACCGGGUCUAAAGGGAUCCCCUCUUGUACCGAAUUGCUAGUACAGGAUGCACAACCGGUACUAGAGGGAGGUUCCCAACCGGUACUAGAGCCACUUUCCCCGGUAGUGACUUUUUCACCGAUUAGAAUAUGUUAUUAUUCUAAUCAGCUUUUGUUGAUCUCCUGUAUAAUUUAGUACCUAAUUCUACUAGCAAUUGUUAACGCCGACACGUAUUGGGUAUAGUCCUAACAGUGUCUAACUAGGGCACUACAUUUGUUAACCUAUAACUACUGGUAUCGAUUAGCCCUGGUUAGAAUACUGUCAAGGCAGCCAGAAAAAAUUGUUUGCCAAUUCUGCUAUCCAUCAGAACCAUGACUAGUACCGUAUUGUAAUAAACGAAUUACACAAAUAACUGAUGCACACAAAGGAAUAUGCACUCGCAUGUGCUAGACGUUCGUAGCAACAACAAAUUACUCUCAUCAUCAAUUAAACAUAAUAGAUUAAACAUUAACUGAACAUAGUUCAACACGUACAUCAACAAGACAAAGCAGUUUAAACAUCAACUGAACAGAACUGAAAACAUACAUCAACUGAUGAUAAACUUCGACAUGAACACAACACAUAAACAUCAACUUCAAUAGAACUUAAUAGAGCAUAUUAAACAACAACAUCGACAAAACAUAUAAACCCAGCUCAGUAGCUCAAGCAUCAACUAAAACUGCUGAAUUAAAAUAACAUAACAUAGUGUAGUUCAUCAUGAUGAUAACUAACAGAACCGAAAAGCCUAACUGGGUAAAAGAGCAAUUCAUUCAUAAUGCUUCAGCACUUACAUCACCGGAGUAUGCAACUGGCGGCGUCGCUUACGUCACUAUCACCGCGCUUGGCGAGUAAAGGAGGAGGAGGUGGCAUAGUAAUCGAAGAGGAGGCCGCUGUCGGCGGGUUUAGACUACGUGGAGGUGUGGGUAGGGUUAAGGUGGCUCUGUGGACGAGUAUAUAUAAGAGGUCUGGGCUUGUUAGAAUAAGAUAACAUUCUAACUGGCCAAAUUCGGAUCCGGUUAGAAUAAAUUGUUCUAACCAGCCUUAAUUCGAGGUGGUAAGGAUAAGUUAACAUUCUAAUCAGCUCUAUUUGGAGCCCGAUUGAAUGUUCUUGUUAUUCAAAAAAAGAUCAAGUUCAUCAAUUUUUUUCUAGAAAAACAUCAAGAUAAUUUAAACACGAUAUAUAACAAGAUUAAUACAUUUAAAAAUUGUUUUCUCCAAUAAUUAACGAUAUUUAACAAAUUCAAAAAAAAUCCAAAUUAACAGAACAUAAUAACCAAUUGUUCGAAAAAAUCAAAAUAGUCCACACAGUAUCAUAUUACAAAUUCAGAAAAAUAUCAAAAUAAUCCCUGAUCCACUCGAUACCGUCGUAGAACUUUGAAAUACUGAGCUUCUUGAUUCAUCUGAGGUCCACGUACUCGUCUCAGUAACACUAGUGGUGGCCAUGCAUCUUGUAGAUGUCUUCUAAUGAAUUAAGCUUGACAUACAAGGUCGUGCCUUCCACUCCUUGAGGAUUGCUUAUGACGUUUCUGCAAAUAACGAAGCAUUGCUUUCUCCAACAUGAUUAUUUUCUUCGGCUUAUCCCAAGGGACAACUAUGGUUUUCCCCUUGCCGGAAGAGGAACGAUGAUCGCCCCCACCAUCGCCACUUCCUCCAGUAGCAGAAGCCAUCUAUGUACAAAAAUUCAUACCUUAGCACUACAGAACUUGUUGAACUUGAAGACUGUGAUCAUUAGGCGAGCAUGUUCUCAACUAGGUGGCACCGCACUUCGUCAUGGAAGAGCUUCGAUUUUACAAAAAAGGGGACAUGAUCUUCCAUGAUGUCCGUAUCCGCUCUUUCUCGUAGAAUCAGAGCUCCUCCUUGAUAUACGAUGCUGCUCGGCGGAGAACAUGCUCACCGAGAUGAACACGGUAUGCAAGUUCAACAAGUAUGGAUUUGAAAAACCAUAUUGAAUUUGACAAGACAAACUAUCUAGAUAAGCGUAGCAUCAUUCUUAAACCACUGCAAGGAUACGUACUAUAUAUGACACAUCAAUCUCCCUCACAUUCUAGCUCAAAAUACCUCUCCAUUUUCUACUUCACAUUCUAGCAAAUAAACUAUCUAUCUCCAUUCUACACAUCAAGUUGUUUUAACUAAUACAAAUCGUAUAUAACAAGCAAAAUAUCCAUCACAUUCUAGCUCAAAAACAUGUAUAAAUACAAAUCCUCUUCAUUCUCCCUUUUUCUAACAAACAAACUCAUUUUUCUCCCUCUCCAAAGCAUAAAUUAAAGCGUAACAUGAGGAUGAGGUAGCAAACCUUCACAACACAUUGGAUGAGUGAAAUUCCCACGAAAAUGAGGGAAAAAAAUUCGGGCAGCACCUCCCUUGCUUCGGCACCUCUAGAGAGUAGGUGAAGCUCAGUUCUCUAUUUUUGUGGUGGACUAGCUUGGGCUGGAGGAGGAAGAAAGGCCUCUGUCUUGGUAUAUAAUGGGGGAUGAGUUUUUAUCCCAGUUAAAAGCUCCAACUGAGACAAAACGGCCAAUCUUUUGUCCCGGUUGGAGCCUCCAACCGGGACAAAAGGGGCACGCCAUCGACGCACGGGAGCUAGCCGUUACAACCGGGACUAAAGGGGGGCCUUUAGUCCCGGUUGCAAAUACCAACUGGGAUUAAAUCUCCCCUCCAUUUUUGCCUACCGUGGUGCGCCCCCUUUUAUCCCGGGUCAACUUUAAACCGGGACAAAAGGGGGCGUCGAAGAUCAGUUCUCUACUAGUGACCCCUCCCCACCUAUCUCUCUCCCUCCAUGCUCCUCGAUCUGUGCCUCCCCUCCCCUCCCCUUCCACUCGCCCCUCACCGACGGUAAGGAGCAGCGGCGGGGCGAGGUGAGGUGGCAGCAGCAAUGGCAGGUGGUGGGUCGCAGCGGAGCGGCUACGGUAGGCAGCCGGACGGGGCAGAGCGGCGGGGCGGGGUGGAGGCGGAGGUGGCGGGUAGAGGCGGAGCGGCGAGGCGGAGGCGGAGGUGGAGGCGGAGUGGUGGGACGGCAGGGCCGGGCGACUAGUAUAGGUGGGCGGGCGGAGGGCGGCGACGGCGGAGCGGGCGGAGGCAGAGGGGCAGCGGGGGCCGCCGGCGGGGGGUGUGAUCGGGGAUUUCAAUUUUUUUUAAAUUUUUUAACACCUUUUAGUCCAACUGGUUCUAAAGGGACCCCUCUAGUAUCAAAAUUGCUAGUACCGGUUGCACAACCGGUACCAGAAGUGGUUCCUAACUGGUACUAGAGCCACUUUCCCUGGUAGAGACUUUUUUACCAGUUAGAAUAUGUUAUUAUUUUAAUCAGCUUUCGCUGAUCGCCAGUAUGAUUUAGUACCUAAUUUUACUGGCGAUUGUUACCGCUGACACGGAUUGGGUAUAGUCCUAACAGUGUAUAACUACGGCACUACAUUUGUUAACCUAUAACUACUUGUAUCGAUUAGCCCUGGUUAGAAUACUGUCAAGGCAGCCAGAAUUUUUUUUUUUUGCCAAUUCUGCUAUCCAUGAGAUCCAUGACUAGUACCGCAAUGUAAUGAAUGAACUGCACAAAUAACUGAUGCACACAAAAGAAUAUGCACUUGCACGCUAGACGUUCGUAACAACAAAUUACUCUCAUCACCAAUUGAACAUAAUAGAUUAAACAUUAACUGAACAGAAUUCAACACGUACAUCAACACGACAAAGCAGUUUAAACAUCAACUGAACUGAACUGAACACAUACAUCAACUGAUGAUAAUUAUCGACAUCAACAGAACACAUGAACAUCAACAUCAAUAGAACUUAAUAGAGCAUAUUAAACAACAACAUCGACAAAACAUAUAAACCCAGCUUAGUAGCUCAGGCAUCAACUAAAAUUGCUGAAUUAAAACAACACAACGUAGUGUAGUUCAUAAUGCUUCGGCGCUUACACCACUGGCGGGUCGCUUACGUCGGCAUCACCGCGCUGGCUGAACCUCCGACACCCCCACCACGGCAAACGGAGGUGAUGGCGGAAGGUGAGGCAACGACAGUAGCUGGUGAGCUCCCGCUCCAAUGUCUCGCGAGUAAAGGAGGAGGAGGUGGCAUGGGAAUCGAAGAGGACACUAGUAGAGAAACGACUUUCCAUCCACCCCCUUUUGUCCCGGUUUAAAGUUGGCCCGGGACAAAAGGUUCACCAACCGGGAUUAAAACUCGGUCACUGGUGGGGGGCUCACCAACCGGGACCUUUUAUCCCGGUUGCAAAGGCUAGUGGGAAAAAAUUACUCUGAGAGGCCUUUUAUCCCGGUUUGAAACACCAACCGGGAUAAAAGACCCCCCCUUUUAUCCCGGUUGGUAACACCAACCGAGAUAAAAGGGUCAAGAGCCUUUUAUCCCGGUUGGAAACACCAACCGGGAUAAAAGGGGGUCUUUUAUCCCGGUUGGUGUUUCCAACCGGGAUAAAAGGGUCCCCCACGAGUUAAUACAAAAGGAUAGUAUCCCCUACAUAGUCAGAUGUGGUGUGUAGGUGGGAUGGUAAGGAAGCUACGCGCGAGGCUGGAGGUUGUGGGUUCGAAUCCCACGAACCGCGCACGCGCAUAUUUCGCGUGAAAAAUCGCGUGACUUGCGACUUGCGCGUGUGGGGGGGCCUCCUGGGAGCUCGGGAAUUUUUUUUUUUUGCAGCGCCGGCCGUGGGUGAACCCUUUUAUCCCGGUUGGUAUUACCAACCGGGAUAAAAGGGGGUCUUUUGUCCCGGUUGAGUGACCCGGGAUAAAAGACCCCCCCUUUUGUCCCGGUUGGUUUAUCCCGGAUGCAUUUUCGAGAUCUUUGCACCCUACCAACCGGGAUAAUAGGUGAGUUCUCCACCAGUGGGAGGCCGCCGCUGGCGGGUUUAGACUACGUGGAUGUGUGGGUAGGGUUAAGGUGACGGUGUGGACUAGUAUAUAUAAGAUGUCUGGGCUUGUUAGAAUAAGAUAACAUUCUAACCGGCCAAAUUCGGACCCGGUUAGAUUAAAUUGAUAUUCUAACCGGUCCUAUUUCUAGGUGGUAAGAAUAAGUUAACAUUGUAAUUGGCUUUAUUUGGAACCCGAUUGAAUCUUCUUGUUAUUCAAAAAAACAUCAAGUUCAUCAAUUUUAAUCCAGGAAAACAUCAAGAUAAUUUAAGCACGAUAUAUAACAAGAUUAAUACAUUUAAAAAUUGUUUGAUUCACAAAUUAACGAUAUUUAACAAAUUCAAAAAAUCCAAAUUAACAGAACACAAUAACCAAUUGUUCGAAAAAAUCAAAAUAAUCCACACACAUUAAUAUAUUACAAAUUCAGAAAUAUAUCAAAAUAAUCCCCGAUCCACUCGAUACCGUCAUAGGACUUUUAAAUACUGAGCUUCUUGAUUCGUCUGAGGUCCACCUACUCGUCUCAGUAACACUAGUGAUGGCCAUGCAUCUUGUAGAUGUCUUCUAACGAAUCAAGCUUGACGUACAAGGUCAUGCCUUCCGCUCCUUGAGGAUAACCAUCUUUGGUGAUCUUGAAAUGGCAGACGGUGGAUGUGCCAAAGGUACGUGACGAUCCUUCUAAAUGUAUGCCACCACAACUUCCGUCUGAUCGCCAUGGGUGACACCAAGAAGAGCUACCAUGCGGCAAGGGACGAACAAUUUAUCAAUUAGUGCCGCUGUCCAUCGCCAUCAUCUAAUCCAGCCAUAUCUUGUUGUAUAUUUAAGUAUAGAAAUUAAGAUUUAAAAAUAAACAGAAUAAAUUGAGAUCGAUUAUGUAUGUAUAUCAGAACAUUAGCUUUUGGAAAAAGGGCUUCGAUGGAAGAGAGGCACGGGGCAUAGAGACAACAACGAGUGACAAUAUGUCAGAAGAAUACCCGAUCACAAUUAUUGGCACACACAGCCGAUAUUUACAGUAGUCAAUACCCCUGGUAAAUAACCACACCAUCAAGAGUAAAUAGUGACAAUAUGCAGUAUAUACACGACAUAGCCUUGGCUGCCGUGGAAGCACCAGAAGGGAGACAAAUAACAGGGACCACUACAUCAAGUAGAUAGUGACAAUAUGCAAAAGAAUACCCGCGCCUGUUAGCAUGUGUGAACUGACCACACCACGAAACGUGAUACACGGCAAGCGUACCAAGGCCUUGCUGUGCAGACUAUGCAUGGACAACACAUGGUACCUGACCGCUUUUGGCCUCAGACACAUCAAAAACUGCAUCGUUCCACGUUGUACAUCCAUUGCUAGUUUAUCUAUAUUACAUAAUAUAUUAUUAGCUAUUUGAAUAGAAUGAACCAAUUAAAAAAUUACGUUGUAUUUUAGUACCGGCUGCAGGAUGGUGUUACCAACCAGUACUAAUUGGCCUGUAGGAGUGAUGGUUAUUAGACUUGGUACUGUUGUUAGCAUCAUUAACCUAAUUGUGCGCCGUAUGAAUUUGGGGAUGCAAAGCUAGCUCUCUAUGAAUGUGAGGGAUGGAAAGCUAGUUCUCUAGUAGUAAUUAUAUAUAUGACAGUCAGGAAAUCGAACACUAUGCUGCUACGAGUCACCAUCAUUUCCUUCAUUGACAAUCUGACAUAGGUGAAGCUGCUUCAAUAAUUUCCUUCGCGCAGUCGUGGAGCUUAUUGGAUUAUCACCAGGACGGGACACGGAAAUGGCCAGCAAUGAAGCUGAUUGCCGUCUGAGGAAGACUACAUACUUACCUAUGAAAUGAAGCGAUUGCAUAGACUAAUGAAGCAUUGCAUAUUUGCAUGUGAGUGUGGCAGAUAAUUCUGCAGGACAUGAUUGCAAUCCACGCACCAUCGAGAAGACUGGGGCGAUGGGGUUGCCUCAUCAAUAAUCACGUGGAUGCAUGCAUGCAUGUUCCCUCAACCGGACAAGGGUCUGAUAUAUGGCUAUAGUAUUACUGAGCCCACAUCAAUAAUUUCCGCUGGUGUAUCGUGUGGGAAGAAUCAACAUACUACACCUCUGAGUUCUUGGAACUAACUGACGUUCACAUGCAACCUCCACAAGGUGCUGUAUGCUUUUGACAUUCACCUGCCAGUUCGUGUAGAGGACACCCUAACGUAUGGUUAAUAUUAUCCAUUUCAUGAGUAAAAUACUGUGAUUCAAAAAUACUUCAAAUCCCUUGAGACAAUACUUCUCACUUGACUAACCACUAACCAACCCCGAAACCCUAACUCAACUCCGAACCCUAACCCCUAACGGCAUAACCACUCCGUUUUGCCGGCGAGAUGGAGGAACUGGCUGGAAGGUAGAGAGGGCAGCGGUCCAGGGUUGAAAACGACGGGCGAGCGCAGUAACAUGUGGAGGAGGAAGUGCCACGUAUUCGUUCACCGCUAUUGGGCAGCGACACACGACACGCCCAAUAAGAUCUUCGCACGGUAGAAGGACGUCAUGUAUUCAAUAAUGUUAUUGGUCCCCCAUGUGCAGAAGGGCGCGCGCGUAUGGAAUAACAAGUAGGGACACUGCAACUAAUCUACUCUGCUCGUCCAGUCCCUAGCCUAUAAAUAGAUGCCAUGCUAGCUCUUGUUGUGCUCACAAUUAAUCCGAUUACACACGAGCUUCUCUCCCUGGCCAAGACACAACCAUAGUAUGAUGAAGAACAUGGCACUAGCCGGCAAUGGUAUGAAGAAGUUAAUCCUCGCUGUUCUCUUACUGUGUCUAGUUAUAGGGCAGAUACAAGUGGAAGCUAAGAGCUGCUGCCCAUCCACCACUGCAAGAAAUGUCUACAAUACCUGCCGUUUCACGGGUACAUCCCGUCCAACGUGUGCAAAACUGUCAGGCUGCAAAAUUAUCAGCGGGAACAAAUGCAAGCCCCCUAACGACCACCUCACCCUUGACCCGGACACUGGUAAAUAAUAAAUUUAUCUCACUUGAUUUCUUCGUGAUUUGAGUCGUUAAUGUAUUUUCCAUCUGAUGAAACGUAUUGGUUUUGCAUUGAAGAGGAAGUUAAUGUGCUUAACUUCUGCAAGUUGGGGUGUGCGUCGUCUGUGUGCAACAACAUCAACGCUGGUAAGCAACUUUUGCUCAGACAGAGAAAACAAUAAUCAUUAAUUAGCGGCAGCUAGAAUCCUAUAAUCUAAUAUAUAUAUAUAUAUAUAAUUUUAUCAGCUCUGGGAAAUGAAGAGGCGAACGAUGCCGUUGAGAGUUGCGACCAAGCCUGCUCUAGCUUCUGCAGCGUGCAUGUUGGCAGCGCCACCGUGGUUGCUUAAGCAAAUGCAUCCAACUAGAUCGUCCUUGUGCUGAAUAAUUGGAUAUCGUAUCCACUUAAAGCUGCCUUGUGUAGUACGUCUUUGUGUCUCUCUUUAUAUUCCAAUAAGGUCGGUGAUCUUGAUGCCACACACUCAGAUGUGUGUUCAUCUCCAGAUACUACUCCAUGCUACCUGCCCUUUGUGUUUUGUUCAAUAACUGGGUAUCAUAUCCCAGCCAGUAUGCCGUCUGUUUUGUGUUUGUUUCCUUCUAGUUCCAAAGGGGUCAUCAUGAUGUUACCUUCUUUCAAUAUGGUGCUUUGCAUGACUACUGUUGUAUGGUACCAUCUUGUGGCCAAUAAGUACAUCUUAUCCUAUGACCUUUGCUAUGACCCUUUGCAAAUAAGUAGAAGAUUGUUAUAAGCGUCAAUACUCCGUAUAAAUUGAUCGCUGCUGUGAGUUCCCUUUCAGCUUAUCGUAGGCAUACAUUAUUGCUAGCACGGUAAAGCCAACCAACACGAAUGAUGAAGUAAACGUAGCGGUACUUCUGUAUACCAACACCCUUACUUAAAUGUACCGGUGUCAUUCCCUACUGGCACAUAUAUUCUUAUAUGCUAGCCAGCUUGUAAAAUUAACCAAUUAAAAUAAUUAUUUCAAGAUAGAAAUAACUUAUCGGUUUCUGGAAGCAUGUGUAAUGUGAAUUCAAGGACUCGACGGAAGUUGAAUCACUUCAUCUAUAUUGCUUUCAGUAUUUUGGGUAACUAAAUUUAACAUUUGCACAUACAAAUGUUAAAGUACAAAUGUUAAAUCUAGUUACCCAAGCAGAAUAUGAAGAUAGUUUAUAGUAUAUAUAUACUAUAUAAAUCUAGUUAACAUUUAGUCUAAAUGUUAAAUCUAGUUACCUAAAAUCCUGAAAGCAAAAUGUAUAAAUAUAUAUCUUUUAAGGCAGUAUAAGCUUCGAUUCCUAUUGCUGCUCUGUUAAAUCUCAUCUUUCGUUGUGGCCCAACACUCUAGUAUGCAUGUUGCACCAAGCUUCUUUGAGCCGCUCUGCCCUCUGAUUUUGCUGCGUAGGGGAAUCUUUAUCAGGUUGGGCUACUUCCAGUUGUGCGAUGUAAAGAUUCGUAUUUUCUAGAAGGUAGACAAAAAACUCGCGUUCUCUUAAGGCAACAACCGGAAGAUUCUGCAGCGCACAGGGCAUACCAUUAUUGUAGAAACGACCUUUAGUACCGAUCUCCAACCCCCUUUAAAACUGGUUUUGCAACCGGUACCGUUAUGUCGGUCCUUUAGUACCAGAUCAAAUAAGUACCGGUUGGUAACCAGUAUCAACUUGUUUUGCGGCCAAAAAAAUAAAGAAAAAAACAGUCAGAAGGCUCGCGCACACGCGCAUCACAUGAAAUAUGCGUGUGCGGGGUCCAUGGGAUUCGAACCCAUGAAAUCAAGCUGCGCGCGACCCUUCGUUACCAUCUCACCUACAUAGCGCAUAUGCUUUCCUGAAGUAACCCGUGGAGGAGGCUUUAGUACCGGGUCAUAACACCACCCGGUACUAAAAAUGACUCUUCAGUACCGGGUCAUAACACCACCCGAUACUAGUAUCGGAUGGUGUAAUGACCCGAUACUAAAAGGCCUCUAGGGACCCUCAAAUUUGAACCCGGUACUAAUGCUAAUAUUAGUAGCGGGUCAAAGUGCAGCCAGAACUAAAGCAUGGGAUGAAAGGUCAUAUUUCUAGUAGUGUAUAGUUGUUGUGAAGGACUGACUUGGCUGUCCUCUCUCUUCUCCAUCCCCUUGGUCUUACGCCGCCGCUCGCACGCGAGCCGGUGCCCAACCAGAGGAGUGAGAGCUAGGGGCAGGUUGGGAGGUGGGGAUAGUGACUGGUGGCCAGGGUGAUGGUUGAUCCUGGUGGGGUUAGGGUUUUAGGGUUUUCGAGCUUCCUAUGGUCGGCGAACCUAGAGGAGGAGCUCAACAUCAGCUGCAACCCGCGAUGGUGGUGGUUUGGCCGGCGCCCGAGGCGAGGCAGCGCGGGAGUGCUGCCGGUGGGUUGGUGUUGGCACUCAUUAUUGACAACUAUUUUGUUCAUAAAAUAACACUCAAACUUGCUGCUGCUGCUGCUGCUGCCAUCGCCACCCUAGCCAUAAUAUAAAGGCAAAAUUUGCUAAAGGACAUGCAAAAUGAUGCUAGUUUGCUGGCGGGCAUCGUUGACCUUGUAAUAUGCUACAAGACACUCUAGUUGUGUAUCAAUUUGCUGAAAGACAUUGCUAUGACUAAAAUAAUGUUUCUGGACUGAGUUGGAGAGAGAGAUGGAGUGAAAUGUCUGUUUUGCCCAUGACCCCACUGGUCAGAUCCUUCUUCUUCCACCCUCCUUUGUUCUUUCUUCAACCAUUACCCAGCUCCAGCGUGUUGCAGAUCUACGAGGGUGGCGGCCUGGGGCGAGGGGCAUCGCUCGCCCUUGGAGGAGCGCUGCGAGCGACGGCGCGGGGGCGGCAACAGCGCGUCAGAACCUGACUGUUCGUUAGCUCCUCUCGCUGCUGGGGAAGGAGGGGGAUGGGCCAUGGACGGGGUUCCCUUGAAAACCUCAGCGUCGAGCUCGGGCGGCUACGCGCAGGCAGCACUAGGCUGCUUCACGGGGAGGGGGCGCGGCCAAUCAUUGGCACCCCACUGGUCCAAUGCUGAUGAAGAUGGUGCCAGCGUCGUGUGAGGACAUCUCAUCUCCUCGAGUUCCAUGGCCAGCACAGGUGAGCUGCCGCUACCACAAAACAGAGGUUUCGUGAGAGUCAAAAAACCUUAUGAAAAUAGCUAAAACCAUCAUGAAAAUAAUCCGUGACAUGACACUCUCACGAAAAUCCUCUCACAAAUAUGGUGCCAUGAAAAUACCAUUUUCAUGAGAGUGAACUGUCAUGAUUUUAUUUCGUGAGAGUAUUUCCUAUCAAUGACCUCCACGAAAUACUUUGUGCCACCAGGUCUUCAAGAUCAUUUUCAUGAGAGCUGAACAUCAGGAAAAGUCCGCCACAAAUGUUUUUCUUGGAGCCCCUAACUCUCAUGAAAAUCAUGCGGGCCGCCACGAAAAACAGCAUGACCAAAUGACAAAUUUCAUUUUCAUGUGUUCAUACCGCCAUGAAAAUGGUCAUUUUCAUGAGAGUUGAUGAAACAAAAAAUAGUGCCAUUUUCAUGAGAGUUCAAGCAACCAGGAAAAGACACUAAUAAACAUCCAGAUCCCAUCCAGCACACAUCCAUGCACAUAUAUAACCCACAUAUUGCUCCAGCACACAUCCAUGCAUAUACAAGAUCCAAAUGUUAAUAUAGUAGACAUCCAUGCCUGAACUAGUCUGCCACACAAGUCAUUGAUGCUACAAAUCCUACAAUCGCAGCAUGUGCAUACAAGUCACAGAAUGAGACAAUGUACCCAAAACUAAAAGGUUAGCAUCAACUGUGCUUCAACCAAAGUUGUCAUCCCAACUCUCCUCUUCAUCCAUGCCAUUCUUGUCGUGGCCGUCACUGUCAGUCCCCAUGGCAUUGCCAAUGCUGUGCAUGUCUUGGUAGGAACCUACAUGUGAUGAACUAGUAACCUGCAAAAAGAGCUCAAAGGAUCUUGUUCUCAUAUUGUAGCUGUGAAAUUCUUACAAGUAGUGUUGCAAUCAGUUCACUUUGAACCAAAAGAGCUCAAAGGAUCUUGUCCUAAAAGUUCCUCAUAAAGCUUAUGGGUUUGCUGGUGGAACUGGAAGGGCUUGAUGCAGCAGAUGCCAUUCUGCAAUAGAGAAAAAUUUAGAGAGCAGUACUAGUUAAAAUUGGAUGCAGAAGAUACACAUGAAACUAGUAUUUAUACAAGUCUAUACAAUUAAAAUCUAAGGAGACUUAUCAUCGUUUUCAUGUGUUGUGAAUUAAAAUAAUGAAGGAUACACUGUUAGGUGAAAAUUCAAGAAACAAAAUUUUGCAUAGAGAUAAAGGUCCAACAUUAUUACAAGUUAAGGUAGUUUUAAAUAUCCUUGUAAUCUUCCUUUGGUUUCCUCAACGAUUCGAAGACAAUAACCUUGCUUCUAUCAAUGAUAAUUAUAAGGAGAAUCCAGUGGAAACUGUGUAUUCGUAUUAGAACUACCUAAGGUUAAUUAGGUUAGGAAAGGAAAUUGAAAAUAGAUGGUACCCACACUUACUUAAAGUUGUCGGGCAAUAGUAUGUAAUGCUUGUAAUUCCGUUGCUCCAAGAAUUUGUAUAUGUGGUCCAAUGUAGACUUUGGUUGAUCCCGUAUCUGCUGUUGGUUAAAUAAGUGUUUCUAGCCAUUUCUAGCCAUUAGAACCGGGACUAAAGGGGGCUCUUUAGUACGGGUUGAUAUUACUAACCGGGAUUAAAGAGCCCCCAUUAGAGUUGGUUUUUGGAUGCGGAACUAACAACUCCUUUAGUCCUGAGUACGAAAACAACUGACAUAUUUGUUGCUGGAUGGAAGGUCCUUUCUCUACCGUGAAUAUUGCCAGAAAGAAUUGAAAGAGACUGCUUGCUAAAAAUAUGUCAUAGAUGUAGACCAAGCUACCAAGGAGGUAGACCAAACAUGAUACACACCAUGCGUACCUUGCUGUGCAGACUAUGCAUUGACAAGAUACCCGACCACAUGUUGGCCUCGGUCACAUCAAAAGAAUCAUGUAGGCCACCAAUAAACUACUUGAAGCGGCAUUCCGUAUCGUAUAUGCAUUGCCGGUUCAUCUGCAUUACAUUACAUAAAGCACUAUUAACUAUUUGAAUAAAAUGAACCAAUUUAAAAGUAAUGUGUUGUACUCUACUAUAGAAAGCCCUAUCACUGCCGGAUCCAAAAACAUCAUUGUUAAUGGUGGUUAAGUACCAAAUAUGACGGUCAAUAUUCUCAAGAAUAAUGGAGAAUUAGCAUUUCUUAGACACAUAUUUGGUUUUGAACAAUGUAGUUCCACAUGUCUUUGGAGAUUAUUUGGGUGUGGGUGAAAUAAUACAAAAAUAAGGAGAAAACACACUCCCAUGGCGAAGAAACACAACUCCAACCAAUGAGAGAUAGCCACAGGGGCAGCACACGGAUCCAUGGGCCCACUAACCGCAUCAAACCAUCUUACCAAGGCAGGUAGCACCCACAACCGUCAUUAGGACCCACCUGGAAGUCUACCAAGAAGAAGGUUGCGAGUGGGGCCAGGAGGGGUUCGGUUGAAUCAUCUCUAGCUAGCUCCCCUCAUCCCCAGCUGGUGGGUGGUGGUGGUUGAUGGUGUCCCUACAUCAGUUAGAGGAGAUUCCCCCAAAUAUUCCUCCUGUAAACCACCUCUAUGGACCUAUACAUAGAGGGGUGUGCUCUCCAUUCCAACACACACCACAAGUUGAAUCACUCUCUCCCUCUUUAGUUUCCAAGUUUAUGGAGUUAGGCUAGAGUAGCUCUGCUCAAGGUUCCAAGUCCACUUGGAGUUAAGCAUAUGUCUCUUGUAUCGUUAUUUCCUAAAUUGACUUUAUGCUUAGUUCUUAUAUGCAUGAGUUAGUCUAAUACCCUUGCUAUAUUGAUAUGCUCGGCUUAUAUGCUCGUAUGCUAGUCAUAUACCCUUGCUGUCGUAGUAUAGGCUUAUAUGCUCUCAUGUGUGCCUGUAGACCUUGCUAUAGUAUAUACUUGUUGUGCAUACAUACCAUGUAUAGGCUAGUCGAUCUAUACCAUGGCAUUGGUUCAAUAGCCAUGUUUUUGGUGGCUCCAACCCUAGUCACAAUAGCUCGGGACAGCUGGAGUGUUGUUAAAAAUGCAAGAGUGGUGCUUGGGUUGUUUAGCAUCGUUGGAUAUGGGUUUGCCCCACGGGUUUCUAACGGUAGGCGGCAGCUAGUGACAUCCCUGUCCGUCCUUCGUAAUCCCCCCACAUUCAGGUACGCCAUAAAUGUUCGUAAAUUAGCAGUAACUACGCCGGUACACCUGUAGGGUAUUGUCUCCCUGUAGUACCUUGGUGCAUAGAACUAAGUCCUAUACACUGUGUGUGUAUGUUUACGCUGAUAUGAUCUGUGCAGUAUAUAGGAUGUAUAUAUGAACCUAGAGCUAACUCCUAGUCCGUUCUCCAUAGCUUAGUUAUCUUGAGAUGAUUCUUCUGUAUGUGUAACACUACCCAUCUUAUCAUUAUCCUUGAUCCUGUCUUGUGUAAUAUAUCUACUCAUCCUAUGAUAUACUCAUAUGCAUAGUAAACUAUUUUGACCUACCCGCCUUCCUUUGGGAAAUAUGAUACCUUGGAAUAAUCCUAGGUGAAAUCCUACAACGGUAUAUCCAUGUAAAUGCGGAUUUAUUCAUGACCAUUAAAUAUACCAACAAUCAUCACUGUGAGUUUUGGGCGUCGUUAGUGAAGGGUUGGUAGUGAUGGGCAUCCCCUUCACCAAUGGACCUGGAACCGGCGGUGAUGGCUAUUAUAAAAAAGGGGACACCACCCAGCGUACCCCACGACCCGGCCGGCCGCACCUCCCAUCAUCCCCGCCAGCCGCCCUUCCUUUUCGCCGGCCGAGCAUGGUCCCGGCCUUUGUCCCUACCACCUCGCCUCCACCGCGACCCCCCGCCGAUGCCCUCGUGCCUGGCCCCCCUCAUCUUGCCGGCCACCCUCCCGAUGCGUCCACUGGGGCCCUCGCACCACCAACCGCCCUUGCUUAGAGAGGGAGAGAGAGGAGGGAGGUGAGGCCACGCACCUCGUCCUACACCGCCGCUGUUUCUCCUCGGCCCACCGCGCCUCACCCCACACCACAGCCGCGCCUUGCCAUCUUACCGGCUGUGACGCCUCAUCUCACCGGCCACCGUUCCUCACCCCCACUUCGGUCGUCGCCGCUCCUUGCCCUACCGCUGCUCUUUGCCGCUGCGAAUGAGCGCCGAGUGGAGGAGGAGGGAUGGGGCAGGAGGAGGGCAAGAUCCGGGAGGAAGGGAGAGAUCUCGGGAGGUGGAGAUGGAAGGAUAUGGCGGAAGGGAGAGAUCCAGAGGGAGAGAGCAGGGGAGAGAGGGGGGCGUGUGGGGAGAGAGCGCGUGUGGGGUGGGGCCGGGCUGGUGGGAUGGAAGGGAGAGGGGCUAGACGGGCGCAGUGCAUUCAACUGGAUGAAGUAAAUAUUUUGGAUUCGAGACCCCAGCUUUAUUAUCACCGCUGGUCCGUAGUACCAUCCGGUGCCUGCUCGUAAUUUAAUUUGAAUCUGCGGUGAUGUUUUAUUAUCACCAUCGGAUCAUAUAAAAAUCCGGCGGUUAAAAAUCCGCUGGUUUCGAUGAAAACCGACGGUGAUAGGAUGACUGUGAUAGUCUCUUCUCUAGUAGUGGUAUAUUAGUACCGGCUGCCGGAUGGUGUUGCCGACCAGUACUUCUCCGGGGGCGAUUCAGUACUGCUGUUAGCAAAGCUUGUUCUCUAUGAAUUUGGGGAUGGAAAGCUAGUUCUCUAGUUGUGAUUUGUUACAUAUAUAUCUAUGAUAGUCUAGAAAUUGCAUGUCCUUCGUUGACAUAGUUGAAGCUGCUUCAAGAAUUUACUUCGUGCAGUCGUGCAGCAUAUUGGAUUAUCACCUAGACAGGAUACAUAGGUGAAGCAUUGGAUGUGAUUGUGGCCGAUAAUUAUGCAGGACGCUGUUGCAAUCAACCACCAAGAAGUCUGGAGUGAUGGGGUUGCCUCAUCAAUAAUUUUUAUAUAUGGCUGCAGUAUUAUUAAGCCCACGUCAAUAAUUUUUUGUCCGCACCAUAUAUCGAUGGGGUUGCCUCAUCAAUAAUUCGCGCAACCAGACAAGCUGCAGACUCAAUAUGGUACGAAGCUAGUUGCUCAGCCCACAUGCUCUGAUAUAACAUUGACAUCUGCUGAUCUACAGUAUAUAUGACCAGAAAUAUUGUGCCCACCUCAAUAACUUUCUGAAGUAUCGUGGGGAAGAACCUACGCGUACUAUGCCUCGGAACUAACUGACAUAUCGGCCCAGGCGGUCUAGGCCGAUUGGACUGGCUCUUCCUUGUGGCUUCUCACAUCCCCUUCGUCCCCAAGUAAUUUCAGGUGUUCUGUAGUUUUCUUUUCACUUGCAUCUGAGCCUCCUAUAUCAAUAGCUUCGGGAUAAGAAUGCCUCUUGAUAACCUUCCAAAUCCUCGCUUGAUUCACAUUGAUUCCGAAAUCAUCUUGCCAUAUCUUCAGAGACUUAGGUCCUAAGGCAUCAUGGAGGAUUGCUCGCCAAGAAUGAGCACCAUUGGGCUCCUGAGGACCCUAGGCCGAUCAGCCCGGGCUCUAUAGGUCGAUUGGCCCAGGCCCUCUCUGGGCCUGUUGGCCUUCAUCUUUCUUUGAGUCGACGCUUAUUCAGGGCUUUGUCCAAUUAUAGUCCAUUAUAGUCUAAUUUCCUAAAAAACAGAAUGUCCUCCAAAAUACAAUGCAUAUGUGAAAACAACCCAAUUAUUAGGUAUGAUCAAUAGUUUAGGUAUUAAAUUAAUAUUAUUAUUUAAGAUAAACAGGGGUAAAGGGUGUCAUUAAUAACAAGCGCCAACAAGCGUCCUAGCUGUUCAAUAAAUUUUUUCUAGUACCGAUUGGUAACACUAACCGGUGCUAAUAUGUACCCUUUAUUACCGGUUAUUUUACCAGGUACUAAAGGAGACAAGAGCAUCCUAACAUAAGGUUAAUAUCAUCCAUUUCAUGAGUAAAAUACUAUGAUUCAAAAAUAAUUCAAAUCCCUUAAGACAAUACCUAUCAAAUGAGUAAAUUGUAAAUAGAGUAAUCUUGAUCAAACAAUGUCCUAAUGAAACGGAACACUUCUGGUUCGUGUAGAGCACAAUAUAGAAAACAGUAGGGUAGCUGUAUGAUUGACACGUGGUCCAUUAAUUAUUGAGCCAACACUAUGGACAUGUCUUCAUGAGUAGUGUACUAGUCAUAAUACAUGGUAUGCAGUAGGUGGAGGUAUUGACUUAGCCAUGCUAUGAGCACUUAGUUACAACAAACACUUUGCCAUUAUCGAGCAUCCCAAAUCACUACAAAAUCCAUAGUUUACCAUAUACUACAAAAUCUGAGUUAAAAUAAGAGCAUACACGGAAGAGUCCGAAUGCACGGCACAUUGAAUUACUAGACAAAAUUUAUGGGACAAGGUUUUGGGUAACCGCAUGAAAAAUAUUGGAUUUUACUGAACACUUAGUUACAAUUACCAUGCCCGUGAGCACUUAGUCACCACAAACAUUUAACCACUUUAGAUCAUCCUGAAUCCCUAUAAAUUCUAUACCUUACACCGUACCAUGAAAACGACAAGAACAGAGACAGAUGCGGUGAAAAUCUCCAGAGCAAGCCUGAAAUUAAAAUAAGAGGAGGCAGUCACUAUCGACAGGACACGGAGAUUGCUAGCCAUGACAGAGGAAGACAUGAUAUGAUAUUCACCUCUGAAAUGCAGCGUAGACUAAAUGAAGCACAAUUGCAAGUGAGUGUGGCAGAUAAUGGACCAUCGAGACCAUCGAAUGGUAUGAAGCAUGAUUAUCACCUAGACAUGAUAUCCUAGACAGGACGGUGAAUUGUAAAAAGAGUAAUCUUGAUCAAAGAAUGUCCUAAUGAAACGGAACAUUUUUGGUACGUGUAGAGCAAAAUAUAGAAAACAGUAGAGUAGUUGUACGAUUGAAACUGCAUCCAUCGACGUGGUGCAUGAAUUGUUGAGCCAACACUGUGGACAUGUCUUCAUGAACACCAUCUAGUGAGGACAGCAUGCAGAAAAAUAUAAAAACAUGUCAUAGGGAGGCAGACCAAUCUUGCGAGGUAGACGAAACGUGAUACACGAUCUGCCUACCUUGUCGUGUGGAUACCCCAAGUGAAGAUGUCAUAGAGGUGCAGACCAAGCUAGCAAGGAGGUAGAUGAAACGUGAUACACGGCCUGCCUACCUUGCCGUGGAUAUUAGUCCUGAUAUCAUUCUAUUGUUCAAGGAAUAACACUCAAUGCUGCUGCUGCUGCUGACCUGGCUCCAUAAAGUUAUAUUCCUCUAGCCGCUUGCACUAACUUUAUCUGAAGUAUUAUUCUCUCUGCACUGUAUAUAUGGUUACGGAGUUUGCUGGAGUAUCCGGGGGGAAGAACCUACAUAAUAUGUCUUGGAACUAACUGACAUUGAUUCACAGACAAGGUGCUGUUGUUGACAUGGUACAGUAAAUAAUAUAGUUUACCAUAUACCGUAUACCAUUAUAUGUUAGCUAAAAUAAGAGCAUAACAUGUCGCAGGAGUCCAAAAGCACCGGUUGAGGACCAGGUACAUUAAAUUACUAGAAAACAAAAGGGGACAAGGUUUAGGUAGCCACAUGAAAAACAUUUGAAUUUACUGUACCAUGAACACUUAGUUACCAUGCCGGGAGCACCUAGUUAACACUAACAUUUAGCCACUUUAGAUCAUCCCGAAACACCAAUGACCCUCAAUAGCGACAAAUUUUGGUUUAAAUGCCGUCACCAAUGAUCCUCAAUAGUGACGUGUUUAGGUUUAAAUCCCAUCACUAAUAACCCUUGGUAGUGACGUGUUUUGGUUUAAAUCUCAUCACCACUGAUCCUCACUAGUGACGUGUUUUUAGCAACACACGUUAUGAAUGACUUGUCAUUGGUGACAUGUUAAACGCGUUAUCUCAAUGGCAAAUCAAUGGUGACGUGUUUAAAAAAACAUGUCACUGUGAGAGUUAUUGGUGAAGGGUAAUUAAAAUGCAUCACUAAUUUUGUAGCAUUAGUUAUGAUAUAAUUUUGUAACGCAAAAAUCUACCAUAGUAAUGAGGUUUAGAGCCAUCACUAAUGUGGGUUUCUUAUCGUAGUGAUGCAAGCUCUACAAGGUGCUGUUGUUGCCAUUUUAAAGCAUCCCAAAUGACUACAAGAGUCCGGUUGAGGACUAAACAAAUUGAAUUACUAGAACCAAAUGUAUGUCCAGAACAAAGAAAGGGGUCAAGGUUUGGGUAACCGCAUUAAAAACAUUGAAUUUUACUGUACCAUGAACACUUAGUUACCAUUACCAUGCCUUGAGCACCUAGUUACCACAAACAUUAAUUUAGCCACUUUAGAGGUUCCACAAUCACUAUAAAUAAUAUACCAACACCGUACCAUGAAAACAUCAAGAAGAGAGACGGGUACAUGGACCACCAUCAAGUGAGUAGUGACAGCACGCACAAGAAUACCCGGAACCUUUUAGCUUGUCUGUAGUGAUCUGUUUUCUUCGCCACAAAUAAUGAAAGAGGCUGACCAAGCUAGCAACGAGGUAGAGCAAACGUGAUACACGUAGGUUUCAUUCAAGACAUCCAUGUAAGAUUCAUUCAAAACAUUCAUGGAAAUUUCUUGUAAGUUUUCAUGUAAAUUUCAUUCAAGACAUUUGUUAGAGGUGUUGUAUAUACACUUAACGUACAUAUAUCUAUGAUUUCAUGGUUGUUAGUGAUGGCAGAUGAGGAGCAUGCAAGGUGUUUAAUGGAGCAGAUUAUUGCUAGUGGUAGUGGCUCCAACCUGCCCGUAACGUACACCGACGAAGAGGGCAGCCAGGCGGACAUGUUCCUCAACAUGUCCGGUGAUGGCAAUGAAGAGCCCGAGCAAAACCUUGCCGUGACGGAAGGUUCCAUCGAGGUAUAUAUCAUUUCCAUUAUUUUACCCCAUCUAUAAUUUCAUAUUCAUUAUUACUAUGUGCUAAUUAAUGAAUCUUGAACCGUUAGUCCUCUAGAUCAACGAACCGAAAUAAGCCCCGAGGUCUUACAAAGAUAAUGCAGGGAAGGCUUCACAUCAUGGAAGUCACAGAAGAGGGCACAUCGGUUGCUCCCGAACAUGUGGCAAGAAAGUACGUGAGUCAAACCGGGGCAAUCGUAAGGGACAACAUGCCCAUCAGCAUCAGGGAAUGAAAGAGCAAUAGAAAUGAUCUAUACGCACCCCCGGAUACACAAAAGGAUAUGUUGUGGGCAAAUAUCAAGAAACACUUCACAUUUCCCAAAGGAUAUGUUGAAAAAUAUGUGAAAGCGUGGAUGUUGAAGAAGAUGGCCACCCAAUUCCAGACAUUCAAGAAGAUGUUGGAUGCCAACUUCAUCAAGAAGGGUCGAACUCCGGGUUUCAAUGAGUGGCCAAAGUUAAGGGACCACUGGGAGUCGUUUGUCGAAUACAAGACGAGCGAAGGUGGUGCGAGUAAGGUUCACAUCAAUGUUGCCAAUGCUAGCAAGGAGUACCAUCAUCAUCUAGGGCGACGUGGUUACAGCUCUGCAAUUCCCAGAUGGCGCAAGAUGGAACAAGACCUGAUCGAUCGGGGUAUCGUACCAGCAACUCUUGACUGGAUCGAUUGAAAAAUUGGUAUUAUGCUCAUGAAGGCAAUCUGAGCCAAGAGGAUCCGACAUUGGUCUUCAAUAAAACAAUACGUCAGAAGGUCGGAAGGCUUAUUAGGAACAUUGAAGAUGCUAAAGCUGGGAGGUUCAAGGUGGAUAGAGAGAAUGAUGAACUCACAUUGGCCCUCGGGACUGUCAUCUCUAGCACUUCCAGCUCCAGGACUAUCGUCACCACCGGGACCGUCGCUUCCUGCUCGAUCACAGUCUCCAUCUCCAGCACAUCCUGGUGGUGCGAGCGACGACGACAACAACACCCCUCCCUGCCCACCAUUGCCGGGACUAAGACCCGCAUUGAGUAAGGAACCUGCAACACCACUGAAGAAGUCGCGACCACCACCUUCAAGGCAAGUCAGCAAAAGAAGAAAGCAGAGAAGCCUAAACCCACUGAGAAGCCAGCGACUGAUAUGACCGAUGCGGAAAGAUGGAAGGCACUCAAAGAAGAAUGCAGGGAGUGGUUCAGCGAAGGCGAAGGUGAGAAAGUCGUAUGAAUCGAAUUCAAGGAUAUAUAUGAAGUGAACCAUCAGGAUGCCCUUGAUGUCUCUCUCAUCAGCGCCUAGGUUCUGUAAGUGUAUGUUUAUCUAUAAGUAAAUUUUGGCUCAUAUCAUUAUUUUUUUUGCGUGCGUCACCCUACUAACUUCGUCUUCCAUUUUAUGUAGGAUGCUAAUUCAGACGUGCCGCAUAGAAGCGUACUUCCAUGUUGGAUUCAUGGAUCCAUCCCUAGUUAACCAAAAGCCGAUACGGAAGUAGCUAGAGAAAACGUUGGAGGUGGUGUACAACCUCCUGGACAAACUAAACUACAGAAUAGGGGCAAUAUGUGAGGGUCUUGUAGGAUUCCUAGUGGACGAGGUGAUAAAUCCAUAAGGAGAAUAUCAUUCCAACGGACGAGCAUUAGACACACUGAGCAACACCUAGAUGGGAGGAUCCUAGGAAUGACCUCGACAGAUUUUGGUAUAAAUAGUAAUUGUGUAAAUACUAGUUUGAUUUGUAUAGGAAUAUACUAAGAAUUGUAUAUAUAGUAAUUGUACAAAUACUAGUUUGAUUUGUAUGAAUACUAGAUUGAUUUUAUUAUAAAAAAGUUUUAAGUCGUACGUGCAUGCGCCUACAAAGGCGCGGAUGCCUUUUAAUCCCAGUCGGAAAAACAAACUGGUACUAAAGGGGCUCGUGCCGCACCUGGCAUGACCACCCCUUUAGUCCCGGUUGAACGACCCAGGACUAAAGAUCUCCGCGUCUCAAAAAUUUUAUCUCGGAUGCUUUUUAGAGAGAUUUGAGGCCUAUCAACCAAGACUAAUAUCGAGUUUUCUACCAGUGAAACUAACUAACGUUCACAUGGUUUUGACAUUCACCUGCCAUUUGGUGUAGACAAGGGCACCCUAACAUAUGGUUAAUAUUAUUCUUGAAAGAAAAUCCUUUGAUUCAAAAUACUUCAAACCUAAUAAUACAAUACUUCUCACAUCUGAAAAAUAUGAGACGGCCCGACAGUAUUCUAAUCGACGCAAUAAUAUUUUGAGGGCAGCACUACUACAGCGACCCUCAUUCGUGCCGGUGCUGGGACUCCUAUCACGACCCUGAUACAAAUGAGGGUACAUUAUUGGUGCCAGUGCUAGAACAGCCACGAAUAACUUGCUAAACGUGCUGUUACACUCACUACAGGGACCAAGAAGGUAGAUAAAUUACACGACAUAGCCUUGGUUGCCGUGGAAGCGCCAAGAAGGGAGACAAAUUACAGGGACCACACCAUCAAGUAGAUAGUGACAAUAUGCAAAAGAAUACCCGCGCCUGUUAGCAUGUGAACUGACCACACCACGAAACGUGAUACACGGCAAGCGUACCAAGGCCUUGCUGUGCAGACUAUGCAUGGACAACACAUGGUACCUGACCGCUUUUGGCCUCAGACACAUCGAAAAACUGCAUCGUUCCACGUUGUACAUCCAUUGCUAGUUUAUCUAUAUUACAUAAUAUAUUAUUAGCUAUUUGAAUAGAAUGAACCAAUUAAAAAAUUGCGUUGUAUUUUUAGUACCGGCUGCAGGAUGGUGUUACCAACCAGUACUAAUUGGCCUGUAGGAGUGAUGGUUAUUAGACUUGGUACUGUUGUUAGCAUCAUUAACCUAAUUGUGCGCCGUAUGAAUUUGGGGAUGCAAAGCUAGCUCUCUAUGAAUGUGAGGGAUGGAAAGCUAGUUCUCUAGUAGUAAUUAUAUAUAUGACAGUCAAGAAAUCGAACACUAUGCUGCUACGAGUCACCAUCAUUUCCUUCAUUGACAAUCUGACAUAGGUGAAGCUGCUUCAAUAAUUUCCUUCGCGCAGUCGUGGAGCUUAUUGGAUUAUCACCAGGACGGGACACGGAAAUGGCCAGCAAUGAAGCUGAUUGCCGUCUGAGGAAGACUACAUACUUACCUAUGAAAUGAAGCGAUUGCAUAGACUAAUGAAGCAUUGCAUAUUUGCAUGUGAGUGUGGCAGAUAAUUCUGCAGGACAUGAUUGCAAUCCACGCACCAUCGAGAAGACUGGGGCGAUGGGGUUGCCUCAUCAAUAAUCACGUGGAUGCAUGCAUGCAUGUUCCCGCAACCGGACAAGGGUCUGAUAUAUGGCUAUAGUAUUACUGAGCCCACAUCAAUAAUUUCCACUGGUGUAUCGUGUGGGAAGAAUCAACAUACUACACCUCGAGUUCUUGGAACUAACUGACGUUCACAUGCAACCUCCACAAGGUGCUGUAUGCUUUUGACAUUCACCUGCCAGUUCGUGUAGAGAAGGACACCCUAACGUAUAGUUAAUAUUAUCCAUUUCAUGAGUAAAAUACUGUGAUUCAAAAAUACUUCAAAUCCCUUGAGACAAUACUUCUCACUUGACUAACCACUAACCAACCCCGAAACCCUAACUCAACUCCGAACCCUAACCCCUAACGGCAUAACCACUCCGUUUUGCCGGCGAGAUGGAGGAACUGGCUGGAAGGUAGAGAGGGCAGCGGUCCAGGGUUGAAAACGACGGGCGAGCGCAGUAACAUGUGGAGGAGGAAGUGCCACGUAUUCGUUCACCGCUAUUGGGCAGCGACACACGACACGCCCAAUAAGAUCUUCGCACGGUAGAAGGACGUCAUGUAUUCAAUAAUGUUAUUGGUCCCCCAUGUGCAGAAGGGCGCGCGCGUAUGGAAUAACAAGUAGGGACACUGCAACUAAUCUACUCUGCUCGUCCAGUCCCUAGCCUAUAAAUAGAUGCCAUGCUAGCUCUUGUUGUGCUCACAAUUAAUCCGAUUACACACGAGCUUCUCUCCCUGGCCAAGACACAACCAUAGUAUGAUGAAGAACAUGGCACUAGCCGGCAAUGGUAUGAAGAAGUUAAUCCUCGCUGUUCUCUUACUGUGUCUAGUUAUAGGGCAGAUACAAGUGGAAGCUAAGAGCUGCUGCCCAUCCACCACUGCAAGAAAUGUCUACAAUACCUGCCGUUUCACGGGUACAUCCCGUCCAACGUGUGCAAAACUGUCAGGCUGCAAAAUUAUCAGCGGGAACAAAUGCAAGCCCCCUAACGACCACCUCACCCUUGACCCGGACACUGGUAAAUAAUAAAUUUAUCUCACUUGAUUUCUUCGUGAUUUGAGUCGUUAAUGUAUUUUCCAUCUGAUGAAACGUAUUGGUUUUGCAUUGAAGAGGAAGUUAAUGUGCUUAACUUCUGCAAGUUGGGGUGUGCGUCGUCUGUGUGCAACAACAUCAACGCUGGUAAGCAACUUUUGCUCAGACAGAGAAAACAAUAAUCAUUAAUUAGCGGCAGCUAGAAUCCUAUAAUCUAAUAUAUAUAUAUAUAUAUAAUUUUAUCAGCUCUGGGAAAUGAAGAGGCGAACGAUGCCGUUGAGAGUUGCGACCAAGCCUGCUCUAGCUUCUGCAGCGUGCAUGUUGGCAGCGCCACCGUGGUUGCUUAAGCAAAUGCAUCCAACUAGAUCGUCCUUGUGCUGAAUAAUUGGAUAUCGUAUCCACUUAAAGCUGCCUUGUGUAGUACGUCUUUGUGUCUCUCUUUAUAUUCCAAUAAGGUCGGUGAUCUUGAUGCCACACACUCAGAUGUGUGUUCAUCUCCAGAUACUACUCCAUGCUACCUGCCCUUUGUGUUUUGUUCAAUAACUGGGUAUCAUAUCCCAGCCAGUAUGCCGUCUGUUUUGUGUUUGUUUCCUUCUAGUUCCAAAGGGGUCAUCAUGAUGUUACCUUCUUUCAAUAUGGUGCUUUGCAUGACUACUGUUGUAUGGUACCAUCUUGUGGCCAAUAAGUACAUCUUAUCCUAUGACCUUUGCUAUGACCCUUUGCAAAUAAGUAGAAGAUUGUUAUAAGCGUCAAUACUCCGUAUAAAUUGAUCGCUGCUGUGAGUUCCCUUUCAGCUUAUCGUAGGCAUACAUUAUUGCUAGCACGGUAAAGCCAACCAACACGAAUGAUGAAGUAAACGUAGCGGUACUUCUGUAUACCAACACCCUUACUUAAAUGUACCGGUGUCAUUCCCUACUGGCACAUAUAUUCUUAUAUGCUAGCCAGCUUGUAAAAUUAACCAAUUAAAAUAAUUAUUUCAAGAUAGAAAUAACUUAUCGGUUUCUGGAAGCAUGUGUAAUGUGAAUUCAAGGACUCGACGGAAGUUGAAUCACUUCAUCUAUAUUGCUUUCAGUAUUUUGGGUAACUAAAUUUAACAUUUGCACAUACAAAUGUUAAAGUACAAAUGUUAAAUCUAGUUACCCAAGCAGAAUAUGAAGAUAGUUUAUAGUAUAUAUAUACUAUAUAAAUCUAGUUAACAUUUAGUCUAAAUGUUAAAUCUAGUUACCUAAAAUCCUGAAAGCAAAAUGUAUAAAUAUAUAUCUUUUAAGGCAGUAUAAGCUUCGAUUCCUAUUGCUGCUCUGUUAAAUCUCAUCUUUCGUUGUGGCCCAACACUCUAGUAUGCAUGUUGCACCAAGCUUCUUUGAGCCGCUCUGCCCUCUGAUUUUGCUGCGUAGGGGAAUCUUUAUCAGGUUGGGCUACUUCCAGUUGUGCGAUGUAAAGAUUCGUAUUUUCUAGAAGGUAGACAAAAAACUCGCGUUCUCUUAAGGCAACAACCGGAAGAUUCUGCAGCGCACAGGGCAUACCAUUAUUGUAGAAACGACCUUUAGUACCGAUCUCCAACCCCCUUUAAAACUGGUUUUGCAACCGGUACCGUUAUGUCGGUCCUUUAGUACCAGAUCAAAUAAGUACCGGUUGGUAACCAGUAUCAACUUGUUUUGCGGCCAAAAAAAUAAAGAAAAAAACAGUCAGAAGGCUCGCACACACGCGCAUCACAUGAAAUAUGCGUGUGCGGGGUCCAUGGGAUUCGAACCCAUGAAAUCAAGCUGCACGCGACCCUUCGUUACCAUCUCACCUACAUAGCGCAUAUGCUUUCCUGAAGUAACCCGUGGAGGAGGCUUUAGUACCGGGUCAUAACACCACCCGGUACUAAAAAUGACUCUUCAGUACCGGGUCAUAACACCACCUGAUACUAGUAUCGGAUGGUGUAAUGACCCGAUACUAAAAGGCCUCUAGGGACCCUCAAAUUUGAACCCGGUACUAAUGCUAAUAUUAGUAGCGGGUCAAAGUGCAGCCAGAACUAAAGCAUGGGAUGAAAGGUCAUAUUUCUAGUAGUGUAUAGUUGUUGUGAAGGACUGACUUGGCUGUCCUCUCUCUUCUCCAUCCCCUUGGUCUUACGCCGCCGCUCGCACGCGAGCCGGUGCCCAACCAGAGGAGUGAGAGCUAGGGGCAGGUUGGGAGGUGGGGAUAGUGACUGGUGGCCAGGGUGAUGGUUGAUCCUGGUGGGGUUAGGGUUUCAGGGUUUUCGAGCUUCCUAUGGUCGGCGAACCUAGAGGAGAAGCUCAACAUCAGCUGCAACCCGCGAUGGUGGUGGUUUGGCCGGCGCCCGAGGCGAGGCAGCGCGGGAGUGCUGCCGGUGGGUUGGUGUUGGCACUCAUUAUUGACAACUAUUUUGUUCAUAAAAUAACACUCAAACUUGCUGCUGCUGCUGCUGCCAUCGCCACCCUAGCCAUAAUAUAAAGGCAAAAUUUGCUAAAGGACAUGCAAAAUGAUGCUAGUUUGCUGGCGGGCAUCGUUGACCUUGUAAUAUGCUACAAGACACUCUAGUUGUGUAUCAAUUUGCUGAAAGACAUUGCUAUGACUAAAAUAAUGUUUCUGGACUGAGUUGGAGAGAGAGAUGGAGUGAAAUGUCUGUUUUGCCCAUGACCCCACUGGUCAGAUCCUUCUUCUUCCACCCUCCUUUGUUCUUUCUUCAACCAUUACCCAGCUCCAGCGUGUUGCAGAUCUACGAGGGUGGCGGCCUGGGGCGAGGGGCAUCGCUCGCCCUUGGAGGAGCGCUGCGAGCGACGGCGCGGGGGCGGCAACAGCGCGUCAGAACCUGACUGUUCGUUAGCUCCUCUCGCUGCUGGGGAAGAAGGAGGGGGAUGGGCCAUGGACGGGGUUCCCUUGAAAACCUCAGCGUCGAGCUCGGGCGGCUACGCGCAGGCAGCACUAGGCUGCUUCACGGGGAGGGGGCGCGGCCAAUCAUUGGCACCCCACUGGUCCAAUGCUGAUGAAGAUGGUGCCAGCGUCGUGUGAGGACAUCUCAUCUCCUCGAGUUCCAUGGCCAGCACAGGUGAGCUGCCGCUACCACAAAACAGAGGUUUCGUGAGAGUCAAAAAACCUUAUGAAAAUAGCUAAAACCAUCAUGAAAAUAAUCCGUGACAUGACACUCUCACGAAAAUCCUCUCACAAAUAUGGUGCCAUGAAAAUACCAUUUUCAUGAGAGUGAACUGUCAUGAUUUUAUAAGCGUCAAUACUCGGUAUAAAUUGACUACUGCUGUGAGUUCCCUUUCAGCUUAUCGUAGGCAUACAUUAUUGCUAGCACGGUAAAGAGAACCAACACGAAUGAUGAAGUAAACGUAGCGGAACUUUUGUAUACCAACACCCUUACGUACCGGUGUCAUUCCCCACUGCCACAUAUAUUCUUAUAUGCUAACCAGCUUUGAAAAUUAAGCGAUUAAAAUAAUUAUUUCAAGAUAGAAAUAACUUAUCGGCUUCUCGAAGCUUGUGUAAUGUGAAUUCAAGGACUCGAUGGAAGUUGAAUCGCUUCAUCUAGAUUGCUUUCAGGAUUUUGGGUAACUAAAUUUAACAUUUGCACACACAAAUGUUAAUGUACAAAUGUUAAAUCUAGUUACCCAAGCAGAAUAUGAAGAUACUCUAUAGUAUAUAUGUACUAUAUAAAUCUAGUAAACAUUUAGUCUAAAUGUUAAAUCUAGUUACCUAAAAUCCUAAAAGCAAAAUGUAUAAAUAUAUAUCUUUUAAGGCAGUAUAAGCUUCAAUUCUCUGUUAAAUCUCAUCUUUCGUUGUGGCCCAACACUCUAGUAUGCAUGUUGCACCAAGCUUCUUUGAGCCGCUCUGCCCUCUGAUUUUGCUGCGUAGGGGAAUCUUUAUCAGGUUGGGCUACUUCCAGUUGUGCGAUGUAAAGCUUCGUAUCUUUUAGAAGGUAGACAAAAUACCCGCGUUCUGGAAGAUUCUGCAACGUGCACGUUGGCGCUGCCACCGUGGUUGCUUAAGCAAAUGCAUCCAACUGAAUCGUCCUUAAGCUGAAUAAUUGGAUAUGGUAUCCACUGCUUAAAGCUGCCAUGUUUAGUACGUCUUUGUUUUUCUCUCUUUAUAUUCCAAUAAGGUCGGUGAUCUUGAUGCCACACACUCAGAUGUGUGUUUAUCUCCAGAUACUACUCCAUGCUACCUACCCUUUGUGUUUUGUUCAAUAACUGGGUAUCAUAUCCUAGCCAGUGUGCCAUCUGUUUUGUGUUUGUUUCCUUCUAGUUCCAAAGGGGUCAUCAUGAUGUUACCUUCUUUUGAGGUGUCUAUGAUGACUUCGUUAAUAUCAAUAUUAACCAAUUCAAUCUGUCUUAACUAUUUGUAAGGGGUAUGAUGUAUGCAUGAUUAUAACAAUGAUUGCGCAUACAAUCGCCGCCAAAGAAACGGUCAAUACCAUUAAGACAUAUUACAGACAAUUCUCAUAAUCUAUAAUGAAUAUACAUAUUCACUACUGCAGAAGACUGUCAUUUGUAUCGGCUCAUACGUGCCAGGGCAAAGGUCACCCUUGCAUUAAGUACAUUUGCACGGUAAAGACAACCAACACGAAUAAUGAAGUAAACAUGCCGGUGCUUUUGUACACCAACACGCUUACUUAAAUGUACUGGUGUCAUUCCUCACCGGUAGCCGGCUUGAAAAUUAACCAAUUAGAACAAUUAUUUAUUGUAUCGGUGUGAUUUUUGACCUAUUGGAAUAUGAAUUUGACCGUUACUGCAUUCGUCAAGACUCAAGAGAGAAAUAACUGAUCGGCUUCUUAGAGCGUGUGCAAUGUGAAAUCAAGGACUGGAUGGAAGUUGAAGCGCUAGCACUAGUAGAGAAACGACUUUCCAUCCACCCCCUUUUGUCCCGGUUUAAAGUUGGCUCGGGAUAAAAGGUUCACCAACCGGGACUAAAACUCAGUCACUGGUGGGAGGCUCACCAACCGGAACCUUUUAUCCCGGUUGCAAAGGCUAAUGGGAAAAAAAGACUCUGAGAGGCCUUUUAUCCCGGUUUGAAACACCAACCGGGAUAAAAGACCCCCCUUUUAUCCCGGUUGGUAACACCAACCGAGAUAAAAGGGUCAAGAGCCUUUUAUCCCGGUUGGAAACACCAACCGGGAUAAAAGACCCCCUUUUAUCCCGGUUGGUGUUUCAAACCGGGAUAAAAGGGCCCCCACGAGGUGACUGGAAGGUGACUGGAAGGGGAUUAAAUCGUGGGGGACCCUUUUAUCCCGGUUGGAAACACCAACCGGGAUAAAAGGGGGUCUUUUAUCCCGGUUGGUGUUUCCAACCGGGAUAAAAGGGUCCCCCACGAGUUAAUACAAAAGGAUAGUAUCCCCUACAUAGUCAGAUGUGGUGUGUAGGUGGGAUGGUAAGGAAGCUACGCGCGAGCUCCGGAAUUUUUUUUUUUUUUUUUUGCAGCGUCGGCGCUCUCUACCCUUUUAUCCCGGUUGGUAUUACCAACCGGGAUAAAAGGGGGUCUUUUGUCCCGGUUGAGUGACCCGGGAUAAAAGACCCCCCCUUUUUUCCCCGGUUAGUUUAUCCCGGAUGCAUUUUCGGGAUAAAAGCACCCUACCAACCGGGAUUAAAGCUCACUUCUCUACCAGUGUAGCUUCAUCUUCCGCUGCAAGUUAAUUGCUUGGAUAAGAAGUUGUAGCCGCUGCAAGUUAUAAAUAGUCCCGCUGAUGCUGUGCUCCGAAGUCUAUACUAUAUAUGCGGAAACUAGAUUGCUUUCAGGAUUUUGGGUAACUAAAUUUAACAUUUGUACAUAAAAAUGUUAGUUUACGAAUGUUAAAUCUAGUUACCCAAGCAGAACAAGAAGAUAGUAUAUAGUAUAUACUAUAUAAAUCAAGUUAACAAUUAGUCUAAAUGUUAUAUCUACUUACCCAAAAUAUUGAAAGCAAAGAAAGAAUAAGUAUAUAUCUUUUGUUGGAAAAUUGGUCCACGGAGAGGCCCAUUUAGGCCUCGUUCGUUUCACCGGGAUGGGAUUCCAGUCAGGAUUACUUCCAAGUUCGGUUUGAGUGAUUCCACCCGUGUCACUCAAUCCGGCUAGGAUUCAUUCUAUGGGUGAGGAGGUAUGGUUUCAAUCCAGGCCAUCUAAUGUAGAAGGAUUCCAAUCCAGGCCGGUUUUCGUUCCAGGCCAGACUAAAACGAACAACACUUUCAAUGCAAGUCUGGUUUCAAACCGGGCCAUUUCAAACCACCCGGAAUGGACCUCGUUCCAGGCCAAUCCGGUGAAAACAAAUGAGGCCUUAAUGGAAUCCCAAAGCAAGAGUUCAGUGGCAUUCUAUAGUCCCAUGCUGCUAGUUUGAGUUGGUCGAAGCCAACUUAAAUAGGAGAGCUCUCUCACUUCUCUAAAUACGUAACUGAAGGAGAGAAGGGGGCUUGGGUUACACAACGCACGCACGCACGCAUAUUUGCGUUCUUUUCGCGUAACCAACCGCGUGACUUGAAACUUGCGACGUAGCGUGCUGCUAAGUCAAGUUGAUAUAACCUUUUUGCCGUUUGCAUGUAAUCUUUUGACAACGGUCAUUGGAGGUGAUAAGCACGCAGUCAAUACCUUAAUCUUGAGUUAAUAGGGUGGUUACUACUGCCAAUUAGUGGGGCAAUUUUGUAGGGGAAACGGUUAGCAGAGGGCUACCGUCUUCUCUAUAAGAAGUUCUGGAGACGUCCAGGAACACACAUGUACAUGUGAGAGACCCACAAAUUCCUUCCCUUCUCCCUUUUCCAUGUGGUGAAGUGUGCUGUGGUACUGAGCUGCUUGAUCUCGCCGCUCUUCUCCUUGGCAUGCACCGAGGAGGAGGGUGAGCGGUAUCUCCGAGCUAUUGCCGUCAGGAAGCCUGCACGAGGGACAACAAAAAGUUUUUGGGUAGCGCAACUGCCAGCACAACUCUCCCUCCGCCUCUUCUUCACGGUUGAUGGCCACCACAAGCAUAAACCUCGCCUUCGCAUCCACGCAAAAGGGUCGCUGGGGUGCCUUCUUGCAUCGCUUCUCAGCCUCCUUGACUUGCGGCCAGCCAAGAACUGCGCCACCACCUCGGGUGCACGCCACCACUCCAGGGCUGCUACCCCAUGCCUGCGGCCGCCGCCGGCCACCACGCGUGUGCAACCGCGUCGCACCGCUUCCUUGCUUUGUGCCACCACUGCUGCUGUACCACCAGCUCCACCACCUUGGGCUGGUCGCCAGAGUGACUGAUAACUUAUUAUCUGUAACUACUAUUAACUCAGGGAUACAUGCGUCUUUUGCUUCUCCUACUAAUAUGUCCUAAAAUAUCUAGGAUGCCUUAUAUUUCUGGACAGAGGAAGUAUUUGAAUAAAAUGAACCAAUUUAAAAAAAUGUGUUGUACACUACUACAGAAAGACCUAUCAGUGUCAAACCCAAAAAUGUUGUCACCGCCAGUUUUGGGCAUCAUUGGUGAAAGGUUGGCGGUGAUGGGCUUUCCCUUCAACAACGGCACUGGAGCCGACGGUGAUUGACAUUAGAAAACAAAAAAGGGGACCCUACCUAGCCACCCCUGCAACCCGGCCGGCCGUGCCUCCCCUCAUCCCCACCACCUCGCCUCCCCAUGACCCCCCGCCGGCGCCCUUGCGCCUAGCCCCCUCAACUGCCCAGCCGGCCACCCUCAUCACGAGAGAGAGGUGCAUGUUGUAUAAUUGCGUGAAUUUUUUAAUGUUUAAUUUCAUGUAAGUUCCGUGUAAUAAAUUGUACAAGUUUUAUUGUAUAUAUGAAUUCCAUAUAUAUAUAUAUAUAUUUAUAAUUUAAUGUAUGGUUUCAUGUGUAUAUUUCAAUCAUGUGUAUAUUUAGUAGAUUGCCGAUUUUCUUUUUCUACUAGACAAGGGUUGAUGUAUAAUUACGUGUAUAUGUUUAUUGUACGGGCAAUUAGGACAAGUUUUGUAUAAAUUUCUUUUAUUUGAUGGUUGUUGUAUGGUUUCAUGUAUAUACAUUUAUUGUACUACUUUAGACAAUUUUUAAUUUAAUGUUUCUAUGAUUAGAUGUGUGUAUAACUAAUUGUAUUAUUAGUUAAGAUGGGAGCUAAAGAGGAUGAAAGGUAUAUAAUGGAGCAGAUUAUUGCUAGCUCAAACGUUGCAAGAACCUACACCGAGGGUGAGGGUAGCUAGGUGGACAUGUACCUCAACAUGUCCAGUGAUGGCAAUGACGAUGAGGAGCACGAGCAUGACAUCUAUGAUAAUGCGGAACAAGACAUUGCAGAAUUGGAAGGUUCUAAUGAGGUGUGCUUCAUGUUGACAAUCUAGUUGGCUUUUUUUCGUUGGUCACACCUUAGUUACCAUAGAACUUCGUCUCGGGAGAAGAUUGGUGGUGGUAUGGUGAUUGGAAUUUUAUUUCCACGAAAUCUGAUUUCCAUCGAAUCAUAUCCCUUGUAUUUAUCUUCUUUUUAUUUGUGAGAGCAUCUUCUUUAUGCUUGCAAAACAAUUCAAGUGCACAUACUACCCCUAGGGUGACGAUUGGGAGUAGAAAUAAUUGCCAACAAAACAACACCACAUCCUAAGAUUCUUAACUUGUGGCAUAAUUAGUCUAGUAAAAAGAAAGAUAAAAACCUAAUGGGUGUAUGUGAGUGCAAUGUGUAUAUGCAUAUGAGUGGAAGGCAUAUAAGCAAAGACAAUAUUUACACAUAGUUCUAAACACCAUGUUUACAGCUAGGUUGCUGAAUUUCUCCAUAGCCAUAGAGAUUAAUUAACCAAGGUCAAAACACGAUGUCUAUCCCAAGAUCAGUAAUUAUUUAUAGCACAAGAAAAAGAAAGCGCAUUGCAAAGUUUAUAAACCAACCAAUACAGCAUGAAAACAAGAUGAAUAGCUAGCAAGGUUUAUUAAACUGAAUGAUGACGGUCUGUAAGCAAGUUUAAACACCAUCUUUACACAAGAUUGCAAAUGGAAAAUGCCCAUAUGAAGCACUAACAUGGAUAUGAAAUCAUUCAUCAUAAAGCGUAAAGAACAACCAAGCCAACCAUAUGCAAAGCAUGAAUGGAAUGCAAUGAAGGUGCAAGAGAACAUUUUUGGAUGAACACAUUAUGAUGAUGGCAAAAUGCAAUGCAUGCAGAAAAAAUAAAUAUGAACAUGAAUAUGAUGAUCAGGGGCGGACCCACUAUUGUGGCCUGGGUAUUCCUCGGCAUACCCAAUAUUUUUGGGAAAAUGUUUAGUAGUUUUUAAUGGCAUAUACAUGUAUAAUAUAGUUUAGGUGUUAAAAUUGAUAUUCACAGCUAUUUUGGGCUCCAAUUCGCGUCCAAACCAACCUGGCCCACAGACCGCACCCGGCCGCCCGGCCCAUCGGCCCAUCUUGUCACUGAUCCUCCCACCACCACACUCAGCCCGUCAGUUAGUCAGGUCCCGAGCUCCUGCCUGACCUAGUCCGCUACCACCGCCAGGCGCCAGGCACAGCUGUACACGCCGCCCCCGUCCACCCACGUCCGCCGCACGGCCGCGUCGCGCCCCCCCCCGGCGCCCGCUGCUGCCAGAACCCAUUAGGCCUCCACCGGCAAGUCCACCCACAGUCCCGCGCGACGCGGCAGCCUCUUGGCUCUCGGCGCUCGCGGCGCGCCAAUGCCUGCGCAGCCCCAGCAGGCGACUGCCCCCCCCCCCCCCGCAUCGGGCCUCGGCCCCUCCCCAGCUCCCCCUCCCCCCUCCACCAGGACUGCCUGCUGGCCCCCACCGCGAGGUAAUCGAAAUGGACUGCUCAAUCUCUCAAUCUGUUGACAUGAUGCACACGGUUGCAAAAAUAGAUGUGUCAAAAUAGAUGUAUUGCCAAUUGCUAUAGAUGCAUAUGGUUGACAUGAAGAAGUCAAAAAUGACAUUUGGUUCCUUGUAGGCAGUCAAAAAUGAAGAAGUCAAACAAUAUUGAUCUGAAAUCAAUGCGGGAAAGGGCUACGAAGACACACGGGUAGAUUCCCUUGUGAACUUUUUAUGUCGUUCGUCUAAAUAUAUUUUUGCAAUGGGCAUACCCUACUCUGAAAUCCUGGGUCCGCCACUGAUGAUGAUGGUCUAAACAUAAAACAAGCCUAGAUUAAUUAGCUACAACUGAAAUUAAGCAAAGGUUAAUGUCAUUGACCCUAGCUCUAUCCUAGCUUUUACUAAAGUCCCGGCACAUAUAGUGGUUGGGCCCACUCUCUCUACUUCCCUCUCUGCUGCAUGCACACACACGAGCAACUGGAGGCCCAACAAAGCCCAGAAGGGUUCGGCCGAACCCGUCCGAUCCAGUCUGAGCGCCGCUCCCUCCCAGCCUUCGCGCAGAUGCUCCUCCAACGUUCCUUGACCCCUCCCUCAGUGUCCCAUUGGGUUUAACAUUGUAGGAGAGGAGUCCCUUUUUUAAAAUCUCAACCACCUCCUCUCCUCAUUCACUCCACUCUCAUCUCCAUCAAACUCACCAAGAUCCACAUCGGAAAUACCUGCUUACCACCAUGGCUGGCAAAGCCCUCGUCCCUUUCACCAACUUGGGCUUGACCAUUGAUCUCGAUGGGAAAAUCACUCCAGCAAAUGUCAUUGUCCCUGUCGGCGAUCUGGCGAUGGAGGAGGUCCAGGCACUAGAGGUCGAGCCCCUAGCCAUCAUACCGCCCAAGGGGUAAAGCAGGAGCAUGACAGGCGCUGCUAGGGGUUCAGCCGAACUCCCAGUUCAGCCAAACGAGGACGGCGUCGCCUCGGCCUCCCGCUCGACUGCAUGCUUCCCCUUGCCAAGGAGGACUCCAGAACAGCGGGCGCGUGCGUCAAGUCCCUACAAAAGGCUGAAAUACAAUGAAUAUCCAGGGUCACCCUUGAAGAUGGGUGAACGCUACGCCGGGUCCUUGUUUGACUAGUACGGCGAUGCAUUCUGCCACCGCUAUGUCGUUGUCGAGAUUAGCGGAUCAAGACUUAGACUAGUAAAUUUCUUUUAUGCGCGUAAGGCUUCAGAUGGUGGCGUGGGAGACAUGGGUUUUAUACUAGUUCGGGCAAUGGAAUACCCUACGUCCAGUGUCUGGAGCUGCUUGUGUUGCCCACGCGGGGUUCUGUAGUAGGGGUUACAGGUGUGCGAGAGAGGGAGCUAAUCCCAGGUCUCUUAGGCGUGUUCCGGUCCUCUAGAUGGGAGAAGUGUGUUCUGUUUGCUUGGGAGUAUCGGUUGUGUCUGAGUUGUCUCCGGAGCCUCCUCCCGUCUCAGGUCCCCGAUUCUCCUUUCAUAGCACAAGGAGACCAUCGGGGUUACAGACGAGACCGAGCGUGGGGAGGAGUAAAGAGAUAAACAUAGCUAGGUAAAAAUACAACAAGAAAGGGGGGAACCAAGUUUCUAGGUCACCGGCGUCCUCGCCGGCCUUCGACUUCCGCCGGCGCAUUUGUCGGAGGAGGGUGGCCGCCAUCGCGUUCUGUCGAUGGCUUCCUCGGUGACUGUAGCCACCGGGCGUGAUGAUGGCAUUUCGUCGUGACCCUUUGUCUGUUGGGGGAGGCGGCGGAUCCUGCCAUUCUGCUGACGGCUCGCGGAGUGCGAACGUCGCAUCCCUGCCGCUGGGCACGCGGGGCGCGAGAACGUGCGAGGCUUCCCCCUACCCCAGGCGGCGCAGGCCAUGAGUGCCCUGUGGCAAAUCGGAGGAGGCCGCAGCUACUGUAGCUUGUACUGUGCAGCCACGUAUGGGUACUUGUGGCAGGUUGCGUGGUGGAUGCGGAUAUCCUUCUCCCUGACAGAUCUGCGGCGCAUUUAUGGCGAGAUCGACAUGGGGACCCACAAGACCCGCGCCCAAGGCGGAUACUUGUCUGGAGGGCCCGGGUUAGCCUGACCCCCUACGCUUGGGGUCGGGCGAGGCGGAGACUUGCGGCGGGGCGUCGGACGCUCCCGACACUAGACCUGCGGUCGCGCAAGGCGGAGCUUGGUCUUCCGGGGGUCGGGGGUGCCGGACCCCAGGAUGCGGGGUCGGGCGAGGUGGAGCGUAAUUCUUGCCUCCCAUGUUGGGCCGAUGGCAGUCUUUGUUACCUCUAGUGGGCUUGGGCCUUUAUGUUUUGUUGUUUCCAUGGGCUUCGAGAGGUCGUUAAUAUUUCCCCCCAACAGUAGCCCCCGAGCCUGUGGUGGAGUGGGGGCGCUCCUCCGGAGGCUACUAUCAUCGCCCCUAGGGAAUCCUCGCAGUUGAUCCGGGAUAGGAGGUGUUGUUUGCACGGCUUGACCGAGGGGGUCGAUUAGGCGACGCAUCCUGUGAGCGACUCGGUGCGGGAGGGUUUCUUGUUGUUCCCUUCUGUCUGAGAGCCUUAAGUCGAGACCACCUGCGUGGCCUUUGGUUGCAAGGCCAGCCCCCGAGCCCCCGCACGUUGCAGGGGACCGGUCGGAGGCUAGGUCGACUUUUGUUCAUUACCCUCAAGCGUCUGUUCGCUAGGACGGAGGGGGCGAGCCGUGCCAUGCUAUCCUCAUCGGACGAACCAUGGUGCUCAUUGAGUUACUAACGGGUUGAUUCGAGUGGGAUCCCGGUCCCCGUUCGGGGGGGGUCCGGCUUGGGCCAAGCUGGUGGCGUACCCCAGGCUCCGGUCGGCCAGUUCAUAUAGUUCCUGAGUCCGUUCGGUCGGACCGGGGGCUCAUUGCCUUUCUUCGGGGAAAAACCAUGAACUUUGAUGCCGGUCCAGACUCGAAUGUGAGAUUGAGACGCCCGGGGCUGUCGCGUGCCCGGGUGAUGGCCGCUAGCGGACCCGUCUCCUCUCACCCCUCACUCGGGGGUAUCCUGAGGCGGCUGUCGAACCCGUGGCGGGCCAGCCUUCGAACCUCUGGAUCGUAAUGGGCCGUAGGGGCGUUUUCAGCCCCGUAUCCCUUUUUACCUUUUGGUGGGCCUUGGGCCGAAUCAUGGAGGAGGUCGGGCCUUGGGCCGGAUGCGGAGGAUGUCGUGCCUUGGGCCGGAUGUGGGGGACGUCGUGCGUGUCUUCCGGGAGACGAAGUGGUGGAGGGUGCCAACCCGCGAAUCGAGGGAGGAGGGGAUGUUUCUACUGCAGGUCAUGCGCACGGUUUCCGAAAAGGCAGCGGGCGUGACGGGACGUACCUCGCGCCGCAUUUAUUGCGAUGGGGGCGUCUGUUCUGCUUCCCUCGUGCCUUCCCUAUAAAACGAGGACUUCGCCUCGCCGGUUCCGCCCGCCAUCUACCUUCAAGCCUUUUCGCCUCCUCGCGCGCCCUUAGCUUUCCUGUGCCCGCUUCGUCUUCCUCCGCCCAGUGCCGCGCCCUUUCUCCCCAUCCGCCGUCGAGUUCUUCUCCCUCCGGCGAUGGGAUCCUGGGCGCGUUCCCACUUCGGCCCCUCACGCGCCGAAGGCCUAGUGAGGAAAGGCCUCCUUUGCGAGAGGACGGAGACGGAUGAGUGGGGGUUCCCUGAGAUGGAAGAGGUGCCGACUCCGCCCACCGGCUACGUCGUUUCCUUUGCCCACUUCCACGAGAGGGGGUUUGCGACUCCGCCGAGCCUCUUCUUCCGCGGGCUUUUGUAUUACUACGGGCUUGAGCUGCAGCACCUCAACCCCAACGGGAUUCAGCACGUCGCGGCGUUCGUUGCGGUGUGCGAGGGGUUCCUGGGCAUUGAGCCCAACUUCUCGCUGUGGAAGUACUUCUUCACGGUCAGCCUAUACCAGAAGGCCGAGAAGAGGGGAAGCCAGCAGCGGUCGACCCCGGUGCCGAUAGGGUGCGUCGGAAUCCACCUCUGCCAUACUCGCGCCAAGGAGUAUAUCGCGAUGAAGACCGCGGCAUCCCACAAGGGGUGGCACCAGCAAUGGUUCUACGUGAAGAACUACUCCAACCCCCCCUGCCGGAGUUCACCGGCCGCAUUAUUGAAGCGGCGCCGGAGGUGUGGGUGUACGGCCCGGUGGAGAAGGAGAAGAAGCGGAUCACCGGCCUGCUGCAGGCCAUCGAGCACCUGAAGGAGAGGGGACUGACCGGAGCCGGAGUCAUCGGGGCGUACCACGCCCGGCGGGUGGCGCCGCUGAUGCUCCGGGUCCGCUCGCUCGCCGACAUGACCCCCGGUGCUCUCACCGAUGGCACUGUCCUCGCGACGGGUGCUCUCGCUGCCUCCGAGAUCCGGCAGCGGAUCCGGGAGGCGCUGGAGGACAAGGACGCCGAUUACCCGGUGCCCGGCCACCCUCCGAUGCGCCCGGACGAGAAUUUCAUUGAUCUGGUAAGGAUUUUGCGCGCCAGUUUCCCUCUCUUGCGUUUCUUGGUAUGCCGUUCUGACGCGAGGCCCUCUGUGUUUGCAGGGUAGCAUGACCCGGGUCGUCGACUUGCGUCCGCCAGUGUCGGAGGACGCCGAGUGGCGGUAGCAGAACCGUCUCCUUGCCGAGAAGCAAAAGUGACGCAAGGACAAGAGACAGCGAAGAAGAAGAAGAGGGCCGCCAAGGAGUUCCAGCGGCGGCGGUGGGGAUAGGUCGUGUCGGAUGACGAUGACGAUGAGAAGGAGGAGGAGGAUGACGAGGAGGAGGAGGAGUUUAUCCUGUCCCCCCGGUCAGGGGCGCUUGUUAUCCGGGAGCCGCGCUCCCAAGCGGCCAUGGGGGACAAGGCGGGCGAGCUGCCUGCCCGGACCCGAUCCUGCGAAGCUUUGGGGGCGCGCCCCAGGGGUCGGCGCAGAGCGCCCCCCGGGGGUCGACGGAGCCGACCCCCAUCCCUACACCUGCAGCCCAGGAGCAGAGGAGCAGCGACAAGCGGCCGUUGCCAGAUGCCCCGGGGUCGGCGUCCAGCUCAGAGGCGAAGCGCGCGCGCCGCCCUUGCGCUGGGGGAACGUGAGUUGAAUUUCCUUGCGAAUCUCGUUCCUUUCCAUGCAUUGUGUUUGUUUCCGCUGAUGCUGUUUGUUGUCUCACAGCACCGCCCCUCAAGGCCUUGUCCCGCCGUUGGCGCCAAAGAAGGCGUUGCGGUGUUGUCGCCUCUGCGGGGCGGACCGCGGCUCCGCCGGCGGCGAGUGGCGGGGUCACUGGUGAGACCGCGGGUCCUACCGCGGAGGUGGCCCCUGCGGCGGCAACCGGUGGAGUGGUGCCACCGCCGGGCAUGGGACAGGGUCUGGACCCCGCUCCGUCCUCCGCCUCUUCGGCCGACCCCGCGGUGCAGAGUAUCGCUCCUGGGGGCCCUCAGGCCGGGGAGGUGAUUGACCUCGACGCCGACGAGGUGGAGGAGACGGCGGCGGUGGAGACGGGGGCGGUUGCCCCAGCGGCCAUGACGGGGACGACGACGGCGACGGGGGAAGGAGAGUCUACCCCCGCGGCCACGGCGGGGACAGUGGCGACAGAGGAGGCGGGGACGCCCGCCCCGGCGGCUGCGACGGAGGAGGCGGCGGUGACGGAGACGGGGGCUUCCGCCCGGGAAGCCACAGCCGAGGUGGCAGCGGCGACGGAGGUGAAAGUGCCUGUUCUGGAGGCCACGGUGGGGGUGGGGACGCCUGCCUCGUGGCCACGACGGAGGGCGAGGCGGCCCCAGGGACACUUGCUCCGGCACCCGCGUUGGAGGCGGUGGCGCCGACGGGUUGGCCCGUGGCGGCCUCGACGGGGGCGGGGGUGCGUGCGCCGGGACCGUCGGUGAGGCCGGCGACUUCCGGGAUGGUGGUGCCCGUCUUGACGGCGGCGGCGGCGCGGUCGGCCCCCGCCCUUGCCUCUACCACUCCCAUUCCCAAGGCGUGGAGCGGAUCCGUCCUGCGUUGGUCGUCUCGUGACGACCCGCAGAGGCCCCUCUUCACGUUGGAUGAUGCCACAGAAUGGGGCAAGUGGCAGGCGCUGCAGGGCGGACUCGCUAACGUCCGCGCCGCUCUAUCUUCGGCGUUGGGGGAGCUGGACGGCGUCAUCUUCCCCGGUGGCCGGGUAUGGUGCUUUCUCCGUUGGUUAUUUUCUUCCCGUUACUUCGUCCCUGAUGGCACAUUGUUCUGCAGGCCCUCCAAGAAUGUAGCCGGGGAAAAUCUGAUUUCCUUUGGCUCGAGCAGGGGCUCUGGGAGCGCUUCAACUUGGAGUUGCAGCGGACCGGGGAGCUGACCAUGCAAGUCGCCACCGUCUAGCAUGUCAUCGACGAUCUGCGAAGGCACGAGCAGGCGGCACAGGAGGACGCGCGGCGGGCGGAGGCCAAGUUCCAGGUCGUUGCCGAAAGGGCUCGCUGCGACCGCGAGGAGUUCCAGGCCGUUGCCGAAAAGGCCCGCCACGACGCUGAGGAGCUCGCACGGCUGAAGGUGCAGCAUGAAGCUCUUCAGAAGAGCGGCAGAGGGCCUGGCAGGACCGGGACGCCGAGAAGGUCCGGAAGGAGGAGGCUGAGAAGGUGGCGGCCAACCUUGGGGCUGAGGUCAGCCAGCUCCAAGUGCAAGCGCGAGAGCUUCAGGCCUCCGUGGCCCAGGGGCUCGACCAGGAGCGCCAGCUGAAGGCCUAAUCCGAGGGUAUGACUCUGUUUAUUUCUUUGUCUUUGUGAUGUUGCGGUGAUAUUUUAUUUGGCGGGUUCUUCUGGAUGAUCCUUGCAGAUGAGCUCAACUGGCUGAGGGAGGUGCUUGACGCGGAGCGCGCUGAGCACGGCGACCUGCGGGACGCGGUCCGCGUCAUCUGUGACUUCCUUAGUGUGGUCCAGGGGGAGGGGACGAGCUCGCUGGCGGCUCGUGUCCUCGGGACGUACCGCCGGACCAGCGAGAUCGCCCUGGAAGCGCUUCGCACCGGCUUGAGGCAAGCCUUUGGGGUCUUCGGCUCCCACUAUUCCGGCAUCAACUUCGCCGGGAUGAGCGGGGGAUACGCCACCGGCUACUACGAGGCCGAGCUGGAUGAGAUCGACGUGUCGGUGCUCAGCCCGGCGGAGGCCUUGGUGAAGCUCCUCGAGGAUGAGGCCGUCCCGCCCGAAGAUCCCCGGACGAGUUAACUAUAUCGGGCUGGCGCCCCAGAUGUAAAUACGUUAGGGAAAGACUUGUUUUUUGUGAGGGCCGUAGAGGCCUUUUCUAUGAAUUGUCGUAAAAAAGUUUUUGAUUCCCUUUCUUGCUUUUUGGACUUGGAAAGUUUAGAGCACGUUGUCGGGCGUGUCAGUAAGCUUUGAUGAGCGAAGGCACCGUAGCCGCUGGGGCGUCGUUUUUUUUGCAGUCCGAUCAAUCUUGCCUGAACACCGUUCGUGCACUUUCUCCUUUUUAUGCCCAAAAGUUCAGAAAGAGGGUCGGCUCGGAAAGAGAAAGCGUUUUGAGAGGGUGUCAAGUGGCUUAGGUACUUGCGGCAGGUUGCGUGGUGGACGCGGAUAUCCUUCUCCCUGACAGAUCUGCGGCGCAUUUAUGGUGAGAUCAACAUGGGGACCCACAAGACCCGCGCCCAAGGCGGAUACUUGUCUGGAGGGCCCGGGUUAGCCCGACCCCCUACGCUUGGGGUCAGGCGAGGCGGAGACUUGCGGCGGGGGGUUGGACGCUCCUGACCCUAGACCUGCGGUCGGGCGAGGCGGAGCUUGGUCUUCCAGGGGUCGGGGGCGCCUUACCCCGGGAUGCGGGGUCGGGCGAGGCGGAGCGUAAUUCUUGCCUCCCAUGUUGGGCCGACGGCAAUCUUUGUUACCUUGGGUGGGCCUGGGCCUUUAUGUUUUGUUGUUUCCAUGGGCUUCGAGAGGUCGUUAAUAUUUCCCCCCAACACUAUGAGGAGGACUUGUGGGCAGAAAGUCAGCUACCACAAACUUGCCUCUGAAUAUUUGGAGUGCAAACAUUGGAUGGUGGUUGUGGAGAGCCCCAGCCAUACCUCGCACCCGUGGAGAGGUAAUUGUCGGAUUGCUUGGUUCGUCUCUAGAAUGCGACAAGGUCAGGCGCCACCUCUCACUGCUGCCAGUCAGAAGGCCGAGGGGCCAGUUUCAACAUAGUAAUGAGAAUCUCCGAAGGCCAAUAUGGUUAAGCAGCUAACCUCCAUGAUCAUAGACUUACGUUUAGAAAAUAGGAGGCUUAGCGAUGCGUUAACAGAGCAGAAGUUAGAAACAGAAGAACUUAAGGACGACUUCCGUGUCCUCCGCCUUGGUCUUUGUGCUAAGAUAAAGCGCUUGUACAAUGCCACGGGGAAUGACGGUCUCUACGAUGCAGCUCAAUAGACGUGCCCCUUGUAUCCUUUCCUUUAGGCACUUUAGAAUAUGUUUAUUUGUUUUCCUUCAUUUUAAUUUCCAAUAGAUUGUUAGCGCCUCCAAUUUAAUUUCAAUAAAGUGUAGACUCACCGGUCAUCCAACUUGAUGGAGUCCUUUUGUCACCUAGUUGUCUUUGGAAGAAGUAGCUGGGUACAAAAUAAGUGUGGGGGAGAGCCACAGACUCUCUAGAGCUGAAACAAUGCACAACACCCACAAAUAGAGAAAACCACGCUGCACCAGCACGUACGUGAAAGUGGAGCCAGAGCUGGACCCAUAGGGGUUUGGCCAACCCAAGGGGUGGCCCACUCGGGCCAUCUUCAUCCACCGCGUCGGUUUGUGUCUCUUUACCCCUGAUCUCCCUGAUUCAUGAGUUUGAAUGAAUUUUAAAUCUGAUCAACUAAUUCAAACUCAACUAAAAUGAAUCAACUGCUCCACCUGCUCUACAUGUUUUCUAUGGUUGGCUUGCAUAUGUUUUAUUUCAUGCUUAUCAUCUUGAUGCUUGUGAACAAAUAUCUUUAGGACAGCAUGCUCAUCUAAGUAGUUGAUGUGUAUGAUAUGGUUCGAUGAUAUGAUCUUCACUCUUAAUGCUUAAGUGCUUGGGAAAAUCUAUUUGAAAAUUUAAAAGCCUUUUUGAAAUCUCCUCUUUGAUGUGCCAAAGUCCUACCAAAGCCAUAUGAUAAGUUAUCUUGAAAAACCAUUUGCAUAUGUUGCUUGUCUUUGCAUUGAGCUUUGUCAAAUUGGUGUGACCCUUGUCACAAUUCUUUUCAUACUUUCAUGAUCAAGACUCAUGUGCACGCCAUAUACCCCUUGCUAUGCUUCUAUGAGAUGUUAGCAUUGUACCAUCCAUUCAUUCCACAAAAUAAAUGCUCCACCAUAUGUGUUGGUCUCCUUCUAAGAUUAUUGUUACAAAAGAGAUAUGGGCUAUCAAAAAAAAAUAUGAAUGUCCAAGAAAGUUGGACACAUGAAUGUCCAAUAAAAAGAAAAAGAAAGAUAGCCAUGUCCUCAGAAAUAUUUACAAAGGGAGAGAGAUCAUACAAAAAGGAGUUUCCAUUCCAUCCACCACAUCCAUACAUGUGCACAUCUUGAUCUGAUUGUAUGACUUAUUUUUCUCUUUGGAUCUGGUCUUUGACUUUGCAAUAUAUGUGAUGCAAGCAUGCCUUAUCCUUCAUAGCCUACCUUGAGCUCCACAUAUAGCCAUCAUUAGAAGUAGGAUGAAGAAAGGCAAGUCUAAUGCCUUGGUGAGGACAUAUACACAUUGAGUGAUCUGAGAGAAUCAAAUGAGGAGCUAAGCAAGGUUUUGUUUUGAAAACUAAUUGAAAAAUCCCAAGCUACUUGGCAUAAGGAGUUGAGGUGACUUGAUUCAAGACCAUUACAUUCCUCAACUACCCAAGAUGGCAUGAUAGACACUCCAAAGUUCACAAGUGCAGGUAUGGUUUGGAAUAUCUUUUAGGCUCGCUUCAUACCUUUGAAAGUUAUGUUUCACCUUAGUCCUUUCUCGUUCACUCAAGGAUAAGCAAAGGCUAAGUGUGGGGGUGUUGUUGAUGGCUCUUAAGUACAAAAUCUGCGCCAUCAACUCUUGCAUAAACACAUAAAAUAUGAGCAUCAACAAUAGUGGUAGGAGUUAUUACAAACGAAUUCCACAAGUCUUGGUGAAUAUUUGUAUGCAAGCCCAAUAGGAGAGAAAAGACACCUCAAAAGCAAGGAAACACACUCUCAACCAAUCAAGAGCAAGCACAUGGAACCAUGGGCCCACAACCAAAAGGAAAUCGACUACAUUCCAAACACCCUAUACCCACAUGAGAACCCAUAGGGCAGUGACCCAGAGCAAAGGUGAUGCCAGAGUGUAGAUGGUAGUUAGCAUGCCAAAUUUUGAACCGCAAGCGCUCGGAUUAGUUGUUUCUUUUCCCUUAGAGAUUCCCCCAAGGUUUAUCAAUCCAUGGAACAAGGGAUUUGCACGUUUCACUAAGCACUAAUCAAUGUAAUUGAAAGCUUUUCGAAUAAGAUAUGAUUAUGCUAACAAAGGAACUAAGCAAUCUAGAUUAAGAUGGAUAGAGAGUACAGGUUGUGAACAAGAUAGAUUAAACGCUUGUAGAUGCAAUCACCAUGCAUGAAUGAAUUAGAUCUAGGUGUUAUUGUGAGUGGUUGUGAACCAUGCCCAACACUUUCCCACCCGCAACAUUGUCACUACAUGUGGGUACUCAACUAUCGGAACAUAAGAACACAUCAAGAUGAUCAUUCUAGGUAAGCAAAUAAGCAACCCAAAGUAGCGCUGGCCAGCCUUUUCAUGAAAGAGCAUCAUCAAGAUAAGAUUGAUAACAAAAUAGAUCUCAACCAAAGGUUCAGCGAUUACAAAUCAAGAUCUUCGUAUAACCCCGAUGACAAAUAGAGGUAUUACCCCCAUGAUCUUACACAUGUUGAUGAAUUUUAGGGUAAAGGACACCCUGUAGAUCAACUGGACCAAAGAUGAUGAUGAACGGGGGCAGGGAAGGCCCAGGUUGAUCAGCCUGCGCACUUUUGAGCCGAUCAGCUCAGGGGGUUUCCUCCUCCCCUGGUGCUCCUCUUCGCGUGGCCUCCUCUGGAUCCAAUCUUCUCUUCAUUUCUCCUACUUGUGGCGGCAAUGGAUGGUGUUUGCAUGGUGAUUUCCUCUUCUCCCCAACUCUCCCUCCUUGAAGUCCAUGAGGGGGUAUUAAUAGUCUCCAAUAGGCGGCAGCUCUGGGUCAAUGUCAGUGAAAAAAUCCUAGAGAUCAUCGUACACUUCAUGCUGAGGAAACAAGAGGUUGACCGAGCCCUGGGAUAGACCAAGAGGAUCAUCCUAGAGGGUCCCAGGCUAAUCGGUCUAGGCCCUUCCUAGCCCUUCUAGUCCUCUCCUUCCUCGUGCUGGCUUUUCUCGAUGACCCUUGUCCAAAUAUCCAUGAAGCUCUAUAUACAUACCCCCUUGAUUAUGUUGUAUUUCCUGUCAAAAUACAAUGCUCCAAAAUACAACACAUAUGCAAUAAUAGGGUUAUUUCAGGUGCCAAUUGGUGGGUUAGUAUACGAAUAAGCAUGAAAAUACUGUUUAAAUGACACUAAAAGUGUGUCAAUAACGAGCACCAACAAUCCCCCCACGCUUAGAUCUUGCUCGUCCUCGAGCAAGUCUAGCGACUAAAAGAUCUUGAAUUAAACCUGAGCAAGCGAGUCAAGUACCUAGCCUUGAAACAAAAGAUUAGAGGAGCAGCAAAGAUAAUCAAAGUCUGGGUGUUCAAAGAUUUAUCUAAGCAAAGAUUCCCCUACAACUAUUAUUCAGAACCAAGUAACUUCAAAAAUCAACUACACUUAUUUUCUGGCUUUUUUCAGAGGGUUUUUCUUUCAUCAUAAAACAAUCUCCCUGCAACAAAAUUGAAAAAAGAAUUAUUUUCAAGGUGCUUACAUGUCGCUUAAAUGAAUGUUGGCUAUCCUACUUAUUUGCAAGCUCUCAUCUCUCAAAAUUCAUUCAAUUAUAUGGUGGAGUUUGGGUAAGGUUAGCUAGAAUCAACACGUAUAUUAUUGAAUUAAGAAAACCCUCUAACGGUGGCCUACCUUCCGAGCCAUUGAUCAUAAGAAUAUCCACAUAAUGUGAAGUUUUCAAGGAUGAGAAGAUAUAGAAUGGUGGACAUGUGCAAAGGCAAAGAAAUAUAGUGACUCUGAGGCACAAGCAAUGUCCUCGUCGUUGGAUUGCAUAUGGUUGUAAUGAAAAUAUGUUCCUUAAACAAGUCUAUCUUUUCUUUGCACCACUCUUGAUCUUCAUGACAGUAAAAACUCCUCCUUUAUUUCUUUCUCUCUUUUCCUAUUAUUUCUUUUUAUUUGUCUCAAUACUUUUAUUUCUUUAUUUCUUUAUUUUAAUCUCUUCUCUGAACCUCUUCUGAACACCACAUAAUAAAAAUAAGUUUUAGAUCCUUCCAGAGACCUUCCAGGAAUUUGCUACAUGAAAACCGAGGCAAGGAGACCCCAGGCCGAUUGGCCUAGCCACUCCUUUGCUCUCCUCUAGCUCUUCUUUCUGGUGAAGCUUCCUUAUCUUGUAUCUUUCCAAAAAUUUCAUAAAGCUCGACUAGAAACGGAACAGAUCUUCAUAUAAUGAGUUGUGUUCAAGGAAUUGGUAAUAAAAUUGAGAAAUUUGUGGUUCGGGUUUACGAAUUCAGUACAAAAAUAUGAUUGUUCCAAUGAAGAACUCUCAUUACUGAAUAUUGACGAGGCAAGCAUUCAAAGAUGGUAAAAAGGAUAUGAUCAAUUCUCAAAAUUAAAGCAAACCAAGAGAGAGCGAUCCUAAUUCAAUUCAAAGUGUCAAAUGUUGCUUAUGGUGGUAUGAAUAAAUAUUUUUAGGCAUUGGGUAGGAUAAAUAAAAACUCUCAACCUGGUUAAAAGAUAUUGAUCAAUCUUGUUUUUGCAGAGGUUUUAAAUAAAAAAUAAAAUUUUAAAUCACCUCCAAUUCAAAGCCUUACUCAUAAAUCAUAAUCAAAACUGAAGCACUUGAUCAUCAUAAAGCAUGGGUAUUGCAUAAACAAAUCGAUUACUAAAACUCCACAACUACGAUUUAGAAUUCAAGACAAUGCUCAUAAUCUAAAGUUGCAAAGAUAAAAUAAAAGACAACCAAGCCAAGGUAGACACUAAAAACACUUGCACGAUCCUUGAAUUUUAUUCAUGCUUCUUCUCACAAAGACGCUAAAGUAGCCAUGUAGGCCUAAGUCUUCCCAAAAGCUUAAGAAAACUACUACUUUAUCUACUUUUGGUUGAAAUAAAAAGACUAAUCUAGACUCUCACAUGAUUCGACUCGACCAAAUUAGAUCCAAAAACUCAUACGAGCGACGAUCUCCCCCCCCUCACGCUUAAAAUCUACGACCUCCUCGUCGUAGCCAUAUGGAGUACAAGGAAAAGAAGCUUGUAAACGCUCUAAUGACGCUACCCGCACUACUUGCACACGGGAUGGUUGCUGCUUCCUUCGCUUUGUUCUUCCUCAUGUUGCUGCACAUCCCGAAGAGCUUCCUCACGUUCCUCUGCAAGAACUUGAACUCGUCCUCCUGACGGCGAUCAUUAUCUUCUGCCUUUUGAUCCAGAGCUUGUAAGGCUUGCAUGAUGUCAUCGAACGCAUCGAAGAGGUAGUGGAUGUUCUUCCUGCAAGCUGUGGAACAUGUACGAUCAUGCUCCUCCGAUUCUGGCCCGUCGUCUUCUAGAUCCUUCUCUUUGCCCUUGUCUUGACGGUGGCUAUCUUGCUCCUUGCUCGCCUUCUUGCCUUCAGCCCAAUCCCAGUACGUGUUGUCAUCUUCUUCAUCGUCACGGCCUGCAGCACCCUAUGAUCCAUUGUCUAUCUUGUAUGAAAGAAUCAGAAGCUUGUUCUCCUCAGGGUGUCUUGCGCGGUGCAGCGUUUGCAAGUGCAAGACUUGCUAGUUCCUUUUACACAUUGUAAUGUUCAUUGCAUGCUCUAAUUGUUCUACAUUUGUAAUUUCUUGGUGAAGUUUGGUUACUGAUCCACUGUUUGAUUAACUCUUGGGCCCAAACACUGUACUACUUCUGAUUAGAUAUCUGUAUCUUGACUUUGACCAAAAAAAAUAUCCGGCAGUUUUUGCCAUUAAAGUUUCAUAAAUCAUCUUGCAAAAAUCGUACUAUACAACAAGGGACGGUUUAUUAUAAAAUAUACGUUCCCCUUAUCACAUGCCACUUCCACUCAAAAGGCAACGAAUCAGUUUUCAAUCCUGAGUGAGCAAUUUGCUUUUAUUACCGAUGCCUCCUAUUCCCUUGUGCACCAAGUUUAUUUUGGAUAGGGCUGCAAAAAACGACUAACCAGCUCGGAUUCUCCACCUGCAAAACCGCAUCUGCAGCAACCAACCCCACGCGGUGGAAAAAAAAACAAAACCUAGAAACCGGACGGGGGUGGAUGUGGGGCUCGGAGCCCAAGCAAAAAACGGAUCGGGAGCGCCGGAGCAGGCCAUCACCGGAUGUUAGAGAUAGAAAAUGGUUGAAGUUUGGAGUGGAAAUCAAACAAGCCUUGGAGCAAAGGAAAAAAAAAGAUCAAACCACUCAAGCAUUCAUUUGAUUUAGAAAAGAGAACAUUUGUUAAGGUGGGGAGUUGAAAUCAUCUUUUAAUUAGUUCCACGUAUCUGGUAUCAUUACAGUUGGUUUACUUGUGUAAGUAUAAGUAGCUCUGCCGAAGCCUUUGCUCCUAUAAUUUAGUAACUAGUACAAAUGGAUCAAUAGGAAAAUCAAGUUGCAAUCAUUUCUCAGCCAACCAAACCUAUGUAAAUCAAAUUAUUGUCCAUGCCCGGCAUGCACAGGUGCCUGCCAUGCAUGCAUUGUUGCUCCAUUGUAAUAACCAUUAUUGUCCAUCGAUGUUGCAGCGCAUGUGUGCACUGUGCAGACACCAAGCAUCGAGAUUAUGUACUAGUAAGGUGUUGAAAUAAUGGGCCUAGCCCAUAAGUAAUUUCAGAAUUUCAAAUAAAUCUCAAAGGCCCAUGUGGGCAAGAGGUGGAGUGGUGCAAGUCUUUAGUCCCACAUUGCUAGUCGAGGGGAGGGAUGACCAACUUAAAUAUGGAAGUUGUCUCCACUCCUCCAAGCUAUGUGUGAAGGGCGCGGGCGCGAGGCACUUGCGUGAAUGGUCCGCCGAAAUCUGGCCCCCCUUGCGGGGGCGCGGCUUCCUUUUGCCGUUUUAUUUUUUGGUUACUUGGUCGUUAAGUCAUGGAAUCCUAACCGGUUUAGAUCACGAUCGUGAAGGUUUUUGGGAAGCGCUCUGCGCGACUGCUCGAUCGCUUCUUCCGCUUCGUCAAGUUCUUCGUCGACUCCUUCACCACGGCUCGUCUACCUCUUCGUCGCUCGGGCCUCACUCGUCGUCGCGAACAACGUCAGGCUGCUGAUCGUCGUCGCCUGCUGUAUCCGGUAGUCGUCCAGGAGCCGGUUUUCAUCAAGAAAGAAACGUACGGUCUCUUAACUCACAUUAUGUCUUCCAUACUAGCUAUUAUGAUUGUUGCAGUCUGAUAGCUCUGGAUAGUAUGGUAGAAUGUCUGAUUCUAUUUGCAAUGAUAGACUUGUCUAGAUCUUGCGUAGACAUGUCUAGUUUAAUCUGCUGCUUGUUCAUCAUAUUCAUGAUUUAUUUCUGGAUUAAGUUAAAACUAAAAGUGCUUAUAUAUCCAACAUAAGGUACCAAGAACACGUGAAGCACCCGGGGGAGGCUGCUCCACUCCGCAUGCACAGGUGGGCACGGCACCACUACUCGUCUCCUUCAGGCUGAGGAUAAGUGAUGUACGCUGAUCAACAGACCACGACGGAACCAGCAAUAAUAGUUUCAGCCUGCCUCACAGUAAUUAAUAUAUCCUGUAUCCUCCGAGGACCCCUCCCCUUAAUCUUGGCCUAUUGCAUCCAAUAAUGAUAUGUGUGUUUAUCCAAAUUUACGGCACCUUUGGCGGGGGUUCCACCCAGCUCCGCCCUCUCCACCUUCGGUACUCCAUGGGAAACCAUUCCUUUGGAAUCAAGGAAGCUUGAACAGUAUAACGAAUAAAGUUUCAUAUAUCCAUUUGAUUUCACAUGAAAUAAAAUAUUCUGUCAGAACCAAUGGUUUCACUGAAGCUCCAGGCAGCGAGCGAAGGGGUGAGAGAGGAUAACGCUUACUGUGUGUUACCAUCGCGUGCACCAUGGAUGACCAACGCGCAGCCGAGAUGAAACGGCGGACCUAAACAGGUCCUCGCUAUUUUUGCAGGUUCUCGACCAGGCCAGUUCUUUAGGCCAACCUAUCAUUCACGAGUUAAACAUACGGUGGCUGGAGAAAUGUUCUAUUCUUUUAAACAAUACCAGCUGGUUCCUCCGUUUUUAUUCCACCAAUACAAGCACCACCUUGUAACAUUUCCUAUGUUUUUUUUCCUUUCGUCUGUUUUCUCACUACAUGCGUUGCUCUUUCAUGCAUUUUUUUCCAUUCCUGUAUUCCAAAUAGGUCUACAUGAACACAAAAUGAACUAGGGGACAGAAAAAGCCAGUGAAGUUAGUUUUGAGCUUCACCAGCUACUUGCUACAUAAAGUGUGCUAUAGUCGCAGAAAAGCUAAGCUGGAUCAGACGUGGCCGAAACAAUGCCAAAGAGCUAGGUCCCUAGCUGAUGGCAACACAUCAGAUGACUAGCCUGCUUUUCUGUAAUAAUGAUAUUGAGCAAUACACUGCAUGGCUAACCUGCUUUACAAUAAUUGUCAUUUUAUAAUAUUGGUCAUCACGAGAGAUGCACAUUGCAUACACCGGCCCAUCCCUAUAAAUAGCCAAGCCUUUCAGCCAUCUUGGGCACCUCCUCUCAGGGCCUCGUCUCACCAUCAGACAUCUCGUUCCCAGUUAUAAUUUGCGAGGUUAGAUCAGGCUGCGCCAUGGCGUCCGCAACUGCUGUCAAGAUCGUCGCCACCUUCAUGCUGGUGCUGACCAUGGGCCACCUGAUGGCCGAAGCAUCACCGCAGCCUCGGCGUGUGCUUGCAGAAACGGAGCAUGCUGCGGUGUCCGGGAAUCCUGGCCUCCCAGGUGAUGCUAGCGUCAUGCAGGUCCUCGAACCCGCCCUAGUUUCUCGGCUUGCCUGCAAACCAGAGUGCACAGUCCCUUGGCCUCCUUUUGUAUGUAUCUGCUAGAUCCUCUUCCUGGCUCAACGGAACUUCAGGGAAAUGGCUGUGACGUCGGCCAAAGAAUAAAUUGGAUGAACAUAAUAUACCCCGGGUAGUGUAGCUUGGGCUUUUGUUGAGCGUCUGGUGCUAGUUGUAUUUUGUUUGCUCAUGUGGCUUUGCUUCUGGUUGCAUAUUGGCUUUCCUAUCGCUCUCUGUUGCAGCUAUGGUUUCUGCCAGGUGUGUGUUAAUGCGGUUUGUAAGCGGUGCUUGUUCCUACCUUCUGUUUUCAAUAAAAGAAGUCGGAGUCUCCCUCCGACUCUUGUUAUCAGUCAACAAAAAUGAGUUGUAUCAUAUAUAUCUGCGUCUUUUUUCUACGUAUCUUUGGGCUGCUUCAGCUGGAAGUUUAUCGUAAGUACGUGUAUCAGGAUGAUCGUUUGAAUUAAAACGAAAUGAUAAUGUGUGGCUGCUAGAAAUGGAAUGAGCAUCUUACUAUAUUACUAAUUGGAAGCCUCCACGUGAAGCCACCUAGAAAUUCUAGGUGGACGUUUUAAAAAAAACAAAACUCAUAGAAGCCUCCACCACCUAGGAAUCCUAGGUGGACACUCUAAAAAGAGACAAAUCCUAGAAAUUCUAAAAAAAGAAAAAAAUAAUAACAAUAAGAUUUUUUUGCAGUCAAUUACAUAUAUUUUUUUGAGACACCGUGCUGCUAGCUCUUGCCAUUGCGACCAGUAAAGCAAGCAGAUAGUAAGAUGACAUGCGUGUGGAUUGAUUAAAACAAAUUCAGUUAGUUGAUUCUAAAUCGUAUGUAUCCUAAAAGGAAGAUAUGUGCGUGCAUGGUCCCUAGCGAUGACAUGUAGACAUGUAUUGCAAUUUCUUUUUUAAAAAACAUGUCUAUCUCUAAACCAACAAACAGAAAAAAUAUCAAUCUAAAUCUAAAUCUCUUCCGUUCUCACACGCCUAUUAAAGAGAAGACAACCAAUCCCAUCCAUGUUCCAUAGAAUCCAUCUAAAAGCUUGCUCACUGCGGACGGCAUUUGACGGCAAAUCAAUGAAAGAUCAUCCUCUCCAAAUAGCUGGACGGCAUCACCAUCUUUAUCUCACCAACCUACAGAGCUACAACGAUGUUGUAGAGAUCAACUAGGUAACCUACCAAUCACCCUCCCCUUUUCUAUAUGCUCUAAAGAACACGUGGAGUAAUUAUAGGCCUAUAGGAGCCGACUAACCUAGAUUAAUAUGAAAAAUAUUCCAAUAUUAAAAGCAAGCAGAUAGUAAUACUUGCCUUUGACCAUUUUUCUAGAACUGUUAUUCCUAUUGAAUGUUCAAGUGCUACGGCCAGGCAUCGAAUGCCUGCACGGAACCUUCCUAUUGAAUGGUUACUCUAGAGAUCAACGCACCGCGAGACAUUUUUAUGGAAUUUGUUUGAUUCCCCUUCUACAAUUAGAUUAAUUUUUCAUGGCAUAUAUUACUACUAUUAAAUUAUUUGUUUAUUGUCGGGCCUGCUGCAUGUGUGGUAUAUAUGACUUGCUUCUCACCAUUGUUCUCAAACUAUUAUUCCUAUCGAAUCUUUCUAUCGAAAUAUAUUUUAAUUACUUGAUUGUUGUUUGUGUACCAUAACUUCUGUAUAGAAAAAUUCCAUGUUUGUAGAUAAUGUCUUUUGUAUAGAAAAAUAGCCCAAUUAGAUCCAUCACCAUCUUUUGCUUAUGUAGUUGAACAAGUUGCAAUGUUGAACAAAACUUUAAGUGAAAUUAGACCAGGAAAAGGAAUUGUGGAACAUUAAGGCAAGGGUAACCAGAUUGUGGAAUGCAACCUUACUCAGUAGUGGCGAACAAUUAAGUCUUGACAUGAUCCUUAUUGAUCAAAAGGUAUGAUAGAUGUUCACUUUGAUUGCAUUAUUGGUAUAAUUUUUGGUUUACAAAUUAUUAAUGAUGAUGCAAAAUUAGGGAACCAUGAUCCACGGUGUUAUCAAUAAGCCCUAUAUGAAAAAGUUCAAACCAUUGAUUGAAGAAGGCAAUGUGUACAUAAUUGCAAAUGUCAGAAUCACACCAGAACCACAGAAGUAUCGGCCAGUGGAAAAUGACAGGAUAGUCAACUUCUUACCCACAACUGCACUAAAAACGAUCAAAGAUACUGAAGACAUUCCAAAGUAUAGUUUUAACUUCAUGAGCACGGAUAUGCUUUCAGCAAGAAUAAAUGUGGACAUGUACCUAUUAGGUAAAACAUUACUGGCUUUUCAAUUUUUACACUUCCACUCAUUAAAUGACCAUCUAAUAAUAAUACAUAUUUAUGUUUCAUAGAUGUUAUAGGUAUCUCAGCUCACAUUGGACCGAUAGAAGAAACAAGGACAAACUUCGGAUUUACUAAAAUCCGUGAUAUUGUGCUCCUGAUCGAGUAAUUCUCUUUUCUUUUGUAGAAAACAACUACAAAACUUUCAACAUUUACAUGUAUGUUAUAGAACUUCUGUUGAACUAAAAAAUAUCUUCUACAGUGCCCCUACAAAUAAUUAAUUUCGUAGUUGGAUAUUUAAAAUAUUUAUUAUUCACUUUUAAAUUUGUGGCCAUGAAGUUAAAGUUAGAUUUUGGGGAGACAAAGUUGAGGAAGUUGAUGAUAAGACAAAAUCCCAUGUCAUUGCAAUAACAUCUACAACUGUGAGUAAAUUUGGCAGUAAGUCUUCAUUCAAUAUGAGUUAUUCAAUAUUAGUCAUUCAACAAACUAACCUCGUAAGAAAAAUAAAUAAUUGAUGUUUUAUCAGGGUAUUCUCUAUCGUCAACCAAUGCAACAAAACUUUAUGUAGAUCUACCUAUUCCUGAAACUAAGGAUGCACAUGAUAGGUGAGAAAAAUUAGAUAUUGUUUUUCUAUUUUAAUCUAUGUAGCAUGCACUCUAACAUGAUACAUUCUUUCAUAUGAUAAAAAAAUGUUAGUUCAAUUGAAAAUAUUGUCAAAGAGAUUCAUAUUGAGGACCAUCUAAAAGGGACAUUGGAAGACCAAAUGCAGUACAAUAGAAGAACUUUAGAAGAAUUAAAUUUCAUAUUAUUUGAAACAUCAAAUCAGGUAUGGAUUAGUAUGUUCAUUGUACACUAUACUAUUUAAAGACUUACAUACAUAAUGAUGGUAUUGUUCCUACUUUCAGGAUGAGGUAUUUACUAUUGAAGCAACAAUAAAUGAAAUUAAUGCAACAUAUGGUUGGUUGUCACACCCGAUUUUAAGGACAAAAUUGAGUGCAUUAAAUACAUGUGCACCAGGAUCAAGUUACACACAUCCUAUGAGUACCGUCCUUCUUUGGCACAAAGAUAACCGGUGCUCCCCAUGGUGAUGAACUAGGCCGAAUAAACUAUUUUGCUGAUAAUUCCUCUAGUUGUUGUUUCAAUUCUUUUAAUUGUUCAACCAACAUUCUAUAAGGACGUUUGGAGAUAGGUGCAGUACCAGGUAAAAGAUCAAUAGCAAAUUCAAUGUCGCGGUCAGGUGGCAUACCUGGUAAAUCGUCGGGGAACACAUCCGGAUAGUCACACACCACUUUGAUAUCUUCCAAGGAUUUUCCAGCCAACUGAUUAACUGCACAAUCUGCUGCUGAGGGUAGAGUAGCUACAAACUCCACUUUCUCUCCAUCAGGACCUGUUAGCAGAACUGUCCUCUUGGCACACUGAAUCGUUGCAUCAAAAGCGGCUAACCACCUCAUCCCCAGAAUUACAUCGAUUCCACUGGACUCAAGGACGAUAAGAUCAGCCGGAAACUCUAUACCCAUUAUUCUCAGUUUAACUUGUGGACAGAUGUAUUGAGCCUUCAUUGACCCCCCAGGUGAACUCACUAGCAUAUGACGCCUCAUGGUAUGCAUGGGUAAAUUAUGCUUUGCUACAUAAUGACUAGUGACAAAAGAAUGCGAUGCUCCAGAGUCAAAUAAAACUGAUGCGGGGGCAGAGUUGACAAAGAACAUACCAAGCACUACAUCUGGAGCCUCCUUAGCAGUCUCGGCUUCCAUGUGGUUCACCUUGCCACAAACAAAGCUUUGCUGCCCCUGAUUGCCUUGUGGGGUCUGGUUCCCAUUCCUCGGUUGCUGCAUCUGAUUCUGCCGAGGAGCACUGCUGUUCUGCACGGGGGUAGCUGGCCCACCUCUCUUAGGACAAGAGCUGGCAUAGUGACCAACCUCGCCACACUUGAAGCAGGUAGGACCCACUGGAGCAUUGGGCCUUGUUGGAGUGCCAGUAGGGGUCAUCUGGCGGUUCUGCGUAAAGCUUGGGCGCGGAGUCUGCAUAGUCUGCAUCCCUGGAUGCUGGAACUGAGGGCUAGGGCGCUGGAAUGACUGCUGAGCAGGGCGCGGAAAUGAGUGCUGCCAAAAAUUCCCACUCGGGCCCCCUGCGCGGAACGGCGUCCCUUGCUGUGGAGCAAAGCGAGGGCGGGUGUUGCUUCCUGAAGACUACUGGGAAUUGAAUUUCCUCUUCAUCUCCCCGAGCUCGUUCCUCUUGUGUUCCAGGCCAAUUGCCUUGUCUAGCAUCUUCUGGAAACUGGGGAAGGUGUGCGACAUAAGCUGAUAUUGGAGUGGUCCAAUCAACCCAUCCAAGAAUAGCUCCUGCUUCUGCUCAUCAUCAGCAACAUCUUCGGGAGCAUAUCGGGACAACUGGACAAACUUGUCCCUGUACUCUGCCACUGUCAUGUUCCCCUGCUUGAGAGCAAGGAACUCCUUCUUCUUAAGCUUCAUCAAUCCGGAAGGAAUAUGAUGACUUCUGAAGCUAGUCCUGAAUUCAUCCCAGGUGAUGCCAUUAGCAUUGGCAUGGGUGGUGGUGUAAGCAUCCCACCAAUCAGCAGCUGGCCCUUCCAGGCGUCCUGAAGCAUACAGGACCUUCUCCCUGUCAGUACAUUGGGCGAUAUCCAGCAUCUUCUCCACUGUUUUCAGCCAAUCAUCAGCAUCUAAUGGAUCCGGAGAAUGUGAAAACGUCGGGGGCUUGUGGCUCAUGAACUCCCUAUGCCUGUCCCUUGGCGGCGGCUGCUGCUGGUUGUUGUUGUUGUUAUUGUUCAGCUGAGCUUGUAAAGCUGCCACGGUGUUGGUCAGUCCGGCGAGAAGCUGAGUCUGAGCUGCUAGAAACUGCUCCAUCCCUGCAGGUGCUUGUUGGUUCUGUUGCGGAGCGGUGUUGGGAUUGCUGCUGUUGUCCCUGUGGCGUGGCACUGUGGGACGGUCAACUCCUGAUCCGGACCUGGUGUUUACCAUCUGAGCGUUAGAGACAAUGGAUUUAGAUAGAUGUGUGAAAGAAUAACUGAGAAAGAUAAAGCGACCAGAUGUAAAAGUAACACAGAUUCUGUUAGCUCCAUUUAAUUAGGUGUGGUCGUCAGAAGAAGUGUCCAUAAAUUCUGAACAAUUACCAAGUCGUAACUUAUUAAAUUUGUAAACCAACCCAACUGGAAUCAUCUCAAUCGGACUUCUGGAUCUCGAGUUACAAAAUUAACAAGCUGACAGUGUCGGUCGAUAGGUUCAGAUUCUGAGUGCUUUACUAAUUCGCAUACACCUCCCAGACAGAUACACCAAAAAUUCUGAAAAAUUUACAGAUAGUACUCCACGAAAUUCUGAAACUAACCCCACUGGUUUCAUGUCAUUUGGACUUCUGUAGCUAGAGAUAUAAAUAAAAAAGUACUGGCGUGUCAGUUAAUGUCGAGAACAGAAUUGAAUGUCGCUUAGCUUGCGUGAUGGAUAGAUUUAGACAGAUGGUAGAUCAUGAUUAAGGAAGAUUAAAUACUGAUUUAGAACAGAAAUAAAACCCAACUAAGCACUUUAUUUAUUAAGACCAGUAUCGUGUGGCAAUUGCCCCACAUACCGCACUCAUUACAAAAUCCAACUCAAACAUGUAGCACAAAACCAAUCAUCUAAGCACACUUUAACUAACACACUCGAACGACGUCUAACGAUUACAAGAAUUUAAACUAAAACACUCCUAAUUUCCUAGAGGUCUUCUGCGGCGGUGCCGGGCGAGUCGUAGCGGGGACGCUUAGGCGACGGCGACGAAGCGGGAUGAACAGCAAACUCCUGCGGCGGCGGUGCUCCCGUCGCGGCAGCCAUAUUCGCAUCCCUCUCCCACCGGAGUUCCUGAACCUCCUGUUGAAGCUCCUGGAUGUGGUUGUUUGCUUCAUUCAAUGCGGUGAGAGCUGCCGACGUGUACUUGCGGAGGAAGUCUGUAGCCAUGUCAACCCCAUCGUUAGUAGCGAUGAAGGUUCUUGCUUCCCCACUAGCUCGGUAAGGAAGGAACCGAUGGUAAGUGUGCUGCAAUCGCGGCCGUUCCUUGUGGGAGACGACCUCAAGUGCCCUCCUGGCGGCCUCGGCAAUGCCGGAUUCCAUGGUCCUCCUUAUGGUCACAUCAUGGUGAAAAGCCUUCACCUCCCAUCCUCCCUCGUGCUCCUCACGAAGGACAACCUUCACCUCCCAAAAAGUGGGAUAGCGAGGGUGGGUGAACCGGGAGCACUUGUAGAGUGGCCUCAUGCCGUACCCCAAGCGGUGACAAGUCCACCUGAGUAUGUCGGCCAUGUGCACUCCUUGGCCAUAAUCUUCCUUCACCCAUUUGAUCCAUGUCUCGGGCUCGGGAUCUGCUUCGGGCUCAUCAUCCGUCAAGUCGACGACCGGUACGGGCGUCGGGGCUGGUGCAGGAGCGGGCGCCGGUGCUGGCGACGGUGCUGGUGACGGCGUGGUCUCCUGCUCCACGGUCACGGCGUCCCCGUCAGAGUCAUCCCCCGGAUGCUGGAAGAUCUCUUCCUCUUCUUCCUCGUCCCAAGGCUCCAUGGGGGCGUACGACGGCGCGAUGCCAUGACGCGGCGGACGGGUGCUCUUGCGUGCGGUCAACCGGGUGCGAGCCAUCUAACAGAAAGAAAGAAGAAAAUUUUAGAAUAAAAUUUUGAACAAAGCUAGAUAAUAAAAUAGCAAUAAGGAUGAGACAAAUCAAGUUUAAGAAUAAUUAAGUAGAUUUAAAUUAAGAAAGGUAGGAAUGGCUACUAGAUUAUUAUAAUCCUUAAAUACGACCAUUUUCUAACUAGGCUAACGUCCUACAGUCAACACGGCUCUGGUACCACUUUUGUCACACCCGAUUUUAAGGACAAAAUCGAGUGCAUUAAAUACAUGUGCGCCAGGAUCAAGUUACACACAUGUACGACAAUAGUGAAUAGUAAAGCCAGUGCUAAAUCGAAUAAAGAGAGUAUUAACCAUUAUUACAUGACCGAAUGUCUCAAAUAAACCACAAAGUCUAAUUAUUACGCAGCGGAACUCCAAAGAUGACGACGACUCCAUAGGCAGCUGACUGAAGAAACGUACGCCUAGAACUCCUCGAAGUCGUGGAAGUACUCCUCUUCCCAAUUAACUUGGUCUGAACAGCGGUUUUGCAAGGGUGAGUACACUUAUGGUUGGUACUCAACAAGUCGUGGGAAGUAGUGUAGUGUAAGGCUAAUUCAAGGUAUGGCUAAGGCGUAAAUAGCAUUCGCUUUUAAUUAAGUUGGUCAAAUUUUAUUAGCAUUUACUAAGUAUAAGUUCAUACCACCCGAAAUUAAACAUGAACAUAAAGUAAACCACAUGUGCAUGAAAUGAUAACAAAUUAAAUCCAUCUUCCGAUAAUAUUAUCAUGUGAGGGUCCAGGCCGCUCUUAACCGUGAGCACGGCUGAUUGAUCAGUUUAACACUCUGCAGAGGUGGCACAUCUUUACCCACAAGUCGCGUAAAAGUUCAAAAGAACUUUGGACCCAACCAUGCGGUGUUUGCAAGGCACCAUACCACACUUCCGAGGUGUGAUUGCAUAGGGACGCUACGAGGCCUUUACAAAGAUUCAUUAAUCAGUGGUAACCCGCUAAGGUUUCGGUGUCUGGCGUGCACCACCCAUCCCAGGUAAAAUGCAACGACUCAGUCCCCCCCCUUGAAUCAUCACGAGUAAGGUCACCCCAGACUAAGGUUUCUAAUUAAUCAGCCAAGACCAGAGCUAUUUAGUCUUGUGGUAGCACUGUUUUCCUGGGUGGUCGCUCCAUGUUCUGAUUAACAAAUAAUGAUCUUGUCUUAAUGAAAGGUAUAACAGAAAUAAGGCAAGAUUAAGCAUUGUUUUUAGUUAAACCACCAUGUACCAAGUAAGCACUAAGCAUGAGCUACCCAACAUAAAGUAAACCGGUUGGUCAAGGCAAAGGUAAAACAAUCUAGGCCAACCUUAAUUGGGACCCAUCAAUUUAAUCUUAAUAUGUGCACAGCAUAAAUGUUGAGUACGAGAAAGUAAAGGUGUAUAGGACAAAAAGGUAGUGAUCAAGGACACGACUUGCCUUCUUGGCCUUGCUCCUGCUGUUCGUACUCCUCGAAGGCUUGAUCGGCAACUCCCUCGAACUGCGGGGCGUCUACACGCAUCACACGAGCACAUACAAGCAAACAUGGGCAAAAGUAAGAAAACAGUAUACCAAACAUAGUCAAACAGAGAAAACAAGCUUGAAAAGAUGAUCUACGCUUUAAAACGAACACGCGGAUAUAAAGAACGCGAAAAACGGAGUUAAGAUGCAAAAGAUAUGAUUAAAACAAAAUCCAGGGACUUUUCUGUAAGAAAAACAAAACUUUUAGGGCCUAUCCGCGAAAACCGAGGGCUUAUACGUAAUUAUGCGUAUAAACCGAGGGUCUGAUGCGUAAAAACAUCAAACCCGGACGGCGGGUUGAUUUCUGGAAAGGUCAAGGGUUAAACCGAAAAAUGCGAGGGCAGAUCUGUAAAUACUUUCAACGCGAUCUGGACCGCGGGUUGAUUUGCGAAAAAGGCGGGGGCUAAAGUGCAAAAACUGCACGGCGCGGCUCGGUUGACCGGUACGCGAUCUUGAUUGACUCGCGUCCGGCCGUCGGAUUAAGAUCCGACGGUCGCGGUGAUCCGCGACAUCGCGGCGGCGGCGGCGAGCGGCGGCGAGCGGCGGCAAGCGGCGGCGGGUCGCCGGAGUUAGGCAAAAUAGCGCCACGAGGCACGGUUUAACGCGCGGGUUGCACCAAAAAAGAGAGGGGAACACGUCGAUCCCGUUUUGGGGGUUCUUGUCGACGGGGGCUCACCGGCGACGGCGAACGGCGGCGAGGAAGAGGCGGCGGCGCUAGGAGCUCGGGCGGCUAGGGUUUCGGGGAGCUGCGGCGCUGGUUUUGGGCGGAGGAGACUGGGAGGAGGCGGCGGCUUUUAUAGGGCUUGGAGAUAGAGCCGGCGCGGGUUCAAAUCCCCCGGAGGAGUCGGAGCGGAUGGAGUCCGGGGCGGAGACGGCGCGCGGCGGUUGCGGAGUUCUGACCGGAUUCGGCCGGAGGUGGGAGACGAUGGGUGGGGUCCACCCGUCAGUGGCGGAGGGGAGCGGUAGACGGGCCGGCGCGACCGUGGGCUGGCGCGCGCUCGUGGGCUGCGGGGAGCGGGAGAGAAGCGGCGAGCGGGCGCUGGCGGAGCAGGCCGAGCGGAGGUAGAGCUGGGCCGCGGAGAAAAAGGAGGAGGCCGGCGGGCUGCUUCGCAGGCCGGUAAGGAUGAGGCGGCCGGGCCGAAGAAGAAAAAGAAAAGGAGGGACAAGGAGCUUUCGGCCGAGGGAAAAGAAGAAGAAAAAGAAAAGGAAGAAGAAAAGGGAAAAGGUUUUGGAAUUUGAAUUUAAAUCUGAAAUUCAAAAUUUGAUUCAAACUCAAGCAACCAAAAAUUAUGCUCCAGCAUGAAUGCACAAAUAAUUCCUAUGAUGAAUUAAUUGAAUUAAAGAAAAUGAAUUUAAAUGCCUAGAAAUUAAAUAACACCCUAAUUUGAGCAAAUUUUAAUGAAUUUGAAUUAUUGAAAUUUUGGGUGUUACAUUGGUACUACAUCUCAUGUAGUAGAGGCGAUUGUAAGAAGCAACUUGAAAAGAAGUUUGAUCACUACUAUUGCAAUAAAUGUGACAAGAGAGCCGAACCUAAAGCCCAGUAAAUUAUUUAGUAGUUUACAAUCUUAUUAUAAUACUUCUAUUUCUAAUAGGAGAAUAAUAUUUUCAGAUUCAAAUUAAGCUUCAAAUAAGUGAUCCAACAACAAGUGCAACUUGUGUACUUUUGACAAGGAAGCAGAAAUGAUAAUUAAUGAAUGAGCAGAUUCGAUGAUCACCUCAGUUGAUCAUGAUAAUAAGUAGCUACCAAAAUCAAUUCAGGAAAUAUGUGAAGAAACAUUGAUUUCUCAAUUCAGAUUGACCGAGUACAACUUGACAAGUUUUAGACCUGAUUAUACUGUUUCAAAGAUAUUUUUUCCAAAAGAAAAGGGCAGUUCAAGAAUUGGUAUGGAAAGUGUAAAAAAGGUAACACUUUAUUAUUAAUUUUUUAUUGCACUUUUUUCUUUUGAAUCCGUAAUACUUAAUAAUUUUACUAUAUCAAUGAAACAAAUUCUAACCUAAAUUUAUUUUCUUUUUUAUUAUUUGUAGGAAGUAGAAGACAACUCAGACAAAUGCUACACGAUAACUACCGAGAAUGAAGAGGUAGACACUGAUGACUCUUUUACCGAGAAAGUAACAUUCGUAGAAGAAGCCAUAAGGACUGGGGAAAGAUUGGCUAGAAAAGUAUACUCACUUCCAUGUCAGUGUUCAUUCUAUUUACAAUACAUGCAAAAAAAAUAUUAUUCAUGCAAAAUUGCAGGUCUACUAAGCAUUAAAGGAAUAGCGGAUAGUGCAAUAUGUAAUCUGAGCAGCAUGCAUUACAAAGUGCUCUACUGCAAUUAAAUUAAAAAACAUGAUAUAUGUUGAAUUCUUAGACUUUAUUAUUAUACUUUUCUACGUGACAAUUCACAAUUUUUUAGAAAAAAGAAGAUCCCAGAAGAAGUGACCAUGAAAAAAGGUCUAUGACCAGCAAUAAGAAAAAAUGCAAGCAUAGAAACAAAUCCGUAGAAAACAUAGAAAAUAAGGUACUCCAUAAACAAAAGUAUUCUCUUAUAUUUUUAUUAAAUAUUUUUUUAACACUUGACAAGUUCUUUUUUAGGAUCAAUAUAUCAGCAAUUCAGAUGUCAUUGGAGAUGAAACCUUAGUUCAUCCAAAAGGUCAAAAAAAAACAUCUGAAGAAAGGUGUUUGGCUGAAAAGGAAAAGCAAAAAAGUGGUAAUGCAGACAAACACAUGCAGAAAAAUAUAAAAACAUGUCAUAGGGAGGCAGACCAAUCUUGCAAGGAGGUAUAGACGAAACGUGAUACACGACCUGCCUACCUUGUCGUGGAUACCCCAAGAAGAUGUCAUAGAGGUGCAGACCAAGCUAGCAAGGAGGUCGAAACGUGAUACACGGCCUGCCUACCUUGCCGUGGAUAUUAGCCCUGAGAUCAUUCUACUGUUCAAGGAAUAACACUCAAUGCUGCUGCUGCUGCUGACCUGGCUCCAUAAAGUUAUACUCCUCUAGGUGCUUGCACUAACUUUAUCUGAAGUAUUAUUCUCUCUGCACUGUAUAUAUGGUUAUGGAGUUUGCUGGAGUAUCCGGGGCGAAGAACCUACAUAAUACGUCUUGGAACUAAUUGACAUUGAUUCACAGACAAACUCUACAAGGUGCUGUUCUUGCCAUUUUAGAGCAUCCAAAGGACUAUAAAUAACAUAGUUUACCAUAUACCAUAUACCAUAUACCAUAAUAUGUUAGCUAAAAUAAGAGCAUACACAUGUUGCAGGAGUCCAAAAGCACCGGUUGAGGACCAGGUACAUUGAAUUACUAGAAAAAGACAGGGGACAAGGUUUAGGUAACCACAUGAAACAUUUGAAUUUAUUGUACUAUGAACACUUAGUUACCAUGCCAGGAGCACAUAGUUAACACUAACAUUUAGCCACUUUAGAUCAUCCCGAAUCACCAAUGACCCUCAAUAGUGACAAAUUUUGGUUUAAAUGCCAUCACCAAUGAUCCUCAAUAGUGACGUAUUUAGGUUUAAAUCCCGUCACUAAUAACCCUCAAUAGUGACCUGUUUUGGUUUAAAUCUCAUUACCACUGAUCCUCAAUAGUGAUGUGUUUUAGCAAAACAUGUUAUCAAUGACUUGUCAUUGGUGACGUGUUAAAACGCGUUAUCUCAAUGGCAAAUCAUUGGUGACGUGUUAUCUCAAUGUUAUCAAUGUUCUAUUCUUUUCAACAAUACCAGCUCGUUCCUCCGUUUUUAUUCCACCAAUACAAGCACCACCUUGUAACAUUUCCUAUGUUUUUUUUCCUUUUGUCUGUUUUCUCACUACAUGCGUUGCUCUUUCAUGCAUUUUUUUCCAUUCCUGUAUUCCAAAUAGGUCUACAUGAACACAAAAUGAACUAGGGGACAGAAAAAGCCAGUGAAGCCAAUUUUGAGCUUCACCAGCUACUUGCUACAUAAAGUGUGCUAUAGUGACGUGUUUUAGCAAAACAUGUUAUCAAUGACUUGUCAUUGGUGACGUGUUAAAACGCGUUAUCUCACUGGCAAAUCAUUGGUGACGUGUUUUAAAAAAACAUGUCACCGUGAGAGUCAUUGGUGAAGGGUAAUUAAAAUGCGUCACUAAUGUUGUAGCAUUAGUUAUGAUAAUUUAGUAACGCAAAAAUCUACCAUCAGUAUUGAGCUUUAGAGCCAUCGCUAAUGUGGGUUUCUUACAUAGUGAUGCAAGCUCUACAAGGUGCUGUUGCUGCCAUUUUAAAGCAUCCCAUGACUACAUGUUAAUAACAUAGUUUACCAUAUAUCAUAAAAAUAUUAGUUACAAUAAGCACAUACGCAUGUGGAAGAGUCCGAAUGCACCGGUUGAGGACUAAACACAUUGAAUUACUAGAACCAAAUGUAUGUUUAGAACAAAGACAGGGGUCAAGGUUUGGGUAACCGCAUUAAAAACAUUGGAUUUUACUGUACAUGAACACUUAGUUACCAUUACCAUGCCUUGAGCACCUAGUUACAACAAACAUUAAUUUAGCCACUUUAGAGCUUCCAGAAUCGCUAUAAAUAAUAUACCUACGCCGUACCAUGAAAACAUCAAGAAGAGAGACGGAUACAUGGACCACCAUCAAGCGAGUAGUGACAGCACGCACAAGAAUACCCGGAACCUGUUAGCUUGUCUGUAGUGAUCUGUUUUCUUCCCCAUAAAAUCCAUGAGUAUUGCCACAAAUAAUGAAAGAGGCUGACCAAGCUAGCAAGGAGGUAGAGCAAACGUGAUACACGGCCUGCCAAGAUUGCCCUGGAUACGCCAAUAAGAGCGACAGAUACAUGGAUCACACCAAUAUGGUGAAACGUAUAUUCAUCACACAAGCAAAGCUGGUCAGUUUAUCCAUGGUCAAAUUGUGGUCUUUGUUUUCACUUGAGAGCUAAUUGAGGCACUAUAAUAUGGGCAGGCCUAUCUUCAACAGACAUGACAGCUACAGGGAACUUGACAUAAUUUGCUGGGCCGCCUGUGCACAAUUAUUUGUUUUAUUGUCCUUGCAUAGAAUGCUAAAAUACUCUUUACAAAAUGUUGGAUCUAAUAUUUGAAAUAUAGAGUAGUAAUCAUAUAUUGAUCAACAACUUGAAAUUAUCUGUACAUUCUCGGUGAAGCUGUUGAACUAAUUUUUGCAAAUUAUUAAUUCAUCUCAUUACGUAAAGAAAAAAGUAAGUGGAUAAGAUAUUUCGUGGACCACAUCACUGCAAACAUGUCAUGGAGAGACAGACCAAGGAGGCAGGACGUGAUACACGACUUACCCUAGGUUGCCGUGGAACCGCCAAGAAGAGAUACAGAUACAUGGACCACACCAUCUUGGGAGUAGUGACAGCAUAUAUGCAGAAGAAUACCCCGUGCCUAUUUGCAUGCAUGUCUCAAGUGAUCUGUUUUCUUCAGAAAAUACAUGAGCAUUGCCAGAAAGAAUGGCAAGAGACAAACAUGUCAUAGAGACUUGCAUGUCUUGCCUUGGAUACGCCAAGAAGAGGGACACAUACAUGGAUAACACAAAUCUAGUGACACGUAUAUUCAUCACAAAGGCAAAUCUGAUAAUUUUAUCCAUGGAGCAGACCAAGGAGAAAUUGAUGACGGACAUGUGAUCUCUGUAUUCAGUUGAAAGCUAAUUGAGCUACACUAAUAUGAGCAGGACUAUAUUCAAGAGACUUGUUGAGAGCUACAGGGAACUUGUAAUAAUUUGCUGGGCGGCCUGCGCACAAUGAUUUGUUAUACAUAGUUGAAAUAUUUCAAGAAUUUAUCAACCUCAUACUCUGAAACCCUUGGUGCAAUGUACUCUGCUUUCCGAGGUAGACUGUUCACGUAAAAUGAGGUCAUGCGUAAGACGGAAUCGGAUUGGAUUCACAGGGAAUCAGAUUUGGAUAGCACCUUUUAGCAGGUUUUUAGUCAAAUGCAAAUUCGGAUCCACAUGUGGUUGAAUGCGAGUUCAAAAUUCUACUUGGAUAUCCAUUUAAUUUAGGUGAUAGCAAUUAGCACAAAAUGUUGGAUGAACAAAAUCAUAGUUAGACAUACAAUUACAUGUAUGGUUAAAGUAUAAUACAAUACACCAAGAUUAUUCCUUGAAAAUAUUUCUUAAAAAUAUUAUAAUAAAUGAAUAAAUAUAAUUGUGGCCACCAACAAAUAGUCGGUGGUCGCUAAGUUGGAGCCAUUUCUGGUUACUAAUGCGGCCUUCUCCUCGACCAGCGACGACAGCUGAGCUUGUUCCUUCUGACACUAAAUCAUCAGAGUCUUCCCUCCACUACUAUAGAAUGCACCUUUAGCACCAAUUGGGAAAUCCCCUUCAGUAUUGGAUGCUGCAACCAGUGCUAUAUAUCAAAAUGGAGACUAAAAGCCUCGGUCUUGGGUACCGGUUGCAUAACGCAUUACUAAAGGAGGCAAAAGAGAAAUGUAACAAAAAAAAUAUUUUGAAUUCCAAGAAUGUUUCACUAUUCAAGAUGACUAGCUGAGAGUCAACAGACAAGAUACUAGGAAUGUGGGUGCUUGAAUGCAUUUGUACAGAGGUCAUACUAUUUACAAACUCUUCUAUGUUUCCAUAUGACUACCUACUUCAAUGUCACGCGAGCCAUUCAGCUGGACACAUGGCACACUAGCUUGCAUGUCGAAUCCAUGAUUAAUUAUUUGCACUUGUGAUCUCUUACCAGUAUUUGUCCAGACUAGAAACGUGCAACACAUUUUUAGGAUAUGGACACGCAUAUAUUUGGACUAGUAUACAGGUCACCUUUGGAUGCGUACAAGGAUGACCGGGAGGGACUAAUGGAUACAAGGAAGGGACCAUCAGGAUUAAUAUUGACAUAUGCCACAUGACAAUCUUCAUUGUCAUGCAAUCCCUAUCAACAAUCAUGGAAUCCCUAGUGUACUAAUCCCUGGAGGGUUGUGUGGAAAUUUAUUUUACCUUGCGGUGAAAAUCUCAUGAGCAGUCAUUAGUUAAGCUGACUAGCUGAGAUAUAAUAGACAAGCUAGUAAGAUUGGGAGCAUCAAUGCAUCCAUACAGGGUCACAAUAUCCUUUCCAUUCACUUUUAUAUAUAACCCUACGAAUACAAGUCCAACGAAAUGCGGGCCUUUCGAUCAAGAUAAAUUAAAUGGCCCACUUGUAUUUCUAAUCCAGGAUUAACUAUGCCCUCUGUUCAUCUCUUGCAAGCACGUGCAACACAUUUUCACGAUAUGGACAUGCAUGGAGGUUAUUAUACUGUUUGGACAAACUCUGAUGUGCCAUGACCUAAAUGCUUAGGGCCUGUUUGGUUUGAGUUGCUUAUUAUAAGCAACUUAAAGUUGCUUAAAGUUGCUUAUUUGAAGUUGCUUAUUUUUAGUCUAAACUGUUUGGAUACCCUUGCUUAUGAGCAUUGAAUGAGUUGGACAUUGUCAAAUUUGCCCCAUGUGUUGCUACCCCUCCAAUUUGCCUCCCCACCCUUCUUCUUCCUGCACACGUCCGAUCCCGGGGGCCGACGGCGGGCAGGGAGCAGCAGCAGCUGGCCAGGGCGGCGGUGGGGCGGGAGCGGCGGCGCACACCAGCACGCGCUCGCACGCCAGGUGCUAGGGCGCGGCGAGGCAGUCGUCGUAGCCCACCGGGAGCGGGUGCUCGGGCGCGAGGCGGUACUCGACGGAGAUGCCGAGCGUCGGGCGCGCGGCGGCGAGCGCGUUGAGGAAGCGAUGGUAGUGCGGCGACGUCGCGGACUCCGCCACGAAGCCGCCGCCGUGGACGUACACCACCACGGGCAGCUUCGUCUUGCCGUCGGCGGCCGCGGCCGCGGCCUGGGGUGGCAGGUAGAGGCGGACGGAGCAGGAGCCGAGGUCGACGUCCCUGGAGUCGACGCCCGUGGCGGCGUCCAGGCUGGGCCCGACCGGCGGCGGCACGAGCGGGCGCUCGAUGCGGCCGCUCUUGUAAAUCCGACGGGUCUGUGCGGAGGCGGGCGGCGGGCGGGAGCGGCGGGUGGGAGCGGCGGCAGGUGGUGCGGAGGCCGGCGGCGGCGGGUGGCGCGGAGGAAGGGGAGCUGGUGAGUGGUGACAGGGGAGGGGGGGAGAGAGAGGGGGGGUAGGGUGCAUUGAAUGAGGGCAGGAGGUGUAAAGUGCACCUUUUAGUCCCCAUGAGCAACCAUAAGCAGCCCAAGAGUUGCUUAUUUGCUUAUAAUAAGCAACCUCAUAAGCAAGAGUGAUUGGUUUCAUAAGCAACUUAUUUGCUUAUUUUAAGUUGCUUAUGCAUAAGCAUGUGAAACCAAGCAGGUCCUUAACCUAUGGUUGUGGCACCACACAGUACAUAGUAUUUAAUAAUGCUAUUCGUUUGGUAUGUGCACAAGGGCACGCAUGAAAUGUCUGGCCCACGGUAAACAAGUACGGACGCUGCAAAUAAUCUACUCUGCUCGUCCAGUCCCUAGCCUAUAAAUAGAUGCCAUGCUAGCUCUUGUUGUGCUCACAAUUAAUCCUGACUACACACGAGCUUCUCUCCCUGGCCAAGACACAAUCAUAGUAUGAUGAAGAACAUGGCACUAGCCGGCAAUGGUAUGAAGAACUUAAUCCUCGCUGUUCUCUUACUGUGUCUAGUUAUAGGGCAGAUACAAGUGGAAGCUAAGAGCUGCUGCCCAUCCAUUACUGCAAGAAAUAUCUACAAUGCCUGCCGUAUCACGGGUACAUCCCGUCCAACGUGUGCAAAACUGUCAGGCUGCAAAAUUAUCAGCGGGGACAAAUGCAAGCCCCCUAACGACCACCUCACCCUUGACCCGGACACUGGUAAAUAAUAAAUUUAUCUCACUUGAUUUCUUCGUGUUUUGAGUCGUUAAUGUAUUUUCCAUCUGAUGAAACGUAUUGGUUUUGCAUUGAAGAGGAAGUUAAUGUGCUUAACUUCUGCAAGUUGGGGUGUGCGUCGUCUGUGUGCAACAACAUCAACGCUGGUAAGCACCUUUUGCUCAGACGGAGAAAACAAUAAUCAUUAAUUAGCGGCAGCUAGAAUCCUAUAAUCUAAUAUAUUUAUAUAUAUAUAUAAUUUUAUCAGCUCUGGGAAAUGAAGAGGCGAACGAUGCCGUUGAGAGUUGCGACCAAGCCUGCUCUAGCUUCUGCAACGUGCACGUUGGCGCUGCCACCGUGGUUGCUUAAGCAAAUGCAUCCAACUGGAUCGUCCUUGUGCUAAAUAAUUGGAUAUCGUAUCCACUUAAAGCUGCCUUGUGUAGUACGUUUUUGUUUGUGUCUCUCUUUAUAUUCCAAUAAGGUCGGUGAUCUUGAUGCCACACACUCAGACGUGUGUUCAUCUCCAGAUACUACUCCAUGCUACCUGCCCUUUGUGUUUUGUUCAAUAACUGGGUAUCAUAUCCCAGCCAGUGUGCCAUCUGUUUUGUGUUUAUUUCCUUCUAGUUUCAAAGGGGUUAUCAUGAUGUUACCUUCUUUCGAUAUGGUGCUUUGCAUGACUACUGUUGUAUGGUACCAUCUUGUUGGCCAAUAAAUACAUCUUAUCCUAUGACCCUUUGCUAUGACCCUUUGCAAAUAAGUACAAGAUUGUUAAAUACUCGGUAUAAAUUGACUACUGCUGUGAGUUCCCUUUCAGCUUAUCGUAGGCAUACAUUAUUGCUAGCACGGUGAAGACAACCAACACGAAUGGUCAAGUAAACGUACCGGUACUUUUGUAUACCAACACCCUUGCUUAAAUGUACCGGUGUUACUCCCCACUAGCACAUAUAUUCUUAUAUGCUAGCCGGCUUGAAAAUUAACCGAUUAAAAUAAUUAUUUCAAGACAGAAAUAACUUAUCGGCUUCUCGAAGCAUGUGUAAUGUGAAUUCAAGGACUUGAUGGAAGUUGAAUCGCUUAAUCUAGAUUGCUUUCAGGAUUUUGGGUAACUAAAUUUAACAUUUGCACAUACAAAUGUUAAUGUACAAAUAUUAAAUAUAGUUACCCAAGCAGAAUAUGAAGAUACUCUAUAGUAUAUAUAUACUAUAUAAAUCUAGUUAACAUUUAGUCUAAAUGUUAAAUCUAGUUACCUAAAAUCCUGAAAGCAAAAUGUAUAAAUAUAUAUCUUUUAAGGAAUCCCAAAGCAAGAGUUCAGUGGCAUUCUAUAGUCCCAUGCUGCUAGUUUGAGUUGGUCGAAGCCAACUUAAAUAGGAGAGCUCUCUCACUUCUCUAAAUACGUAACUGAAGGAGAGAAGGGGGCUUGGUUACACAACGCACGCACGCACGCAUAUUUGCGUUCUUUUCGCGUAACCAACCGCGUGACUUGAAACUUGCGACGUAGCGUGCUGCCAAGUCAAGUUGAUAUAACCUUUUUGCCGUAGGCGUGUAAUCUUUUGACAACGGUCAUUGGAGGUGAUAAGCACGCAGUCAAUACCUUAAUCCUGAGUUAAUAGGGCGGUUACUACUGCCAAUUAGUGGGGCAAUUUUGUAGGGGAAACGGUUAGCAGAGGGCUACCAUCUUCUCUAUAAGAAGUUCUGGAGACGUCCAGGAACACACAUGUACAUGUGAGAGACCCACGAAUUCCUUCCCAUCUCCCUUUUCCAUCUGGUGAAGUGUGCUAUGGUACUGAGCUGCUGGAUCUCGCCGGCUCUUCUCCUUGGCGUGCACCGAGGAGGAGGGUGAGCGGUAUCUCCGAGCUAUUGCCGUCAGGAAGCCUGCACGAGGGACAACAAUAAAGUUUUUGGGUAGCGCAACUACGCAACCGCUCGAUUCGAUCGACUAUGUUCUGCGCUGCCUCAUCUUCGAUCUGCACUGCAACACGUAACCCUGCAGCAAGUCUACACAAGGACGGAGCACUAAUCUGUAAGUCCUAGAUUGGUUUCUUACAGAGUUGUAGGUUACACAAGAUCUAGAAUUGUUACAUACUUAUUAUUAUGGGUUACAUGAUGUUUUGUACGGUUACGUCUAUUUUGCAUAUGCUAUUUUUACAUACCGUUUACAUGCAUAUGUAAUGGUUACGCCUAGCUAUUUGAAUCUAGAAUUGGGUUACAUAGCAGUAGCAAUGACUUACGUAAUAUGCCUCAUGUUUAUAUCUGGUAGAAUUUAACACGUAUCUCCAACAUAUUUUGAGGCAGUAUAAAUUUCAAUUCCUUUUGCUGCUCUGUUAAAUCCCGUCUUUCGUGUGGCCCAACACUCUAGUAUGCAUGUAGCACCAAGCUUGUUUGAGCCGCUUUGUGCUCUGAUUUUGCUGUCUGUAUCAGGUUGGACUGUUUCUUUGUCUUGCGAUGUAUAGCUUCAUAUCUUCUAGAGGUUAGACAGCAAAACCCGCGUUCUCUUAAGGCAACAACUCGAAGAAUCUGCAGCGCUCCUGAUAUAUCACUGCUGCAGAAACAAUCUUUAGUACUGAUUUCCAACCCCCUUUAGUAUCGGUUUGGCAAUCAGUACCACUACGUCGGUACUAAAGGGAGUUCUCUAGAAUCGGGUCAAAUAACUGGUACUAAAAGUGCUCCUCUACUACCAGUUGGUAACACCAAUAGGUAGUAACUUUUUUUGCACCCAAAAAAUUAAAGAAAAACAGCCGGGAGGCUCGCGCACACACGCAUCAUGAGUAAUAUGCGCGUGCAUGGUUUGUGGGAUUCCAACCCACGACCAAGCUAUAAGCACGUAGUUACAAAAAAAUUAAACACUUAGACAUUUUAGAGCAUCCCAAAUAACUACAAAUUCUUUAGUUUACCAUAUACCAUAAAAUAUUAGUUAAAAUAAGAGCAUACGCACGUCGGAAGAGUCCCAAUGCACCGGUUGAGGAUCAGACCAGGCACUUUGAAUGCACAUGCCAUAAGAUAAUUCUGCAGGACGAUGAUUGCAAUAAUGGACCAUCGAGAAGAUAGGGGCGAUGGGGUUGCCUCAUCAAUUAUGACUUGGCGCAACAAGACCAGCAAAGUCUUUAUCGACAGGGGUGGAUCAAGGGGUGGGGCGGGUAGAGCUCCAAUCUUCCUACCGCCGCUCGAACAAUGGAGCCCCCCUUAGCCCCUCCAUAAAUUUUUAGGUAGAAGAAAAAAGAAGAGAAGGGAAGGAAGGGGAAGAAUAGGGAGCCCCUCCUAAGUAGGUCGCCAUCGUGCUUCCCAACGCAUGAUCGCCGCACCGCAUCCAUUCCUCUACAAGCCUCCAGCGUCUCUCCUGCCGCUACCUCUGAACCAUGUGCAGCUGCAGACCCAACUAGUGUCUUGUCACCCAUCUCAAUCCCAACAGAGCGGCGGCUCCUGCCAGCACAAAUCUCCCUCCGCCUGUUCUUCACGAUCGAUGGCCACCACAAGCAUAAACCUCGCCUUCGCAUCCACGCAAAAGGGUCGCCGGUGUGCCUUCUCGCAUCGCUUCUCAGCCUCCUUCACUUGCGGCUGGCCAAGAACCGUGCCACCACCUCGGGUGCGCGCCACCGCUCCAGGGCCGCUACCCCAUGCGUGCGGCCGCCGCCGGCCACCACGCGUGUGCAACCGUGUCGCACCGCUUCCCUGCUCUGUGCCACCACUGCUACUGCACCACCAGCUCCACCACCUUGGGCUGGUCGCCAGGGUGACUGAUUGGUGGAUUAUUACUACAAAUAAGUUCCUUAUUAUCUGCAACUACUAUUAACUCAGGGAUACAUGCGUCUUUUGCUUCUCCUGUUAAUAUGUCCUAAAAUAUCUAGAAUGCCUUAUAUUUCUGGACGGAGGAAGUAUUUGAAUAAAAUGAACCAAUUUUAAAAAAUGUGUUGUACACUACUACAGAAAGAACUAUCAGUGUCAAACCCAAAAAUGUCGUCACUGCCAGUUUUGGGCAUCGUUGGUGAAAGGUUGGCGGUGAUGGGUAUCCCCUUCAACAACGGCACUAGAGCUAACAGUGAUUGACAUUAGAAAACGAAAAAGGGGACCCACCUAGCCACCCCUGCAACCCGGCUGGCCGUGCCUCCCGUCAUCCCCACCACCUCGCCUCCCCCGUGACCCCCCGCCGGCGCCCUUGCGCCUAGCCCCCUCGCCUGCCUGGCCGGCCACCCUCGUCACGAGAGAGAGGGGUGCAUGUUGUAUAAUUGCGUGAAUUUUUAAUGUUUAAUUUCAUGUAAGUUUCAUAUAAUAAAUUGUACAAGUUUUAUUGUAUAUAUGAAUUCCAUAUAUAUAUAUUUAUAAUUUAAUGUAUGGUUUCAUGUGUAUAUUUCAAUAAUGUGUAUAUUUAGUAGAUAGCCGAUUUUCUUUUUCUACAAGACAAGGGUUGAUGUAUAAUUACGUGUAUAUGUUUAUUGUACGGGCAAUUAGGACAAGUUUUGUAUAAAUUUCUUUUAUUUCAUGGUUGUUGUAUGGUUUCAUGUAUAUACAUUUAUUGUACUACUUGAGACAAUUUUUAAUUUAAUGUUUCUAUGGUUACAUGUGUGUAUAACUAAUUGUAUUAUUAGUUAAGAUGGGAGCCAAAGAGGAUGAAAGGUAUAUAAUGGAGCAGAUUAUUGCUGGCGGUAGUGGCUCAAACGUUGCAAGAACCUACAUCAAGGGUGAGGGUAGCUAGGUGGACAUGUACCUCAACAUGUCCAGUGAUGGCAAUGACGAUGAGGAGCACGAGCAUGACGUUUAUGAUAGUGCGGAACAAGACAUUGCAGAAUUGGAAGGUUCUAAUGAGGUGUGCUUCAUGUUGAUGAUCUGGUUGGCUUUUUUUCUUUGGUCACACCUUAGUUACCAUAGAACUUCGUCUCGGGAGAAGAUUGGAGGUGCUAUGGUGAUUGGAAUUUUAUUGCCUCCAAAUAUGAUUUCCAUCGAAUCAUAUCCCUUGUAUUUAUCUUCUUUUUAUUUGUGAGAGCAUCUUCUUUAUGCUUGCAAAACAAUUCAAGUGCACAUACUACACCUAGGGUGAUGAUUAGGAGUAGAAACAAUUGCCAACAAACGAACACCACAUCCUAAGAUUCUUAACUUGUGGUAUAAUUAGUCUAGUAAAAAGAAAGAUAAAAACCUAAUGGGUGUACGUGAGUGCAAUGCGUAUAUGCAUAUGAGUGGAAGGCAUAUAAGCAAAGAUAAUAUUUACACAUAGAUCUAAGCACCAUGUUUACAACUAAGUUGCUGAAUUUCUCCAUAGCUAUAGAGAUUAAUGAACCAAGGUCAAAACACCAUGUCUAUCCCAAGAUCAGUAAUUCUUUAUAGCACAAGAAAAAGAAAGCGCAUUGCAAAGUUUAUAAACCAACCAAUGCAGCAUGAAAACAAGAUGAAUAGCUAGCAAGGUUUAUUAAACUGAAUGAUGACGGUCUGCAAGCAAGUUUGAACACCAUCUUUACACAAGAUUGCAAAUGGAAAAUUCCCAUAUGAAGAACUAACAUGGAUAUGAAAUCAUUCAUCAUAAAGCGUAAAGAACAACCAAGCCAACCAUAUGCAAAGCAUGAAUGGAAUGCAAUGAAGGUGCAAGAGAACAUUUUUGGAUGAACCCAUUAUGAUGAUGGCAAAAUGCGCCGUGCCCCCCAGCCCCCGCGGUGAGAUCCCGCCGCUCGCUGCCGCCAGACCCUAUUAGGCCUCCACCGGCAGGUCCACCCACGGUCCCGCGCGACGUGGCAGCCUCUUGGCUCUCGGCGCUCGCGGCACGCCAGUGCUGGCGCAGCCCCACCAGGCGACUACCCUCCCCCCAUAAGGCCUCGGCCCCUCCCCAGCGCCGCCCCCCAACACCAGGACUGCCUGCUGCCCCCCACCGUGAGGUAAUCGAAAUCGACUGCUCAAUCUCUCAAUCUGUUGAUAUGAUGCACACGGUUGCAAAAAUAGAUGUGUCAAAAUAGAUGUUUUGCCAAUUGCUAUAGAUGCAUACGGUUGACAUGAAGUCAAAAAUGACAUUUGGUUCCUUGUAGGCAGUCAAAAAUGAAGAAGUCAAAAAAUAUUGAUCUGAAAUCAAUGUGGGAAAGGGCUAUGAAGACACGCAGGUAGAUUCCCUUGUGAACUUUUUAUGUCGUUCGUCUAAAUAAUUUUUUGCAAUGGGCAUACCCUACUCUGAAAUCCUGGGUCCGCCACUGAUGAUGAUGGUCUAAAAAUAAACCAAGCCUAGAUUAAUUAGCCACAACUGAAAUUAAGCAAAGGUUAAUGUCAUUGACCCUAGCUCUAUCCUAGCUUUUACCAAAGUUCCGGCACAUAUAGUGGUUGGGCCCACUCUCUCUGCUUCCCUCUCUGCUGCAUGCACGCACACGAGCAACGGGAGGCCCGACGAAGCCCAGAAGGGUUCGGCCGAACCAGUAUGAGCGCCGCUCCCUCCCAGCCUUCGCGCAGAUGCUCCUCCAACGUUCCUUGACCCCUCCCUCAGCGUCCCGUUGGGUUUAACAUUGCAGGAGAGGAGUCCCUUUUUUAAAAUCUCAACCACCUCCUCUCCCCAUUCACUCCACUCUCAUCUCCAUCAAACUCACCAAGAUCCGCACCGGAAAUCCCUGCUUACCACCAUGGCUGGCAAAGCCCUCAUCCCUUUCACCAACUUGGGCUUGACCACUGAUCUCGAUGGGGAAAUCACUCUGGCAAAUAUGCGUGUAACACUGCCCCCUUUGCCGAGGGUUAAAGCCAAAACACUCAGCAAAGUGGAUAGUACCCCCCUUUUUACCCGUUUUGUCAUGUAUAACGGACCCCUCUCAAUUCACAAUAGACAUCAUCAUAGGCAUUUAUAAUAAACAAUCACAGGCAUAAUUCACAAUCACCAUUACAAGCAUUAUUCAUAAAUAUCACAGACAUAAUCCAAAGUAAGCAUGAAACAAGCCAUAAAUCCAAGUUCAAGUCACAACUAAGUUUCAUCCAAGUUCAAGUCACAAAUGCAAUGUCUAAAUCCAUGGAGGCCAAGGAGACCACUGCGACAAAUCUUGGUCUUCAUUAUUCGAAGCCGCCGAUUGAUUCUGCACAUAGGAUAGGACAUUCUGAGCUAACAUCUAAAGUUGUCAAAAUUAAAGUAUUCAAUCUUAAGCACAAUGUGUCAAAUGACUCACAGGAGUAGUUGUGGGUGGCUGAGGCGGAGGGAACAGCAUCGAUGGCGGUGGCAAAGAUUGACCCAUGCUCGAAGCAAAAUUCUGCAUGUACUGGAACAUCUGGUCCAUCCUCAUCCGAUUUUCUUCCUCCAUCCUCUGCCGCUCGGCCUCUAACCUCCGCUGAACCAUCUGCUCCAUCCUCGCCGCCAUCUCCUCUUGUUGCUUCCUUGCUGCUUCCACCUGGGCCUACAAUAUUUCAUUGCAAUGUUACAAUGCAAAGCUAAAGUAUAGCAACCAACGAACAAUGAAUGGAAGAGAAAGAACCUGGAGAGCCUCCAUCUGGAACUGUCCAAUGGUUGGUCGUAGCCGUAUCGCCGGGCUCGAGUCCGUGCUCCUUGCUUGGAUCUGGGAGAGAGUGGCAGUAGAGGCCGUGUUGAUUACGCCGUCGCCAAUCCAAUAUCGGCCAUGCUUCUUGCCUCCUCCCACCCUCAUCACGAUUUCUCCAUCAAUAUCCUCAGAGCUUGAAUCGAAGUCUGGCCCGUGAACCUCCCUUGCCAUCACUGUAUAUUCCUUUGCCGAGUGCCCGAGAUAAAGCACUCGGCAAAUAGAAAACACUCGGCAACUUUACUGUUUCCCGUAGUGUCGCUAUUUUUGCAGGUUCUCGACCAGGCCAGUUCUUUGGGCCAACCUAUCAUUCACGACUUAAACAUACGGUGGCUGUAGAAAUGUUCUAUUCUUUUCAACAAUACCAGCUGGUUCCUCCGUUUUUAUUCCACCAAUACAAGCACCACCUUGUAACAUUUCCUAUGUUUUUUUUUCCUUUCGUCUGUUUUCUACAUGCGUUGCUCUUUCAUGCAUUUUUUUCCAUUCCUGUAUUCCAAAUAGGUCUACAUGAACACAAAAUGAACUAGGGGACAGAAAAAGCCAGUGAAGCCAAUUUUGAGCUUCACCAGCUACUUGCUACAUAAAGUGUGCUAUAGUGACGUGUUUUAGCAAAACAUGUUAUCAAUGACUUGACAUUGGUGACGUGUUAAAACGCGUUAUCUCAAUGGCAAAUCAUUGGUGACGUGUUUUAAAAAAACAUGUCACCGUGAGAGUCAUUGGUGAAGGGUAAUUAUAAUGCGUCACUAAUGUUGUAGCAUUAGUUAUGAUAAUUUAGUAACGCAAAAAUCUACCAUCAGUAUUGAGCUUUAGAGCCAUCGCUAAUGUGGGUUUCUUACAUAGUGAUGCAAGCUCUACAAGGUGCUGUUGCUGCCAUUUUAAAGCAUCCCAUGACUACAUGUUAAUAACAUAGUUUACCAUAUAUCAUAAAAAUAUUAGUUACAAUAAGCACAUACGCAUGUGGAAGAGUCCGAAUGCACCGGUUGAGGACUAAACACAUUGAAUUACUAGAACCAAAUGUGUGUUUAGAACAAAGACAGGGGUCAAGGUUUGGGUAACCGCAUUAAAAACAUUGGAUUUUACUGUACAUGAACACUUAGUUACCAUUACCAUGCCUUGAGCACCUAGUUACAACAAACAUUAAUUUAGCCACUUUAGAGCUUCCAGAAUCGCUAUAAAUAAUAUACCUACGCCGUACCAUGAAAACAUCAAGAAGAGAGACGGAUACAUGGACCACCAUCAAGCGAGUAGUGACAGCACGCACAAGAAUACCCGGAACCUGUUAGCUUGUCUGUAGUGAUCUGUUUUCUUCCCCAUAAAAUCCAUGAGUAUUGCCACAAAUAAUGAAAGAGGCUGACCAAGCUAGCAAGGAGGUAGAGCAAACGUGAUACACGGCCUGCCAAGAUUGCCCUGGAUACGCCAAUAAGAGCGACAGAUACAUGGAUCACACCAAUAUGGUGAAACGUAUAUUCAUCACACAAGCAAAGCUGGUCAGUUUAUCCAUGGUCAAAUUGUGGUCUUUGUUUUCACUUGAGAGCUAAUUGAGGCACUAUAAUAUGGGCAGGCCUAUCUUCAACAGACAUGACAGCUACAGGGAACUUGACAUAAUUUGCUGGGCCGCCUGUGCACAAUUAUUUGUUUUAUUGUCCUUGCAUAGAAUGCUAAAAUACUCUUUACAAAAUGUUGGAUCUAAUAUUUGAAAUAUAGAGUAGUAAUCAUAUAUUGAUCAACAACUUGAAAUUAUCUGUACAUUCUCGGUGAAGCUGUUGAACUAAUUUUUGCAAAUUAUUAAUUCAUCUCAUUACGUAAAGAAAAAAGUAAGUGGAUAAGAUAUUUCGUGGACCACAUCACUGCAAACAUGUCAUGGAGAGACAGACCAAGGAGGCAGGACGUGAUACACGACUUACCCUAGGUUGCCGUGGAACCGCCAAGAAGAGAUACAGAUACAUGGACCACACCAUCUUGGGAGUAGUGACAGCAUAUAUGCAGAAGAAUACCCCGUGCCUAUUUGCAUGCAUGUCUCAAGUGAUCUGUUUUCUUCAGAAAAUACAUGAGCAUUGCCAGAAAGAAUGGCAAGAGACAAACAUGUCAUAGAGACUUGCAUGUCUUGCCUUGGAUACGCCAAGAAGAGGGACACAUACAUGGAUAACACAAAUCUAGUGACACGUAUAUUCAUCACAAAGGCAAAUCUGAUAAUUUUAUCCAUGGAGCAGACCAAGGAGAAAUUGAUGACGGACAUGUGAUCUCUGUAUUCAGUUGAAAGCUAAUUGAGCUACACUAAUAUGAGCAGGACUAUAUUCAAGAGACUUGUUGAGAGCUACAGGGAACUUGUAAUAAUUUGCUGGGCGGCCUGCGCACAAUGAUUUGUUAUACAUAGUUGAAAUAUUUCAAGAAUUUAUCAACCUCAUACUCUGAAACCCUUGGUGCAAUGUACUCUGCUUUCCGAGGUAGACUGUUCACGUAAAAUGAGGUCAUGCGUAAGACGGAAUCGGAUUGGAUUCACAGGGAAUCAGAUUUGGAUAGCACCUUUUAGCAGGUUUUUAGUCAAAUGCAAAUUCGGAUCCACAUGUGGUUGAAUGCGAGUUCAAAAUUCUACUUGGAUAUCCAUUUAAUUUAGGUGAUAGCAAUUAGCACAAAAUGUUGGAUGAACAAAAUCAUAGUUAGACAUACAAUUACAUGUAUGGUUAAAGUAUAAUACAAUACACCAAGAUUAUUCCUUGAAAAUAUUUCUUAAAAAUAUUAUAAUAAAUGAAUAAAUAUAAUUGUGGCCACCAACAAAUAGUCGGUGGUCGCUAAGUUGGAGCCAUUUCUGGUUACUAAUGCGGCCUUCUCCUCGACCAGCGACGACAGCUGAGCUUGUUCCUUCUGACACUAAAUCAUCAGAGUCUUCCCUCCACUACUAUAGAAUGCACCUUUAGCACCAAUUGGGAAAUCCCCUUCAGUAUUGGAUGCUGCAACCAGUGCUAUAUAUCAAAAUGGAGACUAAAAGCCUCGGUCUUGGGUACCGGUUGCAUAACGCAUUACUAAAGGAGGCAAAAGAGAAAUGUAACAAAAAAAAUA
rnacentral:lncRNA from 1 species